AGUAUGUAGGUAGGAGUAAGCAUAAACUAUAGUUGAUUUCCUCCGCCUUACAGUUCAGAUAUCAUGACUUCAGGAAAAAAGGAGUAGGGUGUCUCAGUAUAGACAUAUACUGACAUAUGACACUAGAAAAAAUUCUACUACGUGAUUGGAUGGAUUUUGCAAUCCUCCAGUUAACUAUGAAUUUCUAAAUAAAUCAAGAACAAAUUUACACAUUCCAUGAAGUUCAAAUUGCACAAGGGAGAUACUUGUGCAGUCUUAAAAUACAAUAUGGAAUUCUUACAGUUCGUUGUCCAGGAAUGAUUCUGGAUACAUGGCUUAGCUUGAGGUGUUUCUCUUCUUUGCCUGAGAACCAUAUUAAUACAGAUUCAUCCUGAGGAAUAAAAUUGGUUAGAGACUCAUGAUAAGUAAGAUAUGAUUCGCAGCACAUCACUAAUUAAAUAUACAAGGACAAAGAAACAAAUGCAGAUAGAAUCACCAGGCACAUUCAAGACAUUGAGUGAUAAGAGAAAACAUACGUAAAAACUAACCACUAAGCAAACACAUGAAGAGACAAAUUUGAAUACAUCUGCCAGCAAAUUCUAUGCAAUCACACAUAAAUAACAAUAUAAGUGUGGAAAAGAUAUCAAGAUCAACCACGCAAUGUUUUUUUUAGAUCAAUCAUGAAUAUAAGUGUGGCAGGUAUAUUUAUUUAGUAUAUAAUAUAUAAAUAAAUCAAGAAUCAAAAGCCUAAAUGGUUCAGAUACUUUUAGAAUAACUGAUUGAGUGCACUGGAAAGGACAAAUGAUAUUCUGUGAUGAUGGAGAUUAGAGUCUCCAGCCAACAUAGGUAGGUCAAAUUGAAAAAGAUGACAAUCUUUUCUUUUUGGGUAGGGCAUGGAGGCUGCUUCUGUAAUUGCGUUACUUUAUAUAUUAUUUUGUGUUCACAAUUUUCUAUCUCUCUAGGAUGUUUGUUCCAUCUACAUAACCUGCUCUCUUCUUCAUACUUCUUUGAUAUUUUCUACUUCAAAACACUUUUCAUAGUACAAUUAAAAAAAAAGCCCAGAUAACAAAGUUCUAAGUAAUAUUUCCUAAAGGAAUCCAACAAAGCAUUGAUCCCUAGGAAUGGAACUCGAAUUCUACUAGAUAUUUUCCUCUAGGAGAUACAGGGCUAAAUAAGCACCCAAGCUGAAUUCCAAGGGAAGUCAAAUAAAAAAACAAACGAUGCUAAAAUGUUCUAUCUCGGGUCGGCAUGGAAGUACAAGAUAUAAUAAGGAUAGUCAAACUGUAAUAUUAAUACUCAUAGUGAUCAUAUUAAUUAUAGGUCAGAAUGACAACAAAAGUAGAUAGAAAUGCCUGAUCAAGAAGACUGAAAAGGAAUUGUUUUCCGUUUAGCCAAAAGGACCGAAAAGGAAAUUGAAUGGGAGAAAUUCAAAGAGAAAGGCGAAAACCUGUUCCAGCAAGCUAUGGACAAGAACGCUAUCGGCUUGGGGUAGAUACCCUAUUAGCAGCACCAAAUAUCAAAUGUAUAACUAUGGCAGGAAAGCAUAGCCGUUCGAGAAGGUUCUCAAGAUUCAUGCCGACCUUCUUAAUUUAUGAAUUUGGAGGUAAAUUCUCACAUGGAUUAUAAAAUUAAAAACAUCAUUACUACAAAAUAUCAUCACUGAUCACUGAUUAACAUAAUUUUACAGCUAUGAUAACGGGCAGUAAUGCGUGUCCACAGUAUAAAGGAUUUAUUACUUCACUAAAUAUCUAUAACAACAUAGACGAGGAAGCGUGGUAAUGAUUUGACAACCAGUGUAUAUUGUAAAAUAACCUGGAAAUUAUGUUCCUAUAAGUGGACAUUCUGAAAACUAAAAGGCUGUUCGGCUAAUCAACUAGGUCUAUUGGGUACUCGUUAGAUUUGGACCAUGCCUGCAGGACUUGGUAUAAGCUCAAGAACUGCAUCAGAAAGAUCCUAUAUUGACAAGAAAACAACAAACAAUUGUUCACUGCAACUUAUGUAAUCUUGCAGUUGUGAAAAAACCAAAAAACAAAAAUUAAAAAAAAAGAAGAAGUUAGAAUCUGGAGCUCACAUUGGAAAGCCUAAAUGGACAAAAUUUUGGCUUCCCUCUCCUCCCAUACUUUAGUAAGUAUGCCCCUUUUUUAAGAGCAGUGAUAGCCUGUAAAAGUAGGGAAGAAAAAGAAUAUGUCAAGACUCCAUAAAAUGAAACACAAAUAAUACACGAUGCAACAUUGGGAGUGAAUCAAAAAGUACACAAAUCAAACAAACGACUAGAAAUGUUGUAGAGCAUUGGGACAUAAGCAAAUGUUAAGUACUUUUCUAUCACCUCCAUCUAAGAGAUGCCUAACAAUUUUUUGGCAUUGUUAACUCAACACCCAAUCUGUAGUUUAUAAUUUUCAGCUUCACUAGACCAACUUUGGAGUCUGGCCUUAGGUUCUUUCCCAAAUAACAACAGAUGAUUCCCAUAUUAUGUUCUAUUAUUAUGUGUUGUUUCAUAUUGACCUCCUCUUUACUCGUUUUCUUCCGGCGUUGACUAAUAAUCCACCCUCUUCUGCCACAAAGAAGAAUAUUCAACUGGAUCUCAGACUAGCUAACUUUUCAGUCAAGAGUAUAAAACCAGUAUUUACAUUGUCCUGUAGAAUUUUUCCUAGGUAUUCCCAUAAACUUUGACUAUAUUCAUUUGAAAAACUUGCUAGUCUCUCAUUCGAUUGUACUGCAGAACUUAAGACAGCAUAACAAUCAACUAACUGAAAGUUCUUUUCCCUUGAUUUAGACAAAACACCACCAGCUACUAAAGUGCUUAAACGAACCAGAAAAUAAGUGAAUUAUCCUAUACAACAUUAUGAUGAAUGAUGGAAAGCAAACAAGAGCUAAGAAAGCAGUUACGAGUUUCUAUAAUUUAACAAACUUCCUAGCUUUUAAACCCUGAGGCAACACCAGCUUUUAUCAUCAAAGGAUAGAAAAUAGUUGUGGAAGAUAAUAAGAUUUUUCUCUACAAAUAGGUAAAAUUGCUUGCAGUCUUGUUCAAGAAGAAUGAGUGCAGCCACUGCAAGCAAGAGGACAAAAGCCCGUGAUAUCCUCAAAAGAGGAAAUUAGUAGAUCCCAAAAUUUAUGGGGAAAUAAACACCAAUUUUGAUGAUAACAACAAUGGCAACAGCAUGAAAACAUUAUUUGCAUUGGGAAUUCCAAAGUGCAAUUUCAAAAGCUUUUUCAAAACAUUAGCAUUGACUAAGCUGUAGACUCAACUCAUUAAACAAACUUAAUAUUACCAAAUCCUCUGAUGCAUUCCCAAUCCUGUUUUGCGAUCAGUAAACCGUAAUAAAUAAACAUACUUAGAAACUAGGGAGCCAAUAAAUCCUCAAGGACGCUGCUAAGUGAUUACAAACCAUUAACCAUAGUCACAAGUUCGGAAUUAAAAUUAAAUUCCUCAGUGUUGAAAAGUUUGAAGUUUGACGAAAAUUUGGAGAAUUUAGAAAAAAGAUUCAGUAGUUCUUCAAUAAUCUUAUGUAAUCAUUCUAUCUUUUAUCAACUUCAAGGUUUCUAGCGUAUAAACUACUUGAGUUAGUUUGAUUAAUUCAUACGUUAUCCAUAUUUUCCCAUACUUUUUUUCCUUUUUUUAUACCAAGAAAAUACUAAGACAACAAAUUACGUUCAUGACAAAUUAGCAUUUUUUUUUCAAAAAAUAAGAGAAUGUUAGUGAUCACAAACCAUUACCUGCUCGAUAUCCCUCUCCACCGGCCCCGGCCUACCGAGAUCCGAAGCCCCCACCGCCGCCGCCGACGACGACAUCCCCUCCUCCGCCGCGGCGACCACACAUUAAUAUCCGACCCUCCCAACACCGAUCAAAACCACUUCAAAUCCCCAAAGAUAAAGCCCUAUCAACGAUACGAUCCAAUCCACAUACCACUUCAAAUCCUUCAAAAUAUGCUCACUCGACCGCGAAUUGCACCUUAGAUCGCACUAGGGGUUAAGUUCGGGGGCUUCGUUCGAUGCUCCGACUCUUCGAUUUUGGGGUUUCGAUCGAAAAUGGUGCGAAAGAGGAGUUCGAGAGUCGAGGGAGUAGUCGAAGGAGAGAGAGAGAGAGAGAGAGAGAGAGAGAGGAUUUUACCCUUUUUUUUUUCUGGGGGUGUUUACAGAUUUACUAUCACCGAAAUAUCCCAAAUGCUUUUUUAAAGCGGAGCUGGAUAUUUCUGGAAAUGAGCCCAUCUUUCCGGUUAUUUACGAAAAUACCACAUUUGAGAGAAUUAUUGCAUGGACCUGGUCUAUACACCGAAUAUUUAAAAUAGCCCCCCAGUGAUGUAUAGGGAAUUUUAAUAUAGCAAAAUUUGACAUUAGACUAAACCCAUGAAAUAGUUUCUAAAUGAAUAGCCAUCAUUUAUCAUUUAUUUGCCUACUUUUUUAAUAAUUAAGUAUUAUAUUCUAUACAUUUCUAAUUUUUGGUUUUCUUAAUAAACCCACGUGUAAGAAUGGUUGGUCCAGAUAUAAAUUCAUUGCUAUAUCGUAAAGUCAAAAUUACUCAGAAUGAAUGUUUCUGUCAAAUUGGAGAUGUUAACUAGUUCUGCAUGUUAUAAAAUUAAAAAUUCAAUCACUAUCAGUGAAAUACUAAUCAACUUUCGUUUUCAAACGACAAUCAGAAUCAGACAUAAAAUAGACAAGAAAACAAUGAUUAAUGUCCUGCAACUAAUCCCAAUAGGCCCCUCUAAAAAUUCAAGAACUUUUUUUUUUACACUUCUUUUUAGCUCCAUGAGGUAGGGCGAUCGUACGAAUAGUGUGGCUAUGUGGGCUAUCUACAAGGAAGUAGGUGAACCAUGCUAGCUCAUUUGAUGUUGUGGGUUGGGCAAAACAUCAACACUCUCCCUUUCCAUGGCCCUCAAAAAAGUUGAGCUUUUUGAUCAUGUGGAAGUGCUUUUGGUGGAUGGCCUUAUCACUUGCCAACCAACUGUUCAAAAGAGCAAAGGAUUAAAAAAAAAAAGGUGGAGCUAGGGCAUGUAUCUUCUUCAUGUCCAUAAUUGAUCUGUGCCAAAGAUAGGGAUUUUAUCGGGUCGGCUCUGAGCCGAAUCUAUACAUAAAUCAAAAUCAAAUUCAGAUAUCUCGAAUAUGUAUUGUAUCAAAUAAAAAAUUCACGAUACAAAUCUACUCUCGAAUCCAAUAAGUUGGUGCAUUCGAAAUUUUAUGAUCUAAAUAUGAAACUUUGAAUAUAGUAAUGAGCUAAAUGAUGUUACUUGACACUCGUAUAAAUUAGGCAAUCUAAAAGUUGAGUCCAAGGGAAGUGAACACGGUGUGAAAACAGGCGCGUGCAUAAGUCGGUGUGAAAACAGGCGCGUGCAUAAGUUUCCAGCUUUUUUAGCCCUAAGUUCAAAUUAAUGGAUAAGGGGUGAAUGGUUUAGUCUUGGUUUUCUUUAUAAAAAACUUUGUUUGGGCUUAAUAUAUAUCAAACUACAAGAUUACAAUAAUAAGUGAUCUUAUUUUGAGUUAUUUUAAUCCUAUUGUAGCAAUGGUUAAAUAGUCUAAUUAAUUGUAAUAUCAUUAUCAAAAAAGUUAAUGUCUACGAAAUCAUUGUAGAUUCAGUUAUUUUGGAUUAUUUCGCUUUCGCACUUCCCAAUUCUCCAUGUUUAGAAAUUUGAUUUGGAUUGAGUACUAAUCGCUACAUACGGAUUUUUUUUAGGUUAAAAUGUAUAAAACUUACUUCAACUAUCACCUAUUUAGAUUUGAUUACCAACCCUUAAAAAUUUUGAUUUUUCGCUAUGUGACCAUUUAAUUUAUUUGAUGUGAGCUAAUUAGUGACUCUUUAAUUUUAGAAUUUGAACGUAACAUUUAUUUUCAUGGAUAUAGUAUAUUUUAUAUAAUUUAUGUAACUAUAAAUUAUUAAAAUAAAUAAUUAGCAUAAAUUUUGUAUUUGAAGAGCUUCCAAGUCACUUAAAUUAAACAAUUUAAAAGAAUAAUUACUAAAAUUAAAAUUUAAAGAAAAUAGAUAUUCCAAUCAAAAUGAGCUACACUAGAUAAGCCGUCCAGUGGCAUAAACGAUAUUAUCACCCAAAACAGUGGUUGAUAUCGGAACUUCGGACUGCAGUUCCAAGUGGCAUUCUCGAGGAUUUCUCCAACUAUUGGCCCAUUCAUUUGUGUCCGAGUAAGCGCUAUGGUAAAAUCGUAAAAUACUGGAUAAAAAAAUGAAAAAAGCAAUGAUAUAAAUACUCCUUUUUUAAGCCUUUCCGAAGUGCCACGUGGACCUACAAGAUUAAAAACCCACCUAAAACCGAAAAAUGAGGCGUGAGUUUAGGAGCUUCCAUACAUACGGAUCGAUCCCUCUUUCCACUUUUCACCCCCCGUUUUUUUUUUCUUUUUUUUUUUUCUUUUUUAACCCCGCAUACUCAUUCCAUGUUACUUUUCGCCACGUGUGGGCGCGGCGAGAACCGUUAGAGAUAACGGCGGCGCCGUCGACCUGGUCUAACCGACCGUUAGGAUGGCGCCGCCACGUCGGAUACCGUCCACGUGUGGGGCCCCACGUGCGCCCGGGUUGGGGUCGUGGAGAAAUUAUUGAGUGAACUGCGUUCACGAAAAAGCCGUACCAGGAUUUACAAUAUCGAAGAACAAGAACAAAGUUGUUUUGGCAUUGUUCUAUAAUAAAACUUUUAUCAUUUUGAUUUUGUGGUUUAAAAAAAAUUAUUUAAUUAUUUUAUAACUCUAUAUUUAUUUUACUGUAAGGAUCUACUAUCAAAUAAAAUGAUAAAGUAUAAAAUAAUUAAGAAUAAUUUAUUUGAAUUAUUAUAAGAUGAUAAAGUAAAAAAUAUGCUAAGUUGACAAAUUUAAGUUACCUCAAAAUUUUAUAAGGUGUAAAUUAUAUACGAAAUACAUGAUAAAAAAAUUUAUUUGGCCCAAGAUAGAGUUCUCAUAAAGUUUUAUGAGUGAUAGAUGUGACGCAACAGGACCGAAAGGUUGACAUGUUGGAGUACUACUACGGUAUCAAAAAGAUGAUCCUACUGAUCAUUAAUAUGCUUGUCUCAUUAAUAUAUUAGCCAUGAUGUUAGGGGCCCUAAACAUUUUUUGUGGUCUUUUGUUUUUUUCUUUGGAGGAUUAUUUGUUUCAGUAAAAUACCUUAGUUCAUACUCUUAGGUAUUGUUUGGUUCGGGGAUAAGAAAAAAAUGACUAUUCCAGAAAUAGGUAUAAAUUGAGGUAUAAGCGGGAAUUAGAUCAAUUUUGCGUUUGGAUGAAAAUUGGGUUAUUCCCGCGAACAAAAAAAAUGUUUAGGGUUAAAUAAAAACUAGUUAUUUCAAGGAUAGUGUUAAGUUCAGAAUUAAGGUAGGGUUAGAGUGAUUUUUUGUUUGGUUGAAAAUUGGGUUCUAAAGAUAGGGUUAAGUUCAGGAUUAAGAUGGGGUUAGAGUAAUUUUUUGUUUGGUUGAGAAUUGGGUUUAGUCCAGAUAUAAGUAAAAUAGUGUUUGGUUGAAGUAGGUGGGAUAAGAAGAAUAGUGGGUUAUUAUAAAUAAAAAAUAAUGAUUUUUCCAUAAUUUUUAUAUUUGAAUUUAAAUGUAAAAUUUAAAUAAUUAAAAAUAAUAAUUUUAAAUUUAAAAUUAAAAUCUAUAUUUUUAAAUCUCAAAUUAAAAAAUUUAAGUUACAAAUAUAAAAUAUCAAAUUUAAAAUUUAAAUAAUUAAAAAUAAUAAUUUUAAAUUUUAAAAUUUAAAAAAUAAAUAUUAAUUUUAAAAUUUAAAUAUAUAAUUUUUCUAAAUUUUAAAUUUUAAAAUUUAAUUUUAAAUUUAUAUUAAAAAAUUAAAUAGGAGUUGGAUUAACUUAAUUUCACUUCUAUUCCUGAAUUCCUGGGUGGGAUGGGGUUAACUAACCCCAUUUCAUAAAUUUUUUGUUUCGGGUUAAAGGGCAGGAGAUAACCCCUUAUCUUCUCCUCUUGAACUCCCAACCAAACAGGGGCUUAUUGAAUAAAAUAAAUAUUAAAUUAUUUUUAAAAUCCGACUAUAAUAUUAUUAUUAUGAGUAUAAUUAUUUUUAUAUACAUAAAUUAUUUUUUAUGACGUAAUUUUGAAUUGAUGAUCCAUAUCAUUGAAAAUAAUCUAAAGCAUUUAAAGCUUCUAAAAAUUAAAUUUUAUUAAUUUUUUGCAUCAUAUAUUUACGAUCAAAGGGCAUCAAAAUUAAUAUCUUUAAAGCCAGUAUGGGACGUUUUCUAAUUAACGGUGUAGAAGAAUUAAGUUUGGUUAAAUUUGCGAUAGAAAAUUCAAUUCACUAUAUAAAUCAAUGAUAAAUAAUAUUUGAUUUUAAGAAUUGUAACUUCUAUUUUUCAGAAGAUCAUUGGAUUUUGUUUUUUUAUUUUAUAUUGACCUUACGAACUUCAUUAUAAAUUCAAAAAAUAAUAAAAUUUGAUUUUUAGAUACUUCAAAUGCUAUACAUCAUGUCUAGCGGUAUGAAUCGCCGAUUAUGAAACUCUAUUAAUUAUUGAAAGCGACUUAUAAUUUAUGAGUACGAAGCUUUCUGUACUUAUGAGAAUAUAGUAGGCAUACUUCUAUUUUUGUCUCAGAAAAAUAGAAAUUAUAAUCUUUAUAUAGAGUGCCGAUAUAACAACAUCAACUUGUCAACUUUAUCCUCACAAGUAAAUUAUUACUUUCCGCGGAACAAAAUUAUAACAUUAAAUAGAUAAUUAAAUAUUUGAAGAUAUCAAGAAUUGUUAUUUCCAAUUCCCCUUAUACGUACAUAAAACUUAACACACCUAAAUUAUUUACUAUUUUAAUUUGACUAUUCAACAUUUUAAAAUUUUAAUUUUACUAUCUAACCUUUCAAUCUGUUUGAUUUGAGUUAGUCAACAAUAUUUUGACUUAAAAAUUUGAAUUCGUGGUUUAUUUUCACAAUUUUAGUUUAUAUAUUUGAUAUAAUUUCUGCAACUAUAAAUUUAUUAAAGUAAGUAAUUAGCUUAAAUUGUGAAGUUAAAGUAUCGUCCAUUGAUUCAAAUUAAAUAAAUUAAAAGGUUGAAUAAUAAAAUUAAAAUUUCGGAAGAUUUGUGGCCAAACGUUUUUUACCUAUAGAUAAAUUAUUUAGAUUGGGAAAAUAGGCAUGUCCCUGUUUGACUUGGUGGACCGGGUCCACGCAACACUCUCUGCCGCGUGCGCCGACCAUUGCCGCAUGUCGUGGACCGGCUUCGCCCAGGGCACAAGCGACGCGAGAGUCCGGACGUAAACAUCAAAUCAAAAAAAAGUUGUGAUGGGGGAUUAUCGAUUAAUUAAUUGGAUUUAUUUAACAUUUAAAAGCAGGGUAUAUAUUGUUAUUAUUAGAUAUUUAAUUUGUGAAUACUUUAAAAUUUAACAAUAAUUUGUUAUUUAAUACGCGCUUCGAAACGGAGACGAGGCGAUGGAGAUUCGAGAAAAGCAAAGGGACGUGGAAAGAGACGGGUGUGAUGGUGAUGUCCGAGACGUGAACCACUAACUACUCCCCCAACAUCUUGCAUGCUAGCGAAUCCACUCACAGUGGUGGGGGCCACAUUAGCCCACAUUGCAUCAACAAAACUUAAUUAGGCCAUUAAUCCUACAAUUAAGUGUUGUUAUGAUUAGACUAUUUGAUUCUGAACCAGACCACAAUGAUCCGAGGUCAGAGGUUUGAUUCUCCGUCUUAGCGUAAAUUUUGACACAAAAUUGGCAUCGUGUUUUAGGCUUCGGGCUUUUAAUCUGAUAUAUCUCAAGCUUCAAGUUAACUUUAUAAAAUCAACCAACUGCACUAGUCAGCGGUGGUACCGGCAUCUACAAUAAAGUUGUUACUAGAGAAAUCUCUCUAUCUAGUAUCUACGUGGCCAUGGAACAAGCCCAUUAUAAACGCAACCAAGUAAUUAGAGUUUCAAUGGGCUUAAGAAAAUCUCAUUAGCUGGAUUUUGGGCCGGCCCAGGCCCAGUACUGAUUACUUGGUCUGACAAUGCACAUCUUUAUAUAUUGGGCUUUGUAGGCCAAUUAAGAUAUGCAAGUAAUUAUCCCGUGGGUACAUUACAAUUUUGGUCCUCAAACUAUGAGGCCUCGAUACUUUAGUCUUCAAACUUUAAUUCUUUGUAAUUUUUGACUUCAACUUUAUAAAUUGUCGCAAUCAAGUCCUACAAUCUUAUUUAGGAUGUUGCCAAAAUAUUAACAAUUUGUCGACAUAGAAGUGCUCCAGCAUCUUAAUUAUUAUCGUAUCAUCAAUUACAAUAUUUUCAUAUUAUUUCGAUAUUAACAAUUUAUAAAUAUUAUCAACUGUCUCUAGCCGAAAAAAUAAAGGGCUUAAUGAUUGGUACCUAAGGUUAUAAGUUCCGAAGCCUCGUUGUUUUACAUGUCCAAUUAAUUUUAUUCCUAAAAAAUAAAGGGUCAAAACAGUAAUAUUAAAGUUUGAAGAUCAAAAUGUCACCACUCUAGUUUGAGAACCACAAAAAAGUUACACCGUAAUUAAGGUUAUAAGUUCAAAGUUUUGUUGUUUCACAUGUCCAAUUAAUUUUAUUUAUGAAAAAAAUUGGUCAAAAUGGUAACAUUAAAUUAAAGUCCGAAGAUCAAAAUAUCACAACUCUAGUUUGAGAACCACCAAAAAGUUACACUGCAAUUUUUUUUUUUUUUUUUUUUUACGUGAUCUACUUUAUUUUGUAGAUUUCGGGAUAAAAUAGUUUAAUUUAAUGGCCGAACGAAUUUUUAAAUGAUAAACACAUUAUUUUCGUAAAAAUCAUGUAUUCAAAUAGUUAAUAGCUUUUUAAAAAUCAUAUUUUAAAAUUAAAAUAUAAAUUUUAUUUGUUUAUAUUCGUACCAAAUUUUUGGCGUAAUCCAAAUUAACUAAUCAAGGUUCAAAAAGGAAUAUAGUUGAUGGGACUCCGCAGAGAUUAUUCGUUAAUAUCCUAUCCCCUCACACUUGGACGGUGGGAUUUAGUUUGAAUAAAUUUUGUCCUUCGCUUGUGACUCUCUAAUCUCUAUCUAAUAUGCGAAUCACCACCUCAUCUCCAGCACAGCACUUGGUCAGAGAUCGUAGAUCACGAUCGGCUUCCCUGCGAAGCGCUCCCUCUUCUCAUCACUCUCGCAGCUUCUGGGUAAUUAAUUAAUCAUCCUUCAAUCCCCUCUCACAAAUCCCACCGAAUCCAUCCCUCCCAAUCGCAGCGGCGAAAAAUAAUCACACAUUUAUUGCUGGUUUUCUUACGAAAUCAUUCAUUUAGAAGCUAGAUUAUAAUAAUCCUUUUUUUAAUUUUUUUUGAUGUGCAGGAAAUAAGAUGCUUGUUGACACUUCGUGUUGAAAACAAUUAAAGAAGGGAUUAUUAUAAUCUUUAAUAACUAGAAUGGCGAUGGUUUCUUCGAUUGGGCUACUCUCUCCCGCGAACAAUUCGUAUAAAUUUUGGGAGGAUCCAUCGUUCAUUAAGUGGAGGAAGCGCGACUCGCACGUGCCACUGCGCUCGCACGAUUCACUUGAAGGUGAAACUACCUAAGCGAGUGUGCUGUUAAUUUCGCGUAAAUUAACUUCUCCUUUUAAGCCUGCUCCACAGGAUUUUCUUUUAUGAUUGCAAGCUACGAGUCUGAUUUGUUAUGAUAGUGUAUUUCAACCUCGAGGUGAUUUAUUUUGUUAUGAUAUUUGAGAAUAUCACAGAACGAGGUUAUCUUUUCAAUUAUAAUUGUAAGCUAUGAGUGUAAUUUGUUAGGAUAGCGUAUUUCACGGCCUACGAAAUAAUUUAUCUUGAUUGCAAGCUAUGAGUCUGAUUUGUUAGGAUAGUGUAUUUUACUUACGAGAUGAUUUAUCUUAUUCUGAGAAUAUUAUGAUAGAAAAAGACUUGGAGGUCGCAUAUAAAUAAUAUGCUUGUUGAAUAAUACGAAACAACCAUUUAUCUCUAGCAACUUAAACCGGUGGAGAACAGUGUUUUUGCCUGACAUGACUCGAACUUAGGAUUUCCUGUUCUGAUGUCAUGUUAUAUAAUACUAAAUAACCAUUUAUCUCUUCCAACUUAAGGUAGUAGAGAACAGUAUUUUCAUAUUUUUAUAUUUGUAUUUACCAUGGCUGUUUUCUGUAUGUAGGAUCUCUUAGGUAUUGGUACGAACGUAGCAAUGUGAAUUUUCUCAAUUCCAAUGAUGCUGUAUGGAAUGACGAUGCUGUGGUUGGCGCUCUCGAGUGUGCCGCUUGCUGGGUCAAGGGCUUACCUUUCUUGCAAUCUUUAAGUGGGUCCUGGAAGUUCUUUUUGUCUUCUUCACCUGAAAAUGUUCCUGCAAACUUCUUUGAUGGUAACUUUGAUGAUUCAGCUUGGGAUACGCUACCAGGCAAGAUUUUUUCGUUUCCCUUAGCAUUUUAAUCAAGAACUGCAUAAGCAUGGCAUUGUUUCUUGUUUUGUUUGUAAACAAUUAUUCUUUCUCAUUUUUCAUUAUUUUCGUCUAUUUGAAUGUGCAAUCAAUUGAUAAAUGUUUGCCGGCCGAAUAGCAUAAGAAAUUAUGUUGAUUGUUAGUAAAAUGCUUGGUGAAUUCAGGGACCAUAGACAUGCAUCGAUAUUAGCAUUUCCUUUUAAUAGGACAAAACUUAUCACUCGACUCGUCAACUUUCAUUUAAUUGAUUUCUAAAGUCAACUCGUUGUAGAACUUUUGAGUCUUUCUUUAGUUCAUUGAACUUCAUUUUCUCAUCAUUUGUCAAAAAUGGAAACAUUUACUAGCUUAUAAAGUGUCAGGAUGUACAAUAUGUGGGUUCUAUUUAUUGUAAAAAGGCAAAGUUGCUAGUCUCUAGAAUGUUUCCUUUUAUAAUUGUAGGUUGUAUAAGUAUAGAAUCUGCAUCUUGUCAUCUUCUAUUAUUAAACGUUAAAGUUCAUCUCUGCUGUCCAAUUUUAAUUAGAGAUGGAAUUUUCCAUCUCUCUCUCUCUCUCUCUCUCUCUCUCUGAAUAUCUUCUAACAUUAUUAUGCAUUUGAAGCAGUUCCAUCAAACUGGCAAAUGCAUGGUUUUGACCGUCCGAUUUACACGAAUGUAAUUUAUCCAUUUCCGUUGAAUCCGCCAUAUGUUCCUUCAGAGAAUCCCACUGGCUGUUAUAGGAAAAGUUUUCGCAUUCCAAGAGAAUGGAAAGGUAUGUCCGGUAGAACUCCAUUGGUAUCUUUCCUUUAAUGUUGGGGUAAAUGUUUUCCCUUUAUGUUGUUUGUUGCAAUUAUUUGUUGGUGAUUAUUAAAAUGUACUUGCUUAGAUAGAAUGAGCCAAGCUAUGUUCACAUUUCUCUGCACAUUAGAGCUCUUCAAUAGGUUAGGCGGUGUUAGAGCUGGCAACAAUGCCGUUCAAAUUUUAGAGAGUUCUUGCUGUGCAUUAUCAUCUAUUUACUUGCAUUUAUGAAGCUAAGUUUGAUUCUUUGGUAUGGUCAUGGUUCUUGUUAUUUGUCUAUUUAAUAUUUAUUUGUAUUAUAUUCACCACUGUAUGUGAAUAAUGAUUUUUGGCAUUUGCGGUACUUAGUUGUUCUUUUGAUCUAUAAGUUGCAAGUGAUAGGUCGCAGGAUCCUCUUGCAUUUUGAAGCUGUUGAUUCCGCAUUCCUUGCUUGGGUGAAUGGAGUUCAUAUUGGAUAUAGGUAUAUAUAAUGCUGACCUUUCUCUUCAAAUUCCUUUUUUGUAAAAUUUUUAACUUUUGUUGUCUUACCAUGAUGGCCGAAUUUAUUGUGGUUGUAUUAAAAAAAAAAAGUUUCCUGAAAUGCCAACUUUUUUAACCUCCUGUCUCCAAUUAUUAUAUUGAUCAUCUACAGCAUUUGCCAUUCAUAGUUUGGUAGUGGCAUUAUGUUAGAUGAAGUGCUUAUGAGUUCUGAGAGAAAUAUGGGAAGCUACUGAAGUAAGCUUGUAUUAAUCCGUUGUUGUUAUGCCUAUGCAUGCUGUUUGGUAGGAUGCGGUAAGGCUCUAGAUAAUAUUUGACAUUUUCAUAUGAGAUGAGAAGACUAAUACAGAGAAAGAUUCAGAAAAUCCCUUUUGAGUGCUCUUAUAGAAAUUCAAUAUGCAUUUGUGCCAUUUCAAUGGGGAAAAUCUUAUUGAUGUCUUUAAUACAGCCAAGACAGCAGGCUGCCAGCUGAGUUUGAAAUCACUGACUGCUGCCAUCCGUGUGACUCCGACAAGGAAAAUGUUCUUGCCGUUCAAGUGAUGAGAUGGAGUGACGGUUCCUAUUUAGAAGAUCAAGACCAUUGGUGGCUAUCUGGUAUUCACCGAGAUGUUAUCCUUCUUUCAAAGCCACAGGUUUGUUUGUCUUAGUUUCCCUCCUGUGCAUAUAUAUUUAAGGCGCCGUUUGUUCUACCGAUUUGUAACAUUCCCAGAAGGCUUCAGAUUUUGUGCUUGAAAAAUGAGAUUGUCAUCUCACAACUCAAGUCAGAAAGGCAUAAGGCACUUACAGAGAAGACGGGGGAAGGCGGGUAAAGUGAUUAAUCUAGAUCCUUGACCUGUAGACAUCUUACCUUAUGAUGAUGGUGGGGGGUUUCAUCAGUCCCAUAUCUGAUGGUUAUAAGAUUUCCAUUAGGCUAUAAAGUAGACCAAUACAAAGAAUCUAUAAGUCCCUUGUCCCCUUCUGAUCCAAGUUUCACGAUAAUAAUCUCACAUUUCAAUUAGCAUAUAUAGAGCAUUCCCAAAAUGUUACUAGUCGGUUCAUAUUCAUUACUAAUUUGCCUUCAUAUACUCUCGGUGCGCUUAUUAAAAGUUUCCUUCGACCAUUCUCCUUUUAAAGAGCACCAACCAUAUAUAUUGUUUAUAACAUUUGGAUGGGAUAAUUUGCUUUGUAGGUCUUUAUAACCGAUUACUUCUUCAAAGCAAGCCUGGAUGAAAAGUUUCUUGUGGCUGAUGUCCAGGUAAAUACCUUUGGAGUGACUAGAAACUUUGAUAUUGAGGGGCAAAUUUAAGAAAAUGAAUUAUUUAUCCUAGCUAUCUUUGCAUUACCAUCUGCUGCUAAUACUUAUAGAAAUUGAAGUAUUUGGAUCAUCAUAGAAAAGGUCAUCUAGCAGUUUCAAGUGAAAUGAGGAAUUUCAUUUUGAACUGAAAAAAUUACACUAUUAACAUUUUUUUGUUGUAUAUGCAGUAGCUGGUAGAUUUCUUUCUGCAUGAAAAGGUACCCUUUAUUCACAUAUUAUUGUGUAACAUGGAUCCAUCUAAUAUUUAACCUUAUAUAUGUCCAGGUUGAGGUGAAAAUUGAUGGGCCGAAGGACAGCCCAGAAGAUGUUUCAAGUAUUUUGAUAGAAGCUUCAUUGUAUGACAAUGAAGGAUGGCAUGAUUGUGCAACCAAUGAAGGCAAAGUUGACUUGACUUCUUUUAAUGUGGCAAACAUGGAGCUCAAGUCACCACCGGCUGGAAGUCUUGGCUUUCAUGGUUAUCAUCUUUCAGGGAAACUAGAAGGGCCGAAACUAUGGUCCAGCGAGCAUGUGAGCCUUCUUGCUUGAAAAGAUUAAAAAAGAAAAAAACAAGAAAGUAAAACAGCUGAGAAGAAUCUUCAUUCUUUUUUAUUAUCUCACAAUUGUGAAUGCUAUCAGCAAAUCAUUUAUGCUUAUUUCUUCUUCUUCUUCUUCUUUUUUUGGGUUAUAUUCCAUAAACAGCCAAACUUAUACACUCUCGUCAUCCUCCUGAAAGAUGCAGCUGGAAAGUUACUCGACUGUGAAUCAUGCCAAGUAGGCAUAAGGCAAGUAUCACGAGUUCACAAGCAGAUGCUUGUUAAUGGGCUACCUGUUGUAAUACGAGGUGUCAAUAGGCACGAGCAUCAUCCACGUGUAGGGAAGACAAAUUUGGAAGCUUGCAUGAUUAAGGUCAUUCUCUUACUCGUGUAUUCUUUCUCAUGUACCAUCAUUAACAUAUGACCAUCAGUGCAUUAAAAUUGACAAGUUAAAUAAUUUUGUUUGGAGCCUUUAUAUAUGUAUAUCCUUGCGAAAUAUUAUAUUUACAUAUAUGCCACUAUAAGAUCAGAGUUUUCAUACUACCACUUGACACUGUAUUUUCUUACCAAAAUACCCUUGAAUUGGAGAGUUACCUAACUUGCAACUGGGAGGGAGGGGUUUUGAAAGUUUUAGAGGAUUGGGCAUUUAUGUAGUACGAGGGCAUAUGUCUGAGAAAAUUUUUUGGAAGGGCACAUGUGAAAAUUUAGAUUUUGCCAGGGUACAUAUGUACAUAGAUAUUUCUAGGGUACGUAUAUUAAGUAUCUUCCUUUUCCUUUAUCCUGAUAGAAACAUCGUUUAUUUAUGUCUGACUAUAGGAUUUGGUCCUAAUGAAGCAAAACAAUAUAAAUGCUGUGAGAAACAGCCAUUACCCUCAACACCCAAGAUGGUAUGAGUUGUGCGACCUCUUUGGUGUCUACAUGAUAGAUGAAGCCAAUAUCGAGACACAUGGCUUCGAUCUUUCCAGCCGUUUCAAACAUCCUACACAAGAGCCAAUUUGGGCUAAUUCUAUGCUUGAUCGUGCUAUUGGCAUGGUGGAGAGAGACAAGAAUCAUGCUUGCAUUAUUGCAUGGUCCUUGGGAAAUGAGUCUGGAUAUGGGGCCAAUCAUUCUGCUAUGGCUGGUAACAGACCUUUUUUUCUCGCCACUUGACAUUUUAUAUGGUCUUCUGAUAUGUAAUUGCUGAUUCAAUGCAGGGUGGAUACGAGGAAAGGAUUCAACGAGGAUUUUGCAUUAUGAAGGAGGUGGAUCGAGGACUUCGUCGACAGAUAUCAUUUGCCCGAUGUAUAUGCGCGUAUGGGACAUUCUGAAAAUUGCUAAAGAUCCAACUGAAGAUAGACCGCUUAUUUUGUGCGAGUAUGUUGUUCAUUUGCCUUGCAUAUUCAAUUGAGUUCGCUUUGAUUUUUUAUCUCUUUUUUUCUUUUAAUAUAUAUGUAUAUUAGCGAAGUAUUUAUUUAUUUUUUUCUUGUUAAGAUAUUCACAUGCUAUGGGAAAUAGUAAUGGGAAUAUUCAUGAGUACUGGAAAGCUAUUGAUAACACUUUUGGACUUCAAGGAGGUUUCAUAUGGGAUUGGGUUGAUCAGGUGAGUAGCUCUUCUGCAUAUCUUCAUAGCCUACAGCCACGCUUAACUUGUAAAGUACCAAACUACCAACUAAACAUUUUUAUAGUUUUAGUCAAGACCCUUCUCUUCUAAAGGCGACUCUUCUAUUUACCUUAAACAAAAUAAUAUUUCUUUCAGGGAUUACUGAAGGAGGCAAAUGAUGGAACUAAACACUGGGCAUAUGGUGGUGACUUUGGUGAUAUGCCUAAUGACUUGAACUUUUGUUUAAAUGGUCUCACAUGGCCUGAUCGUACACCUCACCCAGCUAUGCAUGGUAACUAAGAAUCAGAUUCUUACUUCUUUGAGUAAUAAUUGAAACUAUAUAUUCCACAAAAAUGGUCCCAAGCUAAACUUUGUCUUAUAUUUCAUCAAGUUUGUUGCUGUUUUCAGAAGUUAAAUAUUGUUAUCAGCCUCUGAAGACCUUUCUACUGGAAAACAUGGCUGUUAAGGUACUCCUGUAAUCAGUGUUAUCUAACUUCCCACAAGAGGAAGAUAUGCAUAACGCGUAAUUUUCUUAUGUAUCAUGUAGAUACAAAAUGCACAAUUCUUUGACUCAACCCGAGCAAUAGAGUUCAGCUGGGUUCUGCAAGGAGAUGGAUGCAGCGUUGGUUCAGGAAUACUCGACCUCCCUGCAAUUGCACCCCAAUGUAGUCAUCUUAUUGAAUUGCAGUCAUCACCUUGGUAUCCUCUGUGGGAAGCAUGUGCAGCAAAAGAAAUAUUUUUGAUGGUAACUGCGAAAUUGAAGUAUUCAACACGAUGGACAAAAGAUGGACAUGUUCUUGCUUCUACUCAACUUUGUUUACCUGCCAAGAAUGCUGUCACUCCCCAUGUAUGCAUCCAUUAGACUCAACUUUUUGUUUUUUUUGUUUUGUUUUGUUUUUUUUUAAAUGUAACCGUUACUGGAAUUAUCUUCGUGCAUGUCAUCCUUUCUAGGUAAUCAAUUUGGAUAAAGGCACCUUGCUUUCUGAGCGCGUUAGUGAGAGCUUAAUCAUUACAAAACAGAACAGUUGGCAGAUCAAAGUGAACACACGCACAGGAACAAUUGAUAGUUGGAAGGUAAGUGUGAUGAUGUUAUUUAUGGCUUUCUUGAACAUUUUUGCAACUAUCACAAUUUCCUGGUUAAUGUAAAGGUAGCUACAACUUAUUUAACUUCUCCUUGAGUCUUCUGUCCUCUCUUGGACUAACAUUAACAGUCUAUGAGGGCCUGCCGCCCACCACUGCCAAGUGUGCAUGCAGUGCUACUCCCAUACAAAGAGAAUUGUUUCAAUCAAUUGUUCAAAUCCAUGAUCCCCUCAUACAAUAAGUUUGAUAUGCUUUAUUGAUAAUUUGUACUCUGGCUUAUGCCAGAUUUCAUAAGAAGCUUACCUACUUUCAUUGAUUCAUGAUUCAUCUAGUGUUUUAUUUUUAUUAUAAUUAAACAGGAAUAACAGGUUACUUUGUUCUGAAUGAGCUGCAGGUUAAUGACAAUGUAGUUGUAACUCAGGGUGUAUUUCCCUGCUUCUGGCGUGCACCCACUGAUAACGACAAAGGAGGAGGUCCAAACAGUUACUUUUCCAAGUGGAAGGCCGCCUUUCUUGAUAAUAUAUCAUUUCAGACCAGCCACUUUUCUACGAAAGAACUCACAGACAAUACUAUUCAGAUCUCAACUGUAUAUUAUGGCUUACCAAAGGAUUUGCUGAAAUCUGACGAUUUUGAGAAAGUAUCUGAAGACUCAAAUUCCAUUUUAUUUAAAGUUGAUGUCUCCUACUUAAUAUAUGAAUCUGGUGAUGUGAUUUUGCACUACAAAGUUAGCCCUAAUAUUGACCUUCCUCCACUUCCACGUGUCGGUGUCGUAUUCCAUGUAGACAAAUCGCUAGAUUGCGUCAAAUGGUACGGAAAGGGACCAUUUGAAUGCUAUCCGGAUAGGAAAGAAUCUGCACAUGUUGGAAUAUACGAAAGCAGUGUAGAAGAUAUGCAUGUGCCUUACAUUGUUCCUGGGGAGUGUUCCGGCCGAGCAGAUGUCAGAUGGGUUGCUUUUCAAAACAAGGAUGGAGUUGGCCUAUUCGCUUCCACUUAUGAUGACUCCCCACCUAUGCAAAUGAGUGCAAGUUACUACAGCACUGAAGAGCUUGACAGGGCAACUCGUAACGAAGACUUAGUUAAAGGACAUGACAUCGAGGUUCUCUCUCUCUCUCUCUCUCUCUCUCUCUCUCAUGUUACAUUGGUUGGUAUACAUCUUACAUUCAUAUUAGGUUUUUCAAUUGCCUUGAUGCAUUCUGAAAUUAUGAUUCUCUUAGCCUAGAUUUUAAAAAAUAUUUUUAAGACCAGAAUAAGAAGCGAAACAGAAAGGCAUGCGAUUUAGUCUAAACAGGUCCAAUCUACCGGAUUAAGAAGCUUGGUUAUUAAACAGCUACUGCAUUUAAUUUCGACACUUAAUUUAGCUGAGGUUCAGCGCUUGAUCUUGUUAUACAGGUGCAUCUUGACCACAAGCACAUGGGAAUUGGCGGAGACGAUAGUUGGUCACCGUCCGUGCACGAACAAUACCUGGUUCCUCCAGUUCCUUACUCCUUUUCCAUAAGAUUGUGUCCUAUCUCUCCGUCUAGCUCGUGCCAGGACAUUUAUCGAUCUCAGCUUCCUCGGUGAUAUUCUUAUGUGGUAAUGGGGAGUACGAGUUUUGAGAUCCUCUGUUGUCAUACCUGGUCAUUUGCUAGUCGUUUGCAAUGAAUAAUGGAAAUCAAGCAUUGCCAUAUGUAGUUAAUGCUUGUAGCAGUUUGAACGUGGAUUGUUCCACAAACAUUUGUAACAAAAUUCGGGGCAUUUCUGAUGGCUUUUUUUGGUAUUUCGUUGUGUAAGUUGAAUUUUCUUGUAUUUUGUAUUUAGUUUGUGAUCAACAUGAAUGCAGCAUGAAUAUUCUAUUUAUUUUAGCAAGAAAUAGAGUUGGCUAAAAUGUAAUUGUAGUUUCACUAGAAUUGAAAAAAGUAUAUCUCUCCGCACUUCUGUUCGGACUCCUCUAAUCAAAUCAGCUAAAGGUGUUUCUGGAAGUAGUAACUUUUAACUUGUUGGACUUCUAAAUUUAUAACAAAAUUACCACCAAAUUAUUAAUAAGAGUCAAAAAGUUGAAAGUAUGCUAUUUUUAAGGGCCUUUUUGGCAUGAGCCCCUGUCAAUUUUUUUUUUUUACAUUUCGACUCAUCAAAUUUAUAAUUACAAAUUUCAUCCUAUCUCCCUUAAGCAGGCGCCACAUCAGCGCUAUGGAAGUUGGAGGGGUGUUAAGUUGAAUACGGUGACGUGUUCAAACACGAUGAAUGAAUUAUUCACCGUGUUCAAACACAGUGUUUCGUAUUUAUAUCACCAUUCACCAUAUUUAGACAUGGUGAAUAAUUUACCGUGUCCAACUUAUUCCAGUACAUUUCCUUGUUUGUGGCACUUACGUGACAUCUGCGUGAUAGGAAUAGGACCAAAAUUAUAAUUAUAAAUUUGAUAAGAUUAUUUAUAAAAAUAAAUUUUUUGAGAGGGCAAAUGCAAAAAUAGCCCUAUUUUGAAUUAAAAGUUGUUUAAUAUGCUGCAGUUGAUAAUGACGUGGCAUCCAAUUCCUCUCUCAUUUUUUAUCUCUCUUGAUUCCCUCGCGCAAUAAGCAAAUCGCCCACCCAAAAAAAAAAAAAAAAAAACCUAUGGCCACCGGAGGGAAUCUUCUCAUCUUCCUCUCCGCCGCCGCCGCCGCUCUCUCCGCCGUCAUCCUCUUUCCGGCCAUCAAUUCCUCCUGUAAGCAAAGAGCUUCUUCCUUUUUCUCAACAUCCAACUCCAACACAACCCUAACAAACAAGCCUGUGGGAAUCGUCGUUUGCAGUCGCAGGGAGCGUUUUGAAAUGGGGGAGGACGUACGCGGACGUCGUCGUCACCAACGCCACCAUCUACACCUGCGACUCCGCUCUUCCUUUCGCAGACUCCAUGGCCAUCCGCAGCGGCCGGAUUCUGCGUCUCGGAACCUAUUCUUCUCUCAAGGUUUUUCUUUACAAAGUUAUAUUCUCAAUUCUUUUUAAAGUAUUGCUAUCUUAUUGAUGCCAUUGAGCUGCUAUGCAAUCUUUAAUUCAGGACUUAGUGGGUUGCAACACAAAUGAGCUGAAUCUUAAUGGGAAGGUUGUGAUGCCCGGGUUUAUCGAUUCUCACGUGCACUUGAUAUUUGGUGGUCUGCAGGUAUAGUCCGCGCAAUAGUUUAGUAAUCAUCAGAGCAAUUUAUGCCGAGUUACGUAGUCUAUGUUUCGUUUAUAUAUUGAGCUAUUUAUUUAUAUUUAUAUAGAUCACCUCUGUCUGAAUCAACAUCAUCACACGAAUUCUGUGAUCUUUCUGGAAAAUACCUAAGUGACGAUUUUUAUGUGUUGUGAUAGUUUUAGGGUGGAAGAGGUUCACCCUGCAUGUUAUCUUUUGAAGUUGUAAAAGUCGUCUUACGCAGAUGCAGAAUGCUGCUAACAGUUUUACAGCUAAUGCCGUGUUUUUAUUAAAGAAUCGCACAGUUGAACUCGUUUUUUUUUUAUCUGUUGGAUCUUGCUUUAUUACUUCUUAGUGGGACUUACUGAUCCUUCUUUUUGUCUCGUUUGCUUACUGGAAAUCAGAUGGGGCAGGUGGAACUUCGAAACAUCAAACACAAAGAUGAUUUUGUCAGAAAAGUCAAGCAAGCUGUCAGAGGUUUACAUCCUGUUUACUCUCUUAUUCUGCCGGAGUGCAACUGUUUAUUCAACUUGUAGUUCAAGAAAAUAAAGGAAAAGUUGCUAAGCAUUGCAUAUCGUUAUUGUGGCAUACCUGACUGUUAUUUCAAUAAGUUUAUAACGUUUUCGUCACGAAUUCUUUCUGAGAAAUUUCAUAAACGGAUUGUUUAUUGAAGGGUUAUGAAAUGUUGGUCCAGUUGAGUUUGAAAUGUUAGAGCAGUAAAACUUGGUUCUUAGGCGAGUACUGAGCUAAAGUCCCAAAUCUGGCUUAUCGGGAUUCCUUUCAAGUCUUAAUAAUGAUUAGAAUGGAUUUAGUUAAUCCUGUUAUAUAUGUGGGAUAGCCCGUUCGACAUGUUCUUGUGCAUGAGAAUUAACAGUGUCCGUUGCUUGCCUGCAUGUUACAGUAUAGUGCCUCAAACUUCUCUAACCUGUUCAAUGAUACUGGGAUUACUUGUUUGCUGUGCAUUGCGUAAUGAAAUCCUUUGUUCAUGUGCAACUUAUUUUAGGUUAGCACACCCGUCCUUGUGUAGCUCUCCGAAAAACUUUGAUUUGAAUAAACCUUUAAUUAUCCUCAUGGUGUCCUCAAGUAUGGAUUCGCUUUGGUCCUUGGGUUCUUGCAUAUGGUGGGAAACUGAUGUCUCAAAGAGUGUACAAUAGCUUGCGUACAGUGUUUGAUCAUCUUGCAUGUAACUAUUAAAAUGUAUCGUGCAGGUUAAGUUGGAUUUCACAAUUUGACUGCUUUUGUAAUCAACUAUGCUUACUAUUUUGGUUCAUUUGCACUUAUAAUUGAAACAUAUUCUGGCAGAUAAGCUUCCUGGCCAGUGGAUCUUAGGCGGUGGUUGGAACAAUGACUUUUGGGGAGGUGACUUACCUAAUGCUUCUUGGCUAGAUGAUAUUACACCAAACAACCCUGUGUGUUUAUCAAACAUGUACUGAUUUAGUUUCCAAACUGGUAGUACAGCUAGCUGACGUUAUGGUAUUCUUUCUCUACAGGUUUGGCUUUCGCGCAUGGAUGGCCACAUGGGAGUGGCAAAUUCGCUCGCUCUCAAGAUUGCUGGGAUUACUAGAAACUCCGACGAUCCAGUUGGUGGAAGCAUUAUCAAGACAACUGAAGGAGGUAAAGUUGUGUAUUCAGUUUGUUUAAUUUCUUUAAAUAAUUGUCACCGUGUUGGAUAAGUAAGAAACUUUUUUAAAUCCUGUAAAGAGCGAAGUUUGCUACCUAAAUUGGGAAGGAAAAAUAACUUUUGCUCUUGUUAUUAUUUUACAAGUUAAUCACGUUUUUUUUUAAUCUAUUUCAGUUUCUUUCACAUGAUUACCCUCCGAUCAUGAUGUAAAAUCAUACUAAUAUAAAAUGUCAGUUAAAUUUUGAAUCCGAUUCUGAUGGCUUUAAUAAAAGUUUUGGUUCAGUAUGUAGCUCAAAUAGCUUCAGAUUUAGUAAAAGAUUUUUUUUAAUGGAAGUUUGCUCUUAUUGAUUGCAUGAAAGGCUGUCCUUGUUCUUUUGCAGCAGUUACUAGCUCGAUGUCUUGAUAUGAAAAAUGUUUUUCCUCAUUGUGGUCUCCAUAUGCAAGUCUUAUUAUUCCUUCUUAGUUUUCUUCUUUUUCCUUUUUCUUUUUUGUCUGAGCUUUAUUUGGUUCUGAUGUGUCUUUAACUGUUCUGUUCACAUGGUAGAGGACAAGGUGCAAAACUUUAGAACUUAUUAGUUCAUAUGAAACUCAAACCAGGAAAUCAAAUUUCAUUUAAAAGUUAAUACUUUCAUAUUUACAUACAGUACCUACUGGUCUGCUGGUUGAUUCCGCAAUGAAACUUGUUCGCUUUGUAAUUCCUGAGGUUUCAAUCCAUGAAAAAAGAGAUGCCCUGAUGAGAGCAAGCAGGCAUGCACUGAUGAGGGGGGUGACAACUGUAGUUGACAUGGGAAGAUAUUUACCGGGUGCAUCAGCUGAUCCUGUUUGGCAUGAUCUUUCAGGUUAGUUUUGGACCUUUCAAUCCUCUUGUGCUUAAAAUCACAUUCUUGGUCUCUUCUAGUAUUAGUUAGGAAUUUUCUACAUGCAUACUUGUUGACUUUUAUCAGGAUUUGCAGUAGUUUCUAGUUUCCACCUAGUUCUGAAAUAUGUGUAAUUCUCAGAGAUAGUAUCAUACUAGUAGUAAACGAAAAGCUGCUUUUUACCUGGUUUAAAGUUGAGCAAUAUUUUGGAAGGUUGUGAUCCUUAUUUAUGAUCAAAAGAAAGGGAAAUUUGUAAAGAAUUUGAGGUGCUUAAAUUUCAAGCUUUUUGCUGACCUCACUAUGGCACUCAUAUGUCUACAGAUGUUUACAGGUGGGCUGAUUCUUCUGAAAAAAUGAUGAUAAGAGUUUGUUUAUUCUUCCCUUUGCCAUCAUGGUCACGGCUAGUUGUAGGUUCCUUCCACAGUAAUUGUAUGUGUAAUUCUAUUAUUUGAUUACAUCCUUAAUGAAUAUCAACAGUAUGUUAUCUUAAUAGUAUCAUAUUGUUCUUUUACCAAAAUUAUCUAAAUUGAGACGUAUAGUCGUUUGUUCAGCAUGUAAGAUCAAUUAAAAAGUUAAUAGAAAGGAAUACUUUAAAUGACCCCUUUGUGGUUUAGUGCAUUUGCACUUCGCUACAUUGUGUUUUCAUUUGUUACGCUUAAUUAACCUGUGGUUGUUUGCUGGUCUAUGCAACUAUAUAUCAUAUUUUUGUAAGGACCAAUAUUAGAAUACUUUGCUUUGGAGUUUUCGAUUUUUUAUCGAGUAUUUUCAGAAAGUCUCCAAAUUUCAGCAGCCAAAGAACUUUUGUUGAAUAAAUUCUGAUAUAGUAUAGUUUCCUAAUGUAGUGCAAUGCCAGUAUACUUUUGACGGCUAUGCAUGAUUAAUCCUGAGAAAAUUCAUGAGCUCACCACAAAAUGGAAAGUACAAGCAGCUAAUGAACUUUGGAAGAACUUUAUACCUCAUAUGUGUUAAGUGAAAACACUAGGCCCUGAAAGCAAAAGCACUACUGAUAGGGUUCACACUCUUUUGGAAUUACUUCUGUUGAUAGUUAUAUGUUAGCUAAUUUUAUCUUGUAUAAAAUCAGUUGUAAACUCACCUUUUUGAACUGAUGAACUUGGUCACAAAUUAGCUUUUGUGAAUCCUUUCAUUAAAUGAUAUUCUGCUUAUAAGCAUUGUUUCAUGAUACAUUUAGGAUCUUAUGCAAGAAACAGGUCAUGCAAUAAGUCAAUGGGUACACCUUGGUGGUGUUAAAGCCUUUUUAGAUGGUUCGGUGGGUUCCAACAGUGCACUGUUCUAUGAGGUGAGAAUAUAUUUAUGAAUGUUCUAUCCUUCUGUCCAUUAAUACAAUAUUGUGUUCUAUUUAUUUCAAUUUAGGUUUUGGACAUAAUUUUUGUUAACUUACUGAGAUGAACGACUCACACCAAAUGUCGCUAUAGUUAUGUAUAGAGGGGUAACUUCUCUUGAGUACUUAUUCUCUGUUAAUAAUUUCGUCUUCUGAAGACGUGAGAUUUACAUGUGUGAAAAACUUUCCCUGUAGACAAGUAAUAGAAUUCUAAUUUUCUGCCUUUUUCCCAUAGUAAAUUAUUCUUGAUUUAGUUGCUUUUCUUUUAUCCUAGAAUUGAAAUCCUCUCAAUAAUUUGUAGAUUAGACAUUCCCCAGUAGCCAUGGAGAAGCAUGCUGAUUAAGCAAUUAUGUUUCUAGUUUUUCUGCUGUUGUAUCUAAAACUUGGACUUCCCUAUUUUCGGAUGAGUUAAUCAGUAUCGUUUGUCUUUCUCCAAAUUUCUCCUGCACUUCUAAUUUCUUUAGUAAAGAUGGGCUUCUCUAACAAAGCAUAUUCGAUGAGUGAUUAUAGCCUUAUGAAGAUGACACCAGUAAUAGUGGUUUAAAAGUGACAAAUUUGGAUUGGCUUCUUAAUGCAACCCUAGAAUCAGACAGAUCUGGACUUCAGGUACUUUGCUUGUGGAAUAUUAUUAUUUUUAGAUGUACACAUGUUAGCGAGGAUGUCACUUGUUAUCAUCUAUUCUAAUUCCUGUUUUCAAGGUGGCAAUCCAUGCAAUUGGAGACAAAGCAAAUGACAUGGUGCUGGAUAUGUUCAACUCAGUGGCUUCUGUACAUGGAAUGAGAGAUCGCAGAUUUAGGGUAAUCAUUCAAUUUGCUGUGUCCCAUAUGUUGUUGUUCUUUAACUGAGUUACUAGUUGUCUGUUACUGAAUAAUCAAUAAGGAUGCUUAUUAUGAACAACAACAUGGUAAUGGUGAUACAAAACUUCCAGAUUGAACAUGCACAACAUCUAGCUCCAGGAACAGCAAAGCGUUUUGGUCAACAAAGGGUUAUUGCAUCUGUGCAGGUAAAGUGCAGGCUCUUUUUUUUUUUUUUUUUUAAUCUCUGUUUCUUCUCUAUGAUUUUCCUUAUUACGCUUGUUUUAAGCUAGUCAACUUGAUUAAGUUAUUUGAGUAGCUAGUCAACCUAAUCAAGUGGUGCUUUCUUUCUAUCUCGGUAUCUUGGAAAAGGAAAUAACCAAGCUAGAACAAAAUAAACUAAUCCUAAGUAACGGAUAUACCCGAAGUAACCAAUUUUGUCUGCCAGACCUAAGAGAUGAAACUGAGAAAAAUAAACUCAAGCUCACACUCUGUACAGGUUUGGAUUGCAUCAAAAGUUUCCACUGUCCAAUAUAGGGUCAUGGUGUGAUAUGUUCCAUUGGCUGAAUUAGCUAGUUUACUGUUGUUAACAGCCAGAUCAUCUCUUGGAUGAUGCUAAUUCAGCUGGGAAAAAACUUGGGGAAGACCGCGCUUUGCGAAGUUCGUAUUUAUUCAAGUCACUUUUAGAUGCCGGUACACAUUUAGCUUUUGGUUCGGACUGGCCGGUGAGCUUUCUCAACAUUUGUACUUCUAAUUUUCAAUGCUUAUAUUUUUUGGCUCAUACAAUAAUGUACUAUCUGGCUAUCUGCCUUUUGUUUUGGUAGGUAGCAGAUGUUAAUCCAUUAGGAAGUAUCAGAACUGCGCUGUACCGUGUACCCCCAGGAUGGGAAAGUGCUUGGAAUCCCAGUGAGAGUGUUGCAUUGAAUGAUGCUAUAAAAGCGUAAGGCCUUCAUGUUCAUUACCUUCGCUAGUUAAUAUCGGCCAACCAAAGCUCCCAUUGAAAUCAUUUUGAUAUGAAUUUUGUUCUAAAUUUCUAAGCUUACUAGCUAAGUUGGAGACUGCCCAUUGCUACUUCUACACAAGACUUGAGUGGCCCAAGCGGAUGGAAAAACUAGAAUUAUUGUAUAUUAUUAUCUCAAUAUGGUAGAGUGUGAAUAUAUAAUAAGAUGAAUUUACUAGUGAAGCGGUACGGUUUUCUCAUUUCUGAAGAAGUUCCAAGGCUAGCAUUGUGAUUCAGUGCCAGCAGAAAAUUUUGCGCAGUUCAAAGUUGUUUAGCAAGCGCCUUGUAAGUUCCUUUAUUAAAUAUGAUAGAGGAUAAAAGGUUGGUGAAGGUUAAUCGAUCGGAUAUCACAGAUAUACUGUGACAAAGCAUAGGAACAAAAACAUGAGACAUAUGCUUACAGAAUACAAUUUCGUGAUCACGAAAGCCAACUGUUUACAAGAUUCAACUGCCUGAUUGAUGGAUAUCCGUUGACCAUUUCUUUCAUUCAUCCUCUGUAGAAUACAUAUUAGAGGGACCUAGACUUCUCAUCCUGAAAUCAGAGGCAGAACUUCGAAUAACUUCCCUAUCAUUUAGUGCAUUUGCACUUCACUACAAGUGGUUUCUUUUGUUGCUUUUAAAGUACCUUCAAAGACCUUCGGAAAUCCUCAUUUCGUUGCUAUGUCAAUCUAUUCUGUUACUAAAAGAACUUGAUAAUCCUCUCUGUAGAUAUCUUUAUAUUUUUUUUUCACUCAAUUAUUGUUUAUUUGAGAUUAAAAAAACCAUUACGUAUUGUUUAAUCAAAUGUGGCAGGCAAACCAUAUCAGCAGCAUAUGCUUGCUUCCUUGACCAUAGUUUGGGCAGUUUGUCGCCUGGAAAGUAUGCAGAUUUUGUGGUUUUGCCUGCCGGUUCGUGGGAUGAGCUUGUCAAUGAGUUACCAUCUUCCGUCUUAGCUACUUAUGUGAACGGCAAACAGGCGUACCCAUGAUAUUGUAAAUACUUCUGCUGGGCAAGCACUUCGUAUAUUUGCCUGUAUUAUACGGUGAUGCUGCUUGUUUCUAGCAUCACAUAAAGUAAUCAACUGCAUAGUACGCAUCUCAGAUUUGUAGCUCCAGCAAAUUGUAGAAACAAAACCUAGUCAGUGUUGUUGUUUCGAUUUCAGAUGUAUAUUUAAUGGGAACAUUGGUAAUAUAUGUAAGUGAAUGGUUUUAAUUAUGAAGUAUAAUUUUUUUUAUGCUUAUGGCUGAACCAGCAAGCCACUUCGGCUUCAUGAUUCAUUACUGUUAGUAGCCAAAUUGCUAAACCUCUCUCUGUCUUUGUAUGCUACCAAUGUUUGUUUACUACCACGAGUAAGAUCGAAAGUUGGGUUUUAAGUUUGCUAGGCUAGUUUUCAAUUUUGAGUUUUCGGUCACAUGUGUGCGCAUGCGCGAGCAUUCGCAACACUGCCUUGAAUUUUUGUUCAUGCUUGAUAAUUAUUACUCAGGAGCCUAUCCAAGGCCGUUUUACUUCCACACCUGAAGGAUUUGUACUACUCAUGAUGUGGAUCUUUCAAUCUUUGAUGCAAAAAGGUUUUACAUCUGCAAUGACAUUUGGACAAUUUGUGUCACGUGGAAAGCGGAUUUCGUUAUAUAAAAAUUAGCUCGUGUACUAUUACGAAAGGUGCGAGCAUGCAAAGCGUUUGUACCCUUGCUCUCUUCCGCGGCAUUUCUAUGCAUGUUUAAUCUCUUUUCGUUUGUGUUAAUCUUCAUUAUGUAACAUAGAAGUUUGAGGUUAGCUAUCAAAGUAAUAUACUAGAGACCAAAUUUUGGUCUCUAGGCAUAUGGUUUGGAUAUGAAAUCCUUAUUUGUUAUCAGAGAUUGUAUACUAUAUUAUACAGGAAAUAUGACUAAAUUCUCCAUCAGAUAAAUUAAUUAUGUGAUCUAUUAAUAGAUAGAUAAAUUAAUUAUGUGAUCUAUUGAUAGAUAAGUGUUCUCUCUUGAUGGGGAAAUGUUUGAGAAUCUACAACAGGUUGUGCUGAGAGGUACCUUAGUAGCUUAAAAAAGAAAAGAAAAAAAGCAACAACUACUAUGAAUUAAUUACUGAUGUUCCUGCAUAAUAUUUUUGCGUAGGGAUGAUAAGAAGAACUAAAAUUUCUCAUUAUGUGUAUUUUUCGCAUAUCCUGGUUGUAGAGUUUUUGACUCAUCUGCUACUGGAAAAUAUUUGGGGAAAUUUGGAAAUAAAAUGCUUGUCAUCAAAUGCAUUUAUCUUAAUUACAAACAUUGUGGUGGAUUAAUUAUCCAGAUAAUGUUUUUCAGGAGUCCGCAUGAAUCAACACACCAAAAUUCCAGAAUUGAAUUCCUCAAAAAAGUAGAAAAACUAAGAUCUUUCCAAGCCCAUAAUGUACGAUAAUUUUGUUAAUCAUAUCGUUAAUCCGGAAAUUCUCCUAUAAACAACUUUUUCGCCUUCGAAAAUUAGCCCAAACAUUAAUCACUGUAUGCUGGAGUAAUCAUCCCUUCCUUUCUCUUUAAUAACUUUCACAAGAUGCUCACAGAAGAUCUGACCCUCCAUUCCUGUGCAUCUCUUAAUCUGUCCAAAUAACACCUACUAAGUAUUUAAAAAUGAAUCACACAUAGUACAAAUAGCGAAAAUUACAACAAUUUGGAGCACAUACCUGAAAAUGGAGGUUGUAAAAUGUUUUAUCUCCAAAGCUUGUUAAAGUUGAGGCAUUCAUUAGUUGAAGCCCCUCUCCCUCCAAAACCUUCAAAAACUUAGAGAGAGGGAGACUAAUGUUCUUGUUCAAAACAGUGAUGUGAACCAUUACCUCCUCACUAUUUAGACAAGUAGCAGAGACAUUGAUAAGGAACUCUAUGCCCUCUUUUGUUGGUGAUCCUUCUUUUCUCUUCGCGAUUUCUGCUAAAACCUCUUCCUUUCUUCGCGACAGCCUUGCGACUUGGCUUUGCAGCUCGGGUAUGUACUUCACGAUGCGGGAAACCGUCGAUGGAAUGCUCAUUUUCUUCUGCUACGUACACAAGAUAUCGAAGUGAGUACUACGGAGUUUGAUUGUAAGUGCAACGUGAGCAAGUGUGUAGCUAAAGUUCGCGGGACGUUACGGUUCGAUCAGAUUCAGGGAGCAAUGUGCGGAGAGACGAGUAGAAGCUGUUGAGCUUCUUUCUGCGGUCGCGCUCGUAGGCGUUGUGGCUCAACUUCUUGUGGCUUCUUGGGGAGUCCUUUGCGCUGUUGCUGGCACGACUCUGGUCGUCGAACUCGAGCUCGGGAUGCGGCGGAGAAGGGAAAAGGAGAGACUGCUGGAGCAUGCCAUCUUCAUGUUGGAUGCGGUUGCUUGCGAAGAUCCGAUCAUCGGAGCGGAGUUCGUUGCUCAUCACGUUGUUCUCUAACGGCGAAGAGAACAACGGCGGCGAGAGGGCUAACAUGAUGGUAUGAGGCUAGAAAAUGUUGGUGCAACUUGCUAGGCUCAAAUCUAUAUACUGAGGAUUCAAUACAAAUUAAUCAUCAAAAUUAACAAUGGUUUACUUAAUAAUGACAUGGCUCAUAUUGUUUAAUAUAUCUCUGCUGUGGAUUACGUGAGCAAGCGAUCGUGGCAUAAUUAAUGAAAAAUUACUAUAGAUAUCACACGGAAAGAGUUAAAUAUGAUCAACUGGGCUCAUUUAAAUUACUACCUUAUUAAGCACGGAGGGAGCACACGAAUUUGUGGUGCAAGAACGAGCUCUAGUCGUGUUGGCAUGCGACUAAGUGUACUCUCCUCGUGUAGUUCACACUCCCAUCUCAAGCAUUUGUUUAAGCUUCUGUUCUUGCUUUGGGAAUCAACCAAGUAUUUUGUAACUUAUCUUCGUAAGCAAAUGUAUUAUUCUAAGCAAAUUUUUUAAUACCAAACAAUUUUAAAUUCUUUCCAGUGUUAUAUAUAUAUAUAUAUAUAUAUAAUACUUACUAGUUAUGUAAUGAAGCAAUUUGAUAUCAGUACGUGAUGGUAUAUGAGUUUGACAAUAUAUCAGUAACACAUAAAAAAUAUUGAGUAAAUUGGUAUACCACUUUAAACUAUUCACACAAAUCAAUUGAAGUUUUCUAUGCACAAUAAUAGCAUUAUGAAAGAUUCGUAGAAAUUAAUAUUAUAAGAAAUAAUUUAAUAAUUAUUUUAAUCAAUACUCUUACGUGACUGCACAGAAAUUCAGACCACGUGUUAUGACAAGAGAGGAGUUUGUAAACAAAUUUUACACCUUUCUACACAUAUGCAAUUCAAUAGAUAGAUUUCUUCCUAAAUCAGAUAUGCACAUUCGUAUGUGCAACAUUUUUGAAAAAGAGACAACUAAAAGAAUGUACAAACGAGAAUUAUGCCAGUAAUAAAGGAUAAAUGCAGAGAUGAAACUCGAAACUUUUUAAGAUUUUGUUUGAAUGUUGGAAUAAGUUAUUCCACGUAAAUAUUUUUUGUGUGAUGGAAGAUAAAAAGUUCAAUUUAUAUGUUUCGCAAAACCGACACAGGGUGGAAUACAAUUCCAGGAAAUCUUGACUUUGACAAUUUUGUUGCCAAAUUAAAAGACCACGCGUGAAAUCUCUUUCCUCUGCUGCUGCUGCUGCUGCUGCUGCAUGAGCCACAGUACAGGAGCCCCAUGGCCAUGCUCCUCCUCCACCCCUCUCCUCCUCCCCCCACCCUUCGCAAACCCAUCGUCGUCUCCCUCCUCAAAACACCCUCCUCCUCCUCCUCCUCCUCCUCGUCGCCGCCAAACCCUAGCACCUCCUCCUCCCUCGCCCGCCGCACCAACCUCCUCUUCUCCGCCAUCGCCGAGUCCCAGCCCCUCGACCGCGCCCUCGCCCUCUUCCGCCUCCUCCCCGCCCGCGACGCCGCCGCCUGGAACGCCGCCGCACCCGAUCCCCUCACUCUCCGCUCGGUCCUAAACGCUUGCUCCAAUCUAAACGACCUUGAUUUGUUGAUCCAGAUUCAUUCUUACGUCNCUCCUCCUCCUCGUCGCCGCCAAACCCUAGCACCUCCUCCUCCCUCGCCCGCCGCACCAACCUCCUCUUCUCCGCCAUCGCCGAGUCCCAGCCCCUCGGCCCCGCCGCCGCCCUCCGCCUCUUCCUCGACAUGCUCCUCUCCCCCGGCUCCGCCUCCGCCGCACCCGAUCCCCUCACUCUCCGCUCGGUCCUAAACGCUUGCUCCAAUCUAAACGACCUUGAUUUGUUGAUCCAGAUUCAUUCUUACGUCAUCAAAACUAGUAGCUUGCAUUCAUUCUCCUCCGAAAUUACUGUAUUAUACACUCAUUUGCUUAACCUGUACGCGAAAUUCGGGUUGGUCGAGGUUGCCCGCAAGUUGUUCGAUGAAAUUCCCGACAUAGAUGUCGUCGCGUUCACUUCGUUGUUGGCUCGAUAUGGUGAAUCGGGUCGGCAGUUGGAUGCUUUGAGGCUUUAUCAAGAAAUUGUCAAAAGCGAUUACACAGAGAUGAAUGCGCACACUUAUUCGUGCGCUUUACGUGCUUGUGUGAGCAUCCGUGCGUUAUUUGAGGGGCGGCAGAUACAUGCGCAGAUCGUCAAAUUGAGUAUGGGAUCCGAUGUGUUCGUCGGCACGGGUUUGGUAGAUUUAUAUGUUAAAUGCGGUGAAAUGGAGUGUGCAAUGAGAGCCUUUUUGGAGAUUGAGGAGCCCAGUGUUGUGUCGUGGAACUCUCUAAUGGCCGGGGAUUUAGGUGGGGAAGAGUGUUUUCAGCUUUUUGCGCAAAUGCAGGAGAGUGGCCUGAGCCCUGAUCAUGUCACAUUUGCUUGUGUUCUUCGAUCUCUUAAAGAUGCUGAUUUGAGUGCUAUCACAGUCCGGCAAUUCCAUGGUCUAAUUGUGAAAAUGAUGGACAUGAAAUUGGAUGUUUUUGUGAGCACUGCUCUUUUUGAAGCUUACAUUGAUCACAGUUGCGAUGUCGAGGCUCAGCGAGUUCUUGCUGAGAUGGAGGAGAAGGACGAUGCGACUUUUAAUGUGGUAAUACAAGGGUGUCUUAGAAAUGGGUAUGCAGCUAAAGCUGUGGAUGCAUUUUUCGAGGCUUUGAAGGUCAGUGCGGAGCUACGAGAGGCGACUGUGUCGAUGCUUUUGAGGGCAAUAGGACUGUAUAAUGGGACACAGGUGCAUGCUCUUGUUAUUAAGCGUGGAUGUUGUAAUAGUAGCAGCGGUGCAUCUGUUCUUAGCUCUCUUAUAAGGAUGUAUGCUGAGCACCGCUGUUUAGACAAAGCUCUCCGCCUUUUUGAACAGAUUCAUAGUCCGGAUGUUGUCCAAUGGACUUCUCUCAUAGCAGGAUUUUCGCAGAGUGGUGAGAGCCAUGAAGCUUUAAAAUUGUAUGUUAGAAUGUUAUCUGAUGAAUUGGGAGAUGCUCCAAAUCACUAUACAUUCUCAACUCUUCUGACUUCGUGUGCGGAGCUUGGAGCAGGUGAAGAAGGGAAACAGAUUCAUGCCCAGAUAACCAAAGCAGGAAUAAAUGUUAGCCGCGACAAAUUUGUCUCGAGUAGCUUGCUGUACAUGUAUGCAUCAUGUGGUUAUAUAGGGGAAGCAAGUAGGCUUUUUGAUAAGAUGCCGCAGAGAGACUUGGCCUCAUGGAAUGCGAUGAUUAACAGCUUAUCUCAGCAUGGUUAUGCUCAAAAAGCCUUAGAAAUGUUUCAUGAAUUAUUGAACAAGAAGAAUAUGCAACCAAACCACAUCACUUACAUUGGAGUUCUCACCGCAUGCAAUCGAGGUGGAAUGGUCGAAAAGGGGUACAAAUAUUUCAAGUCUAUAGAAAAACCGACGAUUGAUCACUAUGCUUGCCUCAUCGACAUGUUUGGCCGUGCAGGGAGGUUAAAGGAAGCGAUGAGUUUUGUGGAGGAAAUGCCAUUUCAGCCCAAUGAACUUAUUUGGACUUCACUACUUGCGGCCAGUAGCAUGCAUGGCAACAUUGAACUAGGAGAGUACUCAGCGAAACAGCUUCUGAAGUUGAAUCCGAAGGAUCCUGGAACUUACGUUGCUCUGUCGAAUAUUUACGCUGCUUCUAGGAGAUGGAAGGAUAUGAAGGAAGUGAGGAGACUAAUGGAAUCUCAGGCAGAUAGGAAACAAGCAGGAGUUAGCUGGGUAAGAAGCAAGAAGGGACAAAAGUAUGUGUUCUCUGCAGAUAAAAGAAGUUAAUAAUGCCAAAAUAUAAUUGUUUAACAAGGUAUCAGAGCAAAUUAAACUACUACACAGAUUAGAACAAUCAAUGGUUGAAGUUUUGGUGAUUUUUGCUCUUAGCAGCUUGGUGAUAGCAAGAGCAACCACUUUUUUUUUUUUUUUCCUCUCUUUUUGCUGAAAGUGUAUAGAAGAUUUUUCUUCUUAUGUAUAUUUGCUAGAUAUUACAUUAUGGCAGAAGUUUUGCAUGAGUGUAUGUACCUUAUGUACAAAAUGAGUGAAAACGUUGCAAGAUGCAAAUUCGCAAUUCACCGUUUAUAUCGAUUUUGACUUAAAUUCUUUUGUGCAUAAUUCACAACUCUGUUUCUUCUCUUAGGCAACCAUUAUAGAGAUAAGUAACACAAGGAAUUGGGCUUUAUUGACAACUUGUUCAAAUAACCAAACAUGACACUCUUAAGCACAAAGAAACAGUCGAGUAAAUCUAAAAUCUGCGACGACCCUUUCAAUGUGAGUUUGAGCAAUAGAGUGUAAACAAUAAACAGAGAAUACCCCAAAAUAAAACUUGUGUUUGUAGCCAAAUGCAAUGUUUUCCCAUGAUUCUGACGAAUUUGACUUUUACUGUUGUAGUCGAAGAGUAAAAGCUUGCAGUGACAAUAGGACUUGCUUAAGCCGCUCUUUAGUGUCUGGAUCAAUCAAAUUUCCGUCACUGUCAAAUUUUGGCGGAGGUUGGAAUGCGUGGACAAAUAGUUCCGGCUUAUUGAUGAAGUGAAGAUCCAAAAAAACUCCGACCUGACGGAGAUGGUAUUGAGCUCGCCCUCCUCCGAAGUUCCCUCCUGCGCUCACGACAGCAGCAGGCUUGUCCGCCCAACAAUUUGGGGCUCGAGAUGCCCAGUCAAUAGCAUUCUUCAGAGGGCCUACAUAAAUAAUUAAAAAGAAAAGAUUUACAACAAAAUAUGAACAGCGUUGUAUGCAUCUAAUCUUCAAGGCAGGUUUUAAGGUCUCAGAUUGAGCAUCAUUGUUGUGAUAACUACUUAAAAGAUAUUUGACAAAGGCAUAAAUGGAUUUCUCAAGCGUCAUAAUCGAUCCAACCAGAACAGUGCUCUAGGGAAGCUAUUGAGUUAAGUCCCGUAGAUCAAGCGUGAAAAAUAAGUAUAUAUAAUGCAGAUGUCUCGUAGAUCAAGCUAUUGAGUAAAACUCAGUGCAAAAAAACAAGAGAAAGAAGCACUUAGUAAAUCUCAGUUAACCCUUUCUUCAAGGGCACCUUGCACCCUUUCUUCAAGGGCGCCCUCUCCUAUCCUACACACAUGUAGGAGCCAGAGGUAGGCAUCCAACGGCUCUGUCUCGGGUAAGCCGUUGCACCUUACCAAGGUGCAAGAUUCGUGAUCUUACCGAGGUAAGGUAGAAGAAAACCGGAUAGCACGUAUGCAUUUUGUGAAAAAUAUUACUCUUAUUAUCUUCCAAGCAACGAGCUUGAAAAUGAUGGGGUAUAAAAAGGUACAACAACUAGCCUUUAAUUUUCAAUAUAGGACUAACCUCACAUAUAGGCGCGGGCUCCCAGGCAAGAUCCAUAGGAUGUUAGGCUCCCGAGGAAGCACAGACUAAAAUAAAAUUUUAAAUCACUAAAAUCAAAAUGAUACUAACAUCUUACGCUUCUGGCUAACAAACCGGUUCUGCUACAAAUGUAUCGAUUUAGUUUGCUAUCACAAAUAACUCGUUGGAUCCAAACCAUCGGCUCACAGUAAUUUAAGUCUAAUUAUUAUUAUUAUUAUUAGAGCCUUUCAUCCUUAACAUAUUUUCAUUCACAAUGAAUUUCCACACUCUUGAGGAUAGGUUGGCAUAGUUUGGACCUGAGAGGGAGUAGUUGUACUCGGGAGAGGCGAAGAGGUAGGCGUUGGCUCGGAGGAUCUUCUUGCGGAAGGCGUCGACGGGUGCCGGGAAGCCGCCGUCCACCUCGAGAUCCGUGUUCAGGAACGGCAGCGGCGCGAUGUCGACGAGCUCGAUCUGCAUUCCGGCCACCGGCCCAUUCCCUCCGCACAUCUCUAUGGCUUCAUUUUCAUCCGCCCAAAUUUCCAAAUUCCCAACAACAGAGACGACGAGAAUGAGUGAGCUAAAAAUCCACAAUUCAGAAAUCUAUAUAAUAAAAUUAUAAUUUAGAUAUAUUUUUUUUUUGUUUGUAUCUUCAAUAAAGAGGGUGGGGAUUUAUUAGGGUUUUACCGGAACGGAUGAGGCCGCGGUUGUAGGAGCCUUUGCGGAGGGAUCCGCAAACCGCCGCGACCUUAAUCAUCGGUUUCGCCGCCACCGCUAAACCCUCCAUCUCGCUCUAGAUAUUGUAGCGAGGGCUUUUUUUGCAAAUAGCCCCAUAAAAAAUUUUAUUUUCGAAAAUAGCCCUGUGUAAAAAUUAUUUACAAAAAUGGCCCUGGCUCCGCCCCGUCAGCGCCACGCGGGCGGGGCUGGGCCAAUUGUAUAAGUUGAACACGGUGAAUCAUUCACCGUGUUCAAUACAAGAUUUUUGUAUUGGACACGGUGAAUGGUUCACCGUGUCCAAUACAAAUACAUUCGACUUAGCCAAAAAUGGCUAAGUUGUGGGAUUUUGUAUUGGACACGGUGAACCAUUCACCGUGUCCAAUACAAAAAUUUUGUAUUGAACACGGUGAAUGGUUCACCGUGUUCAAUAUAAACACUUGGCCCAUCCCGCCCGCGUGGCGCUGACGUGGCGCUGACGGGGCGGGACCAGGGCCAUUUUUGCAAAUAAUUUUUACACAGGGCCAAUUUAAAAAAAAAAAAUUGUCAGGGGGCUAUUUGCAAAAAAACCCCUUGUAGCGAAGUAUACAAUUGAGGCUCUAUCAAUUUAACAACAUAAUAAUAAGAGCGGUUAGAAGAUUUUGUGACCGUUAGAUUUAAUUUUUUAAUUAUUUUUAUUCGUUGGAUUAUACAAUUCAAUCAACCAUAUACGCAACCGUAGGAGAAACACAUCAUUAUAACUGUACAUUUCUCAAUCCAAGAACUAUAAAACUAAUAGUACCAACAGGUUGAUGUUAUUUGAUGUUAUUGAUAGUAUUCUGGUCUAAUUCGGAGUUUUUUUUAGCUUAAAUAAUAAGUGGACGAAAACACAAAGUUCACCCACAAAUUUUGGAACAAAAUUUAAUAGCAAAACUAUAAUAAUCGAAUAAUUUUUAAUCUAUGUGAUCAAAACGCUGUUUGGACCGAACUUAUCAACAAAAAUUGUAAUCAAAUUUAAACAAAAAUUUAUCUGUUUUUAUUAAAUUGUAUCAGCUGAUAAUACAAUCGUAAGUCCAUCCAAAUCUAAAGCUAAAUAAAUGGGUUUGAUUAAAUCAAAAAUCAUCUGUUUGGUGAAUAAAAUUACUAUGCAAUGUAGUGAUUUUUUGAAAUUUUUUAGAAAUUAAAAAAGAAAUCCAAAAAUAAUAACGUAAAAUGAAUUAAGAUGCCCUCAACUCUAGACUAUUUUGAAAUAUGCUCCUCAACUUUUUUUCCUUUUUUUGUUUUUAACAUCCCCACUCAACUUUUUUGAAAAAUUGAUGACUUAUAAUUUUAUUUGCUGAACAGUAAUUAAAACCAUAAGUUUAGCUAUAGCUAGCUUUAUUAGCUUUGGAAAAAAAAAAAUUUAAUUUAUUUAACCAAACUACCCACAUUAGACAAAAAAAAUUCUAAUAUUGACAAAAUGUUACAGGAGAAGAGAACUAUGAGGUAAGGGCCCAUUUAAAAUGUAGCCUAUAGAUAGUUUCAAAAUUGAAGGAACCGACCGGGACUUAACAGACUAUAUUUCAAAUCAUCUCAGCAUAAUAGCGCGGCAAAAAUCUUUUUUUUUUUGAGAGGAAAAAAAGAUAAUAUGUUACUUACUUUAUUUAUUUUUUUAAAAAAAUAAAAUUUACUAGAACAUUAAAGCAAUUAGAUUUUGAAUUUAAAACCUCACUUGCUAAUUAUGAAAUCUUUUGGCACUUGCACUAAAAACUUGCAAAUACCAAAUCUUAUAAAAAAGCUUGAUGAGAACCAUCAAAAAAGAAAAAAGUAUAAGAAUAAGAAAGCUAUAAAGUAUACAAAAAAUUUACGUCGUUCAACCAACGAUAUGCCGAUAUAUGCCUAUGGUAAAAAUCUCCACAAUAUAUUUUUUAAUUAAUCCACAGCACAAUAAAUAUAAGAAAUAGUUUUGGAUGCAAGAACCUCUCAAUAGACUCUCCCUCGUUUUCUCUCUCAAUUAGAGUUUGUUAAUAAAACUCUAAACUCUAAAACAAGAAUUACAAGGUUUAUAAAACCCCCAUAAUUCAAAAUAAGUAGAAAACAAUCGUCUAUCCAAAUCUCUCAAUUUACUUAUAACCAUUGAUCUCCACUUAAAAAUUCCUUACAAGGUGAUAUUGGAUCAUUUCUAAUCUUGAAGCAACUUUAACUUGUCGGUCAUGAUCUCUGGUUUCUUUUUUUUUUUAGAGACAAGUAGCAUGCUACCCGCUUCAUUUAUUUCAUUUAGAAAUAAAUUUAGCUGGAAAUGUGAAUCAACUAGAAUUCAAACUUGGAUUUCGGUUAUCAACUACCAAACCUUUUGCCACUUACUCUAGGAACGGUCGGUUUCGAAACUUAUACGGGGUGGUUUCGGAAUUUGACACUUUUCAUAGUGUCAUUAGUUAGAACGCAGACUAGGCGAUUAACAGAAAUCCAAACAAAGAUAUUUCCAAGCACAACCCUUCAAAUCAGCUUCAACACCUUCGAAUUUUAUAGAACGUGCUCCCAAAUUUCAGAAUAUUUUGACGUUUCGGAAUACCCGUUACUAGGUUUUGAAACUUAACAUCUAGAAAUCCGUAUCUUUGAUGCUCAACAGAGGAAUCGACUCGAAACGUGACUGUAAUUUAAUCCAGCAAAAUAACUACACAAUUUUUGCAAGAGCAAUUUUUCUCAAAACUUUAAGUAGAAAAUAAAAUUCAUACACAAGAUAAUUUAUAUACACGCUAGUCAUUUCAUUUAUUUUAUUUAAAAAUAAAUUUAGCUAAAAAUAUAAAUUAAUUAAAAUUCAAACUUAAGAUCUUAAAUAUCAGCUACCAAAUUUUUUGUCAUUUGUUUCAGAGAGGAUCGGUGCGUACUCAACUACUCAUUUGGUAGUUUGAAUGGUAAAUAAAUAGCAGAAUUUGGGGUGCACGAGACGAUUCAGGCUUUUGACCAUAUGGCCGGCUUAGUCAACAGAACAAAGUUUUGGCAAUAAAUUCCCAGGUACGGUACCAAAAGUAACUAACCAUUGAUUACUAGUACCAGUAAGGAUACCACAAAAAAAAAAAAAAUAGAAAAAGAAAAGGUCAAUACAUAUGUUCACUGACUCACGUGAAACAUAACAAAUAACAAAUAUAUAUUAUUAUAAAAUUUAAUUUUUAAUUAUUAUACUAGUAAGGAACACUGCGUGAUGGCGCGGAAAGUGAUACAAUAGUAAAUAUUAGAACUAUUACUCUGAAGAAUCAAACAGAAAAAGAAAGAGAACAAAUAGAAAUGCGAACUUAAUUGUCUAUUUUACCUGUAUGAGUAGUAGUAGGAAAGGCAGAGGAUGAAGAAGAGAGGAGCCAGAGUAUGGCCUUGGGGGCCAAAUUAUAAGUUUACAAAAAAAAAAAAAAAACACCCGCGCGAGCUCGCGUUCGCGCCGGCUCACGCCCGCCUCGUGCUCGUGCCACCCGCUCGCGAGCACCAUUUCGCAGGAAAAGAAACAGAAGAUAUAUAUCAAUAUAUAUGUGUAAUUCAUGCAUGGAAAAAUACAAUAUCUUUUUUAAUGCUUAGUCCACAACAACAGUAUAAAUAAUUGAGUAGGGCUGGCAAACGAGCGAGCCGGCUCGCGUCGACUCGUGUUCGCUCGAUAUUUGGCUCGCCUCGAGCUCUUGACUCGAAAUUAAAUGAGCGAGCUUGAACAAAAAAAAAAGCAUCAAAUUCAGUUUCAACCAGCCGAAGUCUGAUAUUACUCGCGCUCGUUCGAUUAGGCUCGAAAAGACUGAAAAGCUCGAAUAUAUAUAUAUAGCUGGUGACUACUAACUCUUAUAAGUAUAAGACCCUCCUUCUGUACUCAUAAAUUUUUAACACCGUUGAUUGAUGAGAAUGUGUGGUUAGGAAUGAUGUGGUCCCACUUAGAAUGAUAGUGUCCCCUUAGGUUGAGUGGGUGUUGGUUAAAUAUAUGAUCUAAACGGCAUGAAAAUGAUAAUGGAAUAAAUCUACGGGUCGACAUAAACUUAUGCCGACUCGUUUGUUGGGGUAAGGGUGGAAUAACCCUGAACGCCCGCACAUUAUAACCGCAAACACCACUCCUUUUGGGUGGGUUUAGUAAACCCCACCGCAAAACGCGGGUUAGUGAGGUUUACGAACCACCACUCACCCCUCCAACUUUAACCGCAGUCCCGCAGCACCCCGAGCCCACCUUUUUCUCUUAUCGAAUCAUUAAACCCGGCACUCUCCCCUCAUCAACUUUACCCUGCCAGCAAAUACCCGAGCUCCUCACUUUUUCUCUUUAUCAUCAUUAUCUCUAUGCCCCGUACUCCAUACCCAACAACACUUUUUUUCACUAUCUAGACUAAACUCAACUCAACCUCGCCAACCCAAACACAAAAAAUUUUACAACCAUAUACCUCUGAACUUAACCUAUCCCUGGGAAUAGGCUACUUUUUCUUAACCGCCCAGAACCAAACGGGGGCUAUGAUAUAAAGACCACAUAUCCAAAAAAUAGUAGCCGGACUCUAUAUAAUAGAGAUAUAUUAUAUAUAUAUAUAAUAUAUUAAUAUAUAUAAUAUAUAGUAUUUUUCAUUAUAGAUAGGCUUAAUAUUAAUAUUGGGCCAUUACUUGUUGCCAUAAAAUAAACCCAAACAAGUAACAACUGUGGCAAUAACCAUAACUCUAAAUUACAUAACCACAUCUCCGUCUUUCGACUGUCACUGUUGCAGCAAUAAUCCUAAUAAACAUGAUAAUCAUUCAAAUAACGCCUUAUUAAUAGCAGGAAAGUCAACCCUAAGCUUCAAAUUUCCAUUUAAUUAUUCUUGUAUUUUGAACUAUGAAUGUUGCAUCAAAUGUAGGUAAUUUCUAUAAAAAUUAAAACUAUUGAUUAUAUUAAGUUCAGAAUUUCAAAUCCGGACUGUUUAGAGCUCGCUCGACUCGACUCAAUUGGCUCGUCGAUGCCUCGGCCGAAUUAAUUCAAGCGAGCUUGAAGCCUAAAUUUAGCUCGAAAUAUUUCAAGCUCAAAUUUGAAGCUGACAUAUAGCUCUCUCGAGUCUCGCUCGUUUCCACCCCAUAAUUGAGAUCAUCGGAAUUGUGAUACAGAGAAAAAUUGAAAUAGAAAAAGAAAAGGUCAAUACAUAUGUUCACCUGACCACGGAAACAUAACAAAUAACAAAUAUAUAUUAUUAUAUUUAAUUUUUAAUUAUUAUACUAGUAAGGAAACUGCGUGAUGGCGCGGAAAGUGGAUACAAUAGUAAAUAUUAGAACUAUUACUGCUGAAGAACAAGACAGAAAAAGAAAGAGAACAAAUAAGAAAUGGAACUUAAUUGUCUAUUUUACCUGUAUGAGUAGUAUGUAGGAAAGGCAAGGAUGAAGAAUGAGGGAGCCAGAUAAAUGGCCUUGGGGGCCAUAAUUAAAGUUACCAAAAAAAAAAAAAAAAGCACCGCGCGCGAGCAUCGCGUCGCGCCGGCUCAAACGCCCGCCCUUCGUGCUCGUGGCCAACCCGCUCGCAGAGCACCAUUUCGCAGGAAAAGAAACAGAAGAUAUAUACAAUAUAUAUGUGUAAUUCAUGCAUGGAAAAGAUUACAAUAUCUUUUUUAAUGCUUAGUCCACAAACAAGCAGUAUAAAUAAUUGAGUAGGGCUGCAAACGAGCGAGCCCGGCCGCGGUCGACUCGUGUUCGCUGCGAUAUUUGGCUCGCCCGACUCUUUGACUCGAAAUUAAAUGAGCCGAGCUUGAACAAAAGAAAAAGCUCAAAUUUCAUUUCAAAGCCGAAGGUCUUGAUAUUUUACUCGCGCUCUGUUCGUAAUCUAGGCUCGGAAAAGCUCGAAAAGCUCGAAUAUAUAUAUAUAAGGCUGGAACUACUAACUCUAUAAGUAUAAAGACCCUCGCUUCUGUACUCAUAAAUUUUUAACACCGUUGAUUGAUGAGAUGUGUUGUUAGGAAUGAGUGGUCCCACUCUAGAAUGAUACGUGUCCCCUAGGUUGAGUGGGUUUGGUUAAAAUAUGAUCUAAACGGCAUGAAAAUGAUAAUGGAAUAAAUCUACGGGUCGCACAAAACUUAUGCCCGACUCGUUUGGUUGGGGUAAGGGUGGAAUAACCUGAACGCCACGCACUUAUACCCAAACACCACUCCAUUUUGGGUGGGUUAGUAAGACCCCACCCAAAACGCGGGUUAGUGAGGUUUAGCGAACACCCCACUCCCCUCCAACUUUACCCGCAGUGUCCCCAUGGGGCAUUCCCGAGCCUUCACCUUUUCUCUUUAUCGAAUCAUUAACCUCCACUCCCCCUCAACAACUUUACCCUGCCAUGCAAAUCCCGAGCUCCUCACCUUUUUCUUCUUAUCAUCAUCAUACUCUUAUGCCCCUACUCCAACCAAUACACUUUUUCAAUAUCUUAGACUAACUCACUCAACCUCGCAACCCAAACACAAAAAUUUUAACAACCAUAUAACCCUGAACUUAAAUCCAUCCUGGAAUAGGCUACUUUUUCUUAACCGCGAACCAAACGGGGCUAUGAGUAUAAAGAGCCAGUUCAUACUCAAAAAAUAGUAGCCGGACUCUAUAUAAUAGAAUAUAUAUAUAUAUAUAUAUUAAUAUAUUAUAUAUAUAUAAUAAUGUAUUUUUAAUUAUUGAUAGGCUUUAAUUUAAUAUUGGGCCAUUACUUGUUGCCAUAAAAUAAACCCAAACAAGUAACAACUGUGGCAAUAACCAUAACUCUAAAUUACAUAACCACAUCUCCGUCUUUCGACUGUCACUGUUGCAGCAAUAAUCCUAAUAAACAUGAUAAUCAUUCAAAUAACGCCUUAUUAAUAGCAGGAAAGUCAACCCUAAGCUUCAAAUUUCCAUUUAAUUAUUCUUGUAUUUUGAACUAUGAAUGUUGCAUCAAAUGUAGGUAAUUUCUAUAAAAAUUAAAACUAUUGAUUAUAUUAAGUUCAGAAUUUCAAAUCCGGACUGUUUAGAGCUCGCUCGACUCGACUCAAUUGGCUCGUCGAUGCCUCGGCCGAAUUAAUUCAAGCGAGCUUGAAGCCUAAAUUUAGCUCGAAAUAUUUCAAGCUCAAAUUUGAAGCUGACAUAUAGCUCUCUCGAGUCUCGCUCGUUUCCACCCCAUAAUUGAGAUCAUCGGAAUUGUGAUACAGAGAAAAAUUGUACACAAAUUCAGAUACUGCAAAAAAAUAGAAGAGUCGAUCAUUAGAGAAGAAAAGUUUGAAUAUUAAACUGCAGACUAAAGAAGGAUAUGGAAACGAAUCAAAUAGCAUAGAAAUAAUACAGGUGGAAACAAACUACUUUGGAAUGUAAAGUAUCGACAAAAUUCAAGAGCAAGGCAUAAGAGGUGCAGAUAAAUUCCGAGAAAGUAAAUGGACUAACAUGCAGGGCAAUCAAGAGGGAGGGCAUGGAACUGUGUGACAAAAGUGUGGAACAUAAAGUGCGCAAGAAAUAAAACGUGGAAUUAAAAUCUACACCUUUUGGAGCCACUAAUAAUCAGGAAUUGUGAUAAAUACCAAGACUCAAAUGAGCAGUUGCAGGCAGACUCAAACCCUGCAAACAACAAAAACUGAAAAUUUAAACAGAUAAUCAAUGUUUGUAAUCUUUGAAACACAAUUCUGCAUUGUAAAUUUUAAGCUUUCAAGUGUUAACCUUUUAACCUUUGAAUCCUGAAUUCUAAAAUGUUGUCGAUGCAAGACAAUAUCCAAAACUGCAAAUACAAAAUUCAAAAUUUUGCACCCCAAUUUUUCAUAUGUAAUUUUAACCUUUAAGAAUGCAGAAUUCAAAAUUCUGGAACACCGCCGCCGCAAUUUAGAUUGCUGAAUUUGAACCUUUCAUAUGCACCAAAUACCCUUAUGCAAAUUAGGCCAUAAUUUUCAAAUCGAAACUUUUAUAUGCACCAAGCACUUUACUGUGAUUCUGAAUCAUGUCUUCUAAUUUCUGAAUUUAGAAUUCAGCUAGAGAAUUUAGAAUUAAGCUAGAGAAUUGAGAAUUCAAAUAGGCAACCCGGAAUUCCACAAAGAAUAGAAGGGAAACAAAUAUUCUGUGCUCAGAUUCUCCAUGAAAUCGAACAUCAUUAGUUUGGCACCGAAGUAUCGUUAGUUAGUAGUGCUAGUUGUAUAAGAACUGCAAGCAUUUCAACACAAAUAUGAGGAACUGGUUACCUAUAGAAAGGCCAUCCAAAGUACCCCAUCAGCAGCGAAGGAUGGUUGCGCCCAUCUCAAUCACCGCAAUUAUUUGAUAUUCAAGGAGGAGAUCAUCAUAGCACGGAAAUUCAGGAUUAAGCUUUGCAAUUUGAAAUUCUAUGAAGAAUAUAAGAAAAAUAAAUAUCCUUUGUCCAGAGUUCGUAUUCUGAAUUCAGAACCCAAAUUUCGAAACCUGGAAAGCAAACUCACAUAUAUUGUUUCAUAUAAAAAGGAAGCUGUUGCAAAAUUAAGAAACCCUUUUUCUUUACCUACUCUUAGUCUGAUAGUGCAAUUCAGAUUCUGCAGACCUGAAUUAGGAACACAGGAUUCUGCUAGGCAAUUGGGAAUUCAGCUGGGCAAUACAGAGAAGGGACUUCUAUGGAAUUUUCAGCCAGCAGAAUUCAGCAAGGUAAUUUAGAAUUUAGCUAGCCAACUUAGAUUCCAAAUACAUGCAGCAUACAGUAAGGGCGAAAGAUCGAUACUUCGCAUGUUAUAAAAUUUCAACAAGAUGAUUUAGAAUUCAGUUAGACAACUUAGAUUCCAAAUAAAUGCAGCAUACAGUAGGGGUGAAAGAUCGGCACUUCGCAUGUUAUAAAAUCUUAGAAUUAAACUGCAAUGCUGACAGCCAAAAGCAAAGCACGUAAAUUUCCAGAGAAAAAUAGGACAAAAAUUAUUGACUCGUUAAAUUCGAACCUCGCCAACACGAAGCAAAUCGAUGCGUAUGGAAAGCAUGACCAAGCAAAACAGCAAACCUGUCGAAUAAUUUAAACGAAGCAAAACAGGAAAGUUUCUAUCAUAUGAUUUGGCAACACAGUGUGAACUAUAAGUAAGACUUUCACAGCGAGCAGAAAAUUAUUUAGUGUGUAGUAGAGCUACCAGCUAUACAACAGGGCCCCUAGCAAAAAACCCAAAAAGAAAAGCCCGCCAUUCUGUCAAUUCCCACCACCAUAAUAACCCGGAGGCGCUGCAGGGUCCUCCUCAGAAGCACUCCCGCUACUACAUGGGCGGACAACAGUAGUUUUCGGACGUUUCACCAAAGUAAAACACUUAACCAAAUUCUCCUAUCCUUUAUAUUGACUCAAAAAAGAAAAGGUUAGCAUAAAAAACACAACAAAUUCAUGUAUGCGAAAAAGAAUAGCAGAAAAAUAGCUAACAAUUAAUGGCUAAGGGAAAAAAAUUGUAUUUGGCUUGUCCACUGAACUUCAAUUAGAUUAGCUAUAUAAUAUUUUCAAAUGUGUUACAAUGGAGUUUUAUUUCUUAUCGAAACUUAAUCUAAGAAAAACAUAAAGUAAAAAAGGAAUAUAAACCAAAACAUUACGAAAUUAUCGACAAAUAAAUAAAAGAAUAAUCAGGAAGCUCUACGAAGUGCGUAAAAAAAAAAAAGCAACAGUCGGCACAAAGCUACCAACUUGCUCCAAAUAAAAAAUUGGGAAAAAAUUUCCAAUUUUUACAUCUGUUAAAUGCUAUUUUGUAGUAAAUAUUUCAUCUUUUUUUUUUAAAUUGACAAAAAAAAAAUACCGAUGCUAAAUCUGGAAACCGAACAAAACUGCAAACAAACUCCCCAAAACCAAACAAAACUACAAACAAACUCCCCAAAAAGUUUGUUGUGAGAAAUCAAGGAAAGCAUAUAUAAACACUUGAAUGUUGUUUUUACCUAUCGAUCUCCUGUAACACUCAAGAGCACCACAAGGCAAGAACGACAAGACAAUAGCGCUCAACAACAGGGGACAAAAAUCAGGGGAAAUUAGAGAAAAAGACGAGUGGGGGGGGAAUGCCAAACCGUUUAGUAUUUAUAAUAAUAGCCAGAGAGAGGUAAAGCAGAAAAGAGAGCGCGAGAGAGCCCGCGAGCGCCAUGCCUCACGCGAGAUGGGCUGCGAUCGUGUUAAUUAAUGCUCUUUAAUGCACGCUAACCACCAACCAUAGGGAGAAGCCACACCGGGCUGUUCAGCCGAGAACGUGCGGUGGAGGAAAAGUCGCGGCCCAUACCACUGACGGCACAACGCCACCCCCGAGUUGUACGGGUUGUCGGAAGGGAGAAGGCGAACUGGAUGGCGGACGGGACAGGCAACAGGGCGAGAGAAGGCGGAGAGUACGGGAGAAGGCAGACGGGAUGUCGGACGGGACAGGCAACAGGGCGAGAGAAGGUGGAGAGCCAUCGGACGGGACAGGCAACAGGGCGAGAGAAGGCGAAGAGGCGCCAUGACGAAGGCGGAGAGGACGAAAGGACGGCGAGGGGGGCAACGCCGCGUCGUAUGGGAGAAGGCGGCUGCGUUCCCGAGGGAGGACAACGAUGGCGUCGCGGCUACGAAACGAAGGCAGAGAUGACGGAGGGUGAGCGGGGGGUGGUAACGCCGCGCCGUACGGGCAAAAAAAAUCAGAGCGGGGGGAGGGGGCGCCGCCGUACGGGAGGGCGGAGAGCGCGAAACGCGGGGAGGGCUCGAAGCCGAUCUUCCUUUCAUAAGCUUAUAUUGAUUGUAAAAGUUCAGUAAUAUUUAUAUUUGUCCCGCUAAUUUAUUACGUUUAUUUUUUAACAGUAGAUACGUGAAAUGUUAAUUUUACAAUUACAAAUAUAUCUCUUUAAAAACCUCAACUACUAUAAUUAUUCAGAAAUAUUCUUUCAAAAAAUUUUAAUGGUUACUUUUUUCCUCAUUUCUUUUUCGUUAAAACCCAACACCAUCCAUAUUUAUUGUAACAUCUUCUCUCACACUUAUUUUUUAAAACCAUUUUUUUAAGCAAAAUAAGAAAAAAUCUAAGAAAAAUUGAAUGGACAAACAACACGUGUUCGACAUGAAAAAAGUAACACGCAUCGUGGAUGAAUGGGGACGGGAGAAAUUUCGAUACCGGAUUCGAAAUUAGCAUGAAGGAGAGAGAGGAAGAAGAAGAGAAAGAAAAAUAGUUAUCGUUGCUAGGUUUUGAUUGAGAGAAAAAAAUUUAAUAUAAGAGGAAUAAAAAUAUUAAUUUAUUUUAUUAAUUAAUUAAGGUUAAGUAUUUUAUCUAUGAUUAAGUAAAUUUUUCUAACGAAUUCUCACGACAGGACAUAUUUAAAAAUAUUAAAAAUUUUACAUAAAUAAUAUAAAAAAAUUAAACUUUAUAAAAAUAUAUUUAUAAUUCGAUAUAUUCACAGAAAGCUACGUGUAAUUAACAAAAAAAACACACACAAUCUUAGUGAACGCCUGCAAGUAGGGUCCGAACCCGACACCGAAUAGUUGUGGGAUCCACCUGGCUCGUAUAAACCAUACAUCGAAGUACACGGCAUGGGACCCGCACGCGAACCAACCCAAAAUCAAGCUCGAAAACACCAUCGAUCUCUCUCUCUCCCCCUCUCUCUCACACACACGCUUCCAUGCUAAGCAAAAGCCAAUAAUGCAGCAGCGUCGUUAAAGAGAAGGGAUCGAUAGAUUCGUUUAGAAACUUUUUAGAGAUUUUUUCUUUCUCUUAAGUGGAACACGGUUUUAUUAAGUAAUUGGUAUUUAAGAGUACGUACAAAGCAAAGAGAAGAGGAUAAUAAAAAGAAACUAUUUACAGAAAGCAAAUCGGUAGAGAAGAAAGGUUUUAAAAAUUGAAGAGAUAUGCAAAUGCAGAUACACAACUCUAUUAAUUUUGAAGCUGAUAAAUGUAUGACUAGUUGAUUUAGAUGUGGAGACGCGAGAAACGGAAUCUUUAGAGAUUUGAUAAAUAGAUUUUUUAAAUAGUAAAACCUUUUUCGACUAUUCGGGAAAAAAAAAAAUCAAAAGUAAAUUCAUCCUAUAUUUCUAUCUCAUACUUUAUUUCCAUGUGCAAGAAGCGGAAAAAAAAAAAACCCCCUCCCACUUUAUAUUUUAAGGCGUAUGUUCGUUAGCAUUACUAUUUAAUUAGCACCUUAAAAAAGGAGGACAAAUUAAAUUAUUUGAUAAUUAACUUCAAAUGAUUUAAUUAUUAAAAUUAAAAAUAUAAAAGAUUAUUCGUCAAAAAGCUCCAAAGUUCAGAGUUGUCUUUACAAUUUUCAACUUAGGGGGGAAAAGAAAAAGAAAAAAAAAAAAGAAAAAAAAAAAAAGAGUAGCCGAAAGAAGCGAGAUCUCCAUCCCGCAUAUAAUAAUAUCUCUCUUCUUUGUGUCUUUUGCUGUUCACGAUCGCCUCUCUCUUUUUUUUUCUUUUUAUUUUGUUUCUUUCUUGCUUCGUCAAAAAGAAAUGGACAGGGCACUCUUCUAUGUUUUGUUUCUUUUGCUUUUGGCCCCUUUCCUUUGGAUUGAGAAAGAGAGGCAAGUGGAUAAAGAGAUCAUCAUUGGUAAGCUCACUUUAUUGCUGAUGUGCUGAGUUUACCAACUGCUGGGGAAUAUUGCUAACGUGAAAUACUUCAUACAAGUUCAAUUUCACUGCUUUGCUAGGUUUCACUCGUAAAACUCUUUUCUAUUUUUCAUGCACCGGACGAUUUCGACGCUCAACUAAUAAUUAGAUGAAUCUAAACCACCGAAUUGGCUCGUUAACCUCCCUUCCGCAGCUUUGCCACAAUAACAUGGGCGUAUGUCCAUCCAAAGUGACGAGGAGUCUUAACUUUGGGAACAAGCGACCGUGAAUGAAUCACUACUUUUUCUGAACGGACGGUGAGAAGAUCUUGUAUAUAUAUAUAUAUAUAUAUACCCAACACACGGGACUGUAGUCAAGAUGCUUACGGUGUGUUUGUUUUUGCGAAAGUCCAGCGAUCAACUCGUGAGUUCACGUAAUUAACCCGACUUCACCUGCGUUUGAACGUAUCCACGAACUUGAAAUUUCGUGGGAUCCACGCAUGCAGGCCGCUCGCAGGAUCAAUCUCACGUGGCGGCGAACGAAUUAGCAUGCGGCACGAAUUCACGACUUUGUGCUCGACGAGCGAUGUCGAAUUCUACCAUACGGAGGAAACUCAACUCGGCAGAUUUCGACAAACUGCAGCUUUGCGAAAACAAACACGCCCUCAUAUAAUAUUUCAUGCAAACACUCAACAAAAGUAAAUUACACAAUAGUUAGAGAACACGCGGCUAUAUCGAUCAUAUCAAGCGCGUCUAGGAAGAAAUUAGUAAGCAUGCAUGCAUGCAUGAUGGGAUGGAAAAACGGGAAAACACACUCAAACACGAGCGCAGAAGAUCUUACGCAAUUAACUACACCAACCACCAACAGUAACCACACAUUCUCCAGUAUACAAAAAUAGAAAAGAGAAAUAGCUAGAUGAAGGAAAUUGAACAAUAAAAUAAAAUAAAAACAGGCCUCACCGAGCUUUUAAUCUCUAAAUCUUUGAGAUAUGACCUUGCAUUGGGAGUCGGAGAUUCAGUGCUUCCCGAGACUUCAUACCAGUAUCCUAUCCUACCAUCUCCUGUAUAUCACUGCUUCGCAUUUCUCUAUUCUAUAUAUAUAUAUAGAUAUGCUUCCAUUACUCAUAACAAAAAACCCAAUUAAUUUGGCUACGAUAAGUAAAAGAACCCUCUUCCUUAGACCUAGUUUAAAGCUCCAACAUUUUAAAAGAUCCAAAAAGUUGAUUUUUUUUUUGUCUUUUGAAAUUUUUUUGAAUCCUGUAAAAUAUCAAUUAAACCAGGUGCGUUUACAGCUGGGACCUUUUUACCUGGCUGGCUCUUUUGCUACCGCGAGAACGUUGGUGUUUUCGACUGUGUAUGUUGUUUUCAGUAGUGGUGGGAGGGGUGAGGAGGAGGCUGCGUCGACGGAGCGCGCGCGGAGGAGGGCUGGGCCCACAAGACCAUGUCGUGGUGGUGGGGGUGGUGGUGGUGGUGGUGAGGGCCGCGUUGCCAGUGGGGGCGGCGGCGGAGAAGGAGAGGGAGGAGGCGAAGGCGAAGGCGAAGGCGACGCCGAGGAGGGUGGUGGUGGUGGUCGUGGACGUUCCGCGGCGUCGUCAAGUGCCACAGCGACCGCCCCCGCGUCCCCGUCCAGUAGCCCCCGUGCCAGCGCCCCGGCGAGUGACGCCGCCCCUGCCACCACCACCACCGCCGGUGGAAGCAGUUGGGGCUCAAGGUGUCCGAGGGGAUGGGAUGGAGGCGCGGCCGCCUCCUCCGCCGCGGCCUUCUCCUCCUGCGGCUCCUCUUUCUGCUGCGGCGACGCCUCCGGCUGCGCUUGGUCCACCGCGGCGGCGGCGGGGAGAUGCCACGAGGCCGCCGCAACUGGCCAGUCAACCCGGCGGCGGUGGGGGUGGGGGUGACCGUGNGCCGCAGCGGAAGCGGAAGCGGAAGCGGAGGAGGGAGAGGAAGAGGCGGCGGCGGGGGUGAAGGCGCCGGGAGGGAGGAGGGUGCCGGAGAGGGAGAGGAGGUCGAAGCGGCCGUGGAGGGCGACGGUGGAGGCCGGGGCGGAGGGGUGGCGGAGGGCGACCCCGGCGACGGCGCCGGAGCCGCUGAGGACGGAGACGCCGACGCGGUGGCGGAGGGCGAAGGCGGAGACGCCGCCGAGCACGUCGCAACCCCCGCCCACCUCCAGCACCACCGGCCGCAUCGCCGCCUCGCUCUCCCGCGUUAUCACCACCGGCGGCUUCGGCUUGUUCUUCGACCCCGGCGGCCUCCCCCGCGGCUUCCUCCCCCCCGACCCCGACCCCGACCCUCCUCCCAGCCCCCGCGCCGCGGCGCGCCGCGCGCUGCUGCUGCUCCCGUCGUCCUCCUCUCCGGCGCCGGCCGCCUCCGCGUCGGACGCGUGGCCCUGCGAGAGCGCGAUCAUGGCUUUGUUAGGGUUCGCAACGUACUCCGCCAUGGGCGCAACAACACCGGUGCUCGAGUGUGGGGGUAGGGGCAGGGGAGGAAAAGUGCGGGGGUUAUAUAGAGGGAGGAAGAGGACAAAAGUGGGGGUUAUGCGGGUUGGGGAGGGUCAUCCGGACCGUCCGUUGGGUUGGGACGGGAAUCUUGACGAGACAUGUCGUUUUCGGGAAGGAAGGGGUUUGGGGGUGUUGGGGGGUGCGGAUUCCGAGGAGGAGAAGAGUUCAGUUCAGUGGGGUUACGGCGUGGCCCUGAAACGUCCAAUCGACCGGUUGGCUUGGCUAGGCUGACCGGCUGGGCCCGCGCAGAGAAACUGAGAGGAAACGUCGCCAGCACCCGGUGCACCACGCAUCUGGUGCACCGGAUAUGCUGGAGUAGCAGCUCAAUAUGCUGCAGCAAUUUAUUAUCUUUGCAAUCUGUAAUAGUAUAUAGUACUUACACGUUAUAAUUCAUGUAUUAAUUCUUCGAAGGUAAGUCAUACGACUUAUAAAUGCUGCAUAUUAUUUGUGUUUAAUAUGUUGCUGCACAUAUUUGUCUAUAAAAUGCUGCCUAAAUUAUAAACUAUUAUUUUUAUUUUUAUUUUUAAAUAAAUAAAAUACUCAAUAAAUAAAUAAAUUAUUAAAAAUAAAAAUAAUUUUAGAUUUGAAGAGUAGAAUAUUUAAUAUAGGAGAUAAAACAGGUGAUUGACCUAUUAAACUGGGCAUUUUAAUUAUAUAUAUAUAUAUAUAUAAACACUACAAAUAAUGGCGGUGCACAGAAUGUACUGAUGCACGUGGUCCUCCCUGGCUACGGCAUUUGCAGUAAUUUUGGCUUCAUUCUUAAGUCAAAUCAGUGGGACCCACCGGGCCGUAAGAAGGUGGUUGGGUCUCUCCAGCUGUUAGGGGUUUUUUUUUUUUCUUUAAUUGGUCAAAACUCAAAUGAACCAGUUUGGUGUCAACAAUUAAUGGAAUCGUUAGUUUGUUUCCGUGGUCUAAGUUAAGACCAACGGUUAAAGCUAAAGCUACAAUACAAAUUUUGCUGUGUUUAAGGUUUGGCUUCAACAUGGCGAAUUCUCCUGCAUCCAGUCAAAAGGCUCAGAAGAAGCGCGUUGUCGCGGGCUUAAACUAAAUUGCUUGUUUAGCUCGUGUGGCAUUGAUAUUUCUUUGUGAAUUGGGCCAGUCUAUCUCUUUACUAGCUAAGUUAAAACCUACUCAUUCUAAAAUAAAGAACAAUAGAGAGAGAUGAAGAAAGCACUUCUAUUACUCUUGAAGUGGAUUACAAAUAAGAAUUCUUUCUUAUGAGACGGGAUAGAGGCAACAACCUUAUAUAGGCCACUCGCCAUCCAGACUACAAAUGAAAAGCGUGACGCAUAUUACAAGACAAAGAUAAAGGUUACAAGCUUCCAGAAGACUAAUUAUUCUCUCUAGAAACUUUAAAGAACUCUUGACCAUUAGCCAUUCGCACUAUCAGUCUUGAGAUCCGCGUAAAAGUUUCUAAAACAUCCCAGCAAAACUUCCGACAGAACGCUCCUUCAAAGAUUUGGUCACUGUCAAGAAGAAAUCAGUGAAAAAUAUUUUGUCCAUGAUAAGAUGCUCUAAAUAUUUAUCUUUUAGUAAUAUUCAUAUAAUUUUUAUUAGGAUCAAUGCAUCAUAAUGUAAAGAUAAUCAAUAAAUCUUUAUUAUAUAAUACUGGAUUAUAUAUAUAUAUAGAGAGAGAGAGAGAGAGAGAGAGAGAGAGAGAGAGAGAGUUGUGCUGGUAUGCUUAUAGAAGCACGAAGGUCUCGGUGCUUCCAACUCGUUUUCGAUGUUCGGACUUUCGAAUCGACGUUCUGCUCGAUCCAUUAGAGUUGAUCUAGAGUAUUUGAAGUACAUAGAAAAUAAAUUUUGCGAUUUUUCGAUAUCAUUUGCCUAGUGAUCGAAGGGGCUCAAAAUCAAUAAUUUUAACAGCCGUGGUGAGCCGGUUGCAAGUUUAACGAUGUAGAAAUAUUCAAAUCAUAUGAAAUUUUGAUAGAAAAUUCUUUAUACCAUAUAAAACAAGAUCAAUAACUUUGAUCUAAAAUUUUAAUGUCAUAUCAUUAUAUUUUGUAAGAUUUUUAUUUUCAACCGUUGAUUUUGAGCCACUUCGAUCACUAGGCAAAUGAUAUCGAAAAGUCGCAAAAUUUAUUUUCUUGAUACUUCAAAUACUCUAGAUCAAGUUUAACGGAGCCGAUCGUCGAUUCGAAAGUCUGAACAUCGAAAACAAAGUGGAAGUACGGAGCCCUCCGUGCUUUCAUAAGCAUCCUAGCUUCACUCUCUCUCUCUCUCUCUCUCUCUCUCUAUAUAUAUAUAUAUAUAUAUGGCUAAAUUACACAAAACCCCCCCUGUAAUAACCCGCUUUUUUACUUUCCCUCCCUGACAUUUAAAAACCUACACUUUGCCCCCCUGUAAAAUGAAAAAUAUUCACAGGGGGGUUAUGGUGUGUAAAAUGACCAUUUUGCCCCUCGCCAUUGUCGUCUUCUUUCCCAUCUUCCUCAGCCGCCCCUUCGUUCGGCCGCGAUUUCGACCUCAAUCGGCCGCGAUUUCUCUCCAUUUCCUUCUCCACCUGCUCCUCUUCUCCUCCUGCACCCUCGCCGCCCUCGAUUUCGGUGACAGUAGGAGAAAAUCGAGGUGGGCGACAGUAGGAGAAUGGCAAAAAAGGCGAAGGCGAGGCGGCGGAGGACGACGAAGGGGAUGUGGGUGAGGGUGAGGCAGUGGAGGACGGCGAAGCGGCUAGGCGGCGAGGCGGCGAGUCGACGGCGAGGUGGCGAGCCGGAGGGAGUCGAAGCAACAGGGAGAUGGCAGAGGGGUAUUUUCGGUAUAAAAAUAUAUUUUUUAACGGAACCCUGACGGAACCCUAACGGUAGGGGGUGAAGUGCACAUUUUUUAUUUUACAAGGGGGCAAAGUGUAGGUUUUUAAAUGUCAGGGAGGGAAAGUGAAAAAGCGGGUUAUUACAAGGAGGUUUUCUGUAAUUUAGCUUAUAUAUAUAUAUAUAUAUAUAAUAGAGCUCCUAUACUUUUAAAAAUACCAAGUUAUUGGUGCUUGUAGAUUUUUAGCCAUUGGAUUAAGAGAUAUGCGGUUAGAAUGAUGUGGGUUCUCUAGGGUUGAGUGAGUGGUUGGUUGAAUAGUAUAAUUUAAUGGUUGAAAAUGAUCCGAGAAGUAAAUUUAACCGUAAAAAACUUACAAGCACCAAGUGCUUGGUGCUUUUACAAGCACCAUAGCUGGACUCUCUCUCUCUCUCUCUCUCUCUUUCUCUCUCUCUCUCUCUCUCUAUAUAUAUAUAUAUAUAUAGAAUUAUGCUACUAUACUAUCAAUAGUACCAAGCUUUUGGUAAUAUUGAGUUUUCGGCCGUUGGAUGAAAGAAUGUGCGUUUAGGAUGAUAGUGGCCCCUAAGGUUGAGUUGGUGGUUGGUUUAAUAGUAUAAUCUAACGGGUGAAAAUGAUCAAAGGGUAGAUAUAUAUAUAUCAAAGAGUUUAAUAAAAUAAUAAUGAAAUAAAUUAUUAUUUUAAUAUAAAAUAAUUAUGAUAGAAAAGAUUCUUUCAACUUGACUUUUUUAUAUUUGUUAUUGCUAUGAGCCUAAUUUUCAGACCGUUGACCCGAUCAACGAUCCCCCAUGAGAAGGUAGUGUGUAGGGAUGCGGAAAGGCUACAAAUGGUGAUCCUCGAAGUUUGCGCCCUUCGGCAGAUCAAGCGAUUCAGCUGAUGAGAUAUCGGAUCAGCCAAGUUUGUUUCUUUUAUUACUAAAUUGGUUCCGCUGUAUGAGCCGAGUGGGGAAUUACACAGUGUCUUUGGGUCGACUGAAGAGCCUAAUGCUUGUAUAUUGCUUGAAGUUGAAAAUUCGUACAAAAUAGGGUAUACUAGUGCGCCGAAGAACAUCUAAUUUAAAGACUAAUCCUAAGAAAACAGUAAAUGUAAGAAAAAAAGAAAAAAUUACAAUUACACUACUCCUAGAAAGCGAGAAAAUGUAUAAAAUUGAAAGUGAUCUUCUUGUUCGCAGAAAAAAAAAAAAAAAACUCUUUUUUAGGCGUUACUUGUUUAUUUAUACUCUGUCAAUUGUUAUUCAGUUAUCCACUCGGCCAGUUUUCUAUUUUUAUGGGUUCACUACAGGCCGAUUCUAACCGCAUGGAACCGUCGACGGUUUGCUAUGAUUCAUCCUUUGCUCCCGAUGCAGCAGAUACCCGAUGUUCUUGGCUUUUGCAGCUUUUAGUCAUAUUGUGUACCGAUCCACCAUGUGGCGCUUUUUUUUUUUACGCCAACCGUUAUUCUUAACUAAUUUGUAAUGUAUAGACUAUAAGAAUUCUGUCAUGGGAUCUUCAAAUUUGCAAUUUAUAAGUUCUAAACUAAAGCUCUUUUAAUUACAUUUUAAGAAUAAAAAAGAAACAACACUAAUAUUCCACUGGAUAUGUAUAGCUUGGUAUUUUAUCCGGACCAGCUGCUGCAACCAUUUUCCUUCUUGGUUCGUGUGCAUUACACCAUUUUCCCUCUUCGUUUCCAAAGUUAAGGCAUUGAAACACCCCAAGCUAAGAGAGAGAGAGAGAGAGAGAGAGAGAGAGAGAGAGAGAGAACGAAAACAUGUUGUUCUAUUGUAAGCAGUAGCCCACGUCCACGCGCCAUCAUGUCAUAGGCGAUGCGCUCCACGUGGCGCUGUCUAAUUGGCUAGGCUCUGUACUUCAAUUUUUUUAAAGAAAAAACUUUUACCUCACCCAAAGUAUCUAGUCGAGGGUGUUAAAUAUAAAAUAUUAAUAUUAAAUAAUAAAUAAUUAAAAAAAAAAAAAGUAAAAAAGCGCGGAGGGGGAGAAGCGGAGCGGUGUAACAACAGUUUUGAGAACUGUAAAAAGCUGGUGGGGUGUUCGCGUUUGGGAGCAGCUGAGUUUUCUUUCUCCAGGCUAUGUAGCUUGUAUCGCGUGCUCUCCUUUUGCAGCAAAAGUACAGAGUACUUGACUUCACUGUAACAUGCUCUCAUCCUAGCCCUUCAUCCACUGUGAGUUUGUGCGCAAGUCAAAAGCUUCUGGGUGAAUCAAUUGCUCUCUGCCUGAACCAGCAUUUUUGACCUUCAGAAUCCCUUUUUCUUUUUAAGCAAAGUAAUCUCCAGUUUGAGUUCUCUGUUUUUUUUCUUUUUUUAAAAAAAAAAUCUUAUUUUUACAAUUCUCUGUGGCACUCAUAGUUAAGUAUACGUUAUUAUUUGUUUUUAAGAAAAAUUACUAUGUUACCAUUUUAUUCAUAAGAAAUAUGAAUUUCGAAGUACGAAAAGAAAGGAUAAAGAAGAACAACAAAAACGAAAAAUAGCCCCUAAGCGCGCUAAAUAAAGUUUCAAAUAAUUUCGAUGCAAUUAUUCAUGCAAGACUUUAAAAACUCGGGAAUAAAUUAAAUAUAAAAUAUUGUAAAGAAAAACAUUCAUGCCGGCCUGCCGGGCUUUGUCGCGUCUUGAGCCAUACCGUACUGGGCCCCCAAAUCGGCCUCGGGCAGCCCGGUUGAGUCAUUUGUGCUGGCCCAUGGGCCAACGCAGUCAACCGAGCCGAGACGGCUCAUCGGCCGCCCGGCUCGUUUUAUAUCUCGCUUUACAUUUUCCCCCUCUCCGCUUGAGCUGAUGAUGCCUUCAAUUUUUUGCCAAGGUCACAUCUGGGAUUGCAGUGAAUUGCUUUACGUGCGGUGAGAUAGUACAAUGAAAAGAUAUUUUGUUUUUAUUUUUUUUUGUGCGAAAUGUCACGUUAUGUUUAUCACAUUAAGUUGAUUAAAUAUACUUUUCAUAAUCCUAAAACAAGAAAAAAAGAAAAAAGAAAAAUACAUGUCUAUGCACUUUCCUCCUAUUUAUGGUCUAAAGCAUUAAAACGAAUACUUCUUAUCGACAACACAAUCCCGAACUAGGCUUUACUCAGCUAGGCACGGACCGUGUACGGCAUAUAUAUAUCGAAUUAAUGACACCUCACUAAUUAAUUACCACACACACACACACACACACACACACACACACACACACACACACACACACACACAAUUAAAGUGUAAAAUUACCUUCGCACUCAUGAAAAGUUACAACAAUGAAACGAAAACGAUUUCUUGUACAUAAACACAAUAAGAGAGCGUAAAAGAAAUCACUCAGAUUCUUAUACAAGAAAUUGGAAAUUAAUAUAUAAAAAAUCUACAUUAUUGGCACCAUAAGUAGAACAUUACAGAUAUAUAUCAGCGCGCAGAUGCCGCGAUCCUCAUCUUGCCAAUAGAAGCACUUCCCCCUCAUGCUCCCCCCGUACUCAUUGAUGAGAAGUGUGUCCAAAGGAUACCUGUAGAGGGAGACGUAGUACAUGAAGAGCCAGUACUUUGGUAUGCUCUCUUUCGGAAGGAAGUAGCCGGAGAAGAGGAAGAAGACCCCCAGGAAGAUGCAUAUGAGUGAGUUGCCUAACAUGAAAUCGCGUGAGAUCGCGCUGAGGAAGAGAACUAGAGAACUCGCCAUUAACACGAUCAACCACACAACAAACACGAAGAACACGAACGCGCUUAGCGUGGGGUUGAGCCCUACAAGCCAGUAUAUAGGAAUGGCGAAGAGAAGAGCCACCGCGAGAAGGAAAGGGAUGAAAACUACGGUGUUGGCUAUCAUGUAGGAAGAGAUCCGAUACAUCCGCCGCGACGACUCCCUCAUCAAGACGCGCUGCUCCUGGAGGAAUAUCGGGAGCGCCUCGACGGUCGAGGAGAGGAGGAAGCUGAGGCUGAAGGCGAAGAGGCCCAGCCGCUCUGCCACCCCGUUGGGGCUCAUCUUUAACCGUAGGUACACGCUCCCGAGGCCUAAUCCGCCGACGAUCGCCUGCAUCGUCCUCGCGAGGAAUAGCUGCUUCGUCCGAUACAUGAUCUUCGCAAAUCGCGAAGACAGAGAAACCACCUCCUCCGAUCUGGAGCAGCAGUAAUAAUCCCUCGAGGCUUCGUGUUCGAGUUCUCCUUCCGCUUCUUCUUCUUCUACAAUUGAGUCCUCACUUUGGUGCAACUCCUCGCGCUUGAUCAAUUUAGUAUACUUGGCAGUGUACUCCUCUAGUUGAUCAGUGAUCUCCAUGGCGUACUCUAAGGGAUUGAGUUGCGCCGGGAUCUUCAACCCCAUGCGAGCGAUGGUGUCUUCAAGGGAUCGGAGGCUACCGCAGUGAGCCACGGUGCCAUGUAAGAGGAGCAAGAAGGUCGAUACGUACCGGAGCAUCCGGUAGCUAGGCUGAUGAAUUGUUAGUACUAAAAUCUGUCGCCUCGCACGAGCCAUCGAAGCGAGUAGUUCGACUACCUGCAAAGCCGACCGGCUGUCGAGGCCGGAAGUGGGCUCGUCGAGGAGGAGAAUCGGCGGAUCGUGUAUCACGUCGACCGCGAUCGAGACGCGCUUGCGUUCGCCUCCGGAUAUCCCUCUAUUCUCCUCGUCUCCGACGUAGCUUUGCGCGACGUGUUCGAGGCCCAAUUCCUGCAUGAGGGCCAUAACCCUCUCCUCCCUCUCCCUCGAGCUCGCGCCUCGCAGUCGGAACUUGGCGCUGAACAUCAGCGUCUCUUUCACGGUGAGCAGCGGCAGGAGGUUGUCUUCCUGCGUGACGAACCCGCAUAGUCUGCGCAGCUCGGCGGGCCGCGUGAUAGGCUGGUCGUUGAGCGUGAUGCUCUGCUGGUCAAACUUCGACGGUUUUACCCGGCCCGAGAUCACGCGGAGAAGGGUGGACUUCCCCGCGCCGCUCGGGCCGACGAUCGCAAGGAUCUCCGAACUCCUCGCGGUGAACGACACCGACUUGAGGAGAUGUGUCGGCUCGGCCUUGCGGGGGGAGAAGCAUGUCGAUGGCAAAAGGAUGUUAAAUUGGGGUCGGCGGCGGACGGUGUAGGAGAGGUCGGCGAUGGCGAGAGUGGACGCGGGGACGAGGGCGGAGCUGACGGAGGGGGGAGGGGAGGAGUGGUAGAAGGAGGAGGAAGGGGAAGUGGAGUCAUGGGGGGAGUCGGAGGUGGUGGAGAGGUCGAAGCAAAGGUCGUCCAUUGCCGGAGCGAUGAGGAGGGACGUGUGGUACGUUGUGGGAGGGGAGGGAAUGGAAAAAUGGAGGGAGAGAUUAAAGAUUAUGGUUUGCACACAUGAGGAUAAAUUAGCACAUGCACCCGGUCCACCGUAAGCAUGUCCAUCUAGCACUGUUUUGGAAGCAUAGACAAUAAGAAGUAUAAUCAAAUAUCCAAAAUACCAUGACUUUAGGAUUGCGGAAAUAAGUACGAUAGAAAAAUAUUAUAUUUAUUUCUGUACAUAAUAUUGUGUUUCGCAUAUCGCAAUAAGUUGGUUAUGAUAUAUUUUUCGCGGUCCCACCGAAAAACGCAGAAGCAUAUCCUUAUAUAUUUUUACCCUAACUCUAUUUUAUUUAGUAGCAUCAGAUAAGCAUCCAUACCAAACUAAGCCUAUAUAUAUUUAAUUUCCAAAUUAUUUUUAAAAAUAAAAUAAAUUAUUUUAUAAAUAAUUAUGCUAUUUUGUUUUGGAAGGAGUAAAAAUUAGAGUUAUAUCUUACCGCCAUGUAAAAAAAUUCAUGCUAAGUAAGUUAUUAUCGGAUAAUUUGUUUCAAUAUUCAAACAUGAUCUUAUAAUAUGACAAUACAGAUGUAAAAAUUAUAAUUAAAUUCGUCAAAUAUACUGUAAAUAUUUAAAAGAUCUAUUUAUCAAAAAUAAUGAAUUUUGGAUAUUGAUUUAUAAUGAAUUAAAUAAUGUCUUUUUUGUAUAGUUUAUUUUCGAAAAUAUUUGAUACUUACUCAAUAAAAUUUUAAGAUAUAACAAAAUCAUAUUUUAAUUUAAAAUAAUAACCAUAAAAUAUUUGAUGAGGACAGUGGUGGAUAAACAUAUUUGUAGGUACGCCGGGUGCAGGAAAUAAUUUCCCGUGUAGUGAGGGAAAGUGUUUUGUAGUUGAGCUGGUUUUCUCUGAUCGUUACUCUCUCCACAUGCCAAGGCUAUGAAGCUGACAUUUGGGACCCGCGUGCCUCGGGCCCACUUGUCAUCCUCACAACCGUGAUAUACAACGGUUUGUAUUUUUAUUUUUUUGUGUGUGUUUGAUGGAGGUUGGACCUAACACGACCGAUAGGGGGAAAUGUUGCCGUGUGGGUUUGGUUGCAUUAGGCCAUCGAAUUUCUCUCUCACAAAAAAAAAAAAAAAAAAAAAGUAAAGUAAAAUUUAAAUAUCAUCAUGUAGUUUCACACUUUCUCACUUUAGUAUUUUGUAUUUUAAAAUAUAUCAAUUUAAUACCAUAUGGUUUUAUUUUUCUCUUUUCGUUAGCUCUUUCAUUAAUUUUUUGUUAAAUCAUAUACAAAAAACUUCAGAUAUUCCACCUAUAAUUAAUCGAAUAUUCAUUUUAGUACUCUUUUGUUUUAAUUUUGUCACUUAUUUGACAGAAAAAAAAAUAAAGGGGAUAACAAAAGGAGAAAAAUAAAAUCACAAGAUACGAAAGUAAUACACCUUAAACCAUAGGAUACUAAAGUAAAAAAAUGCGAAAUCAAAUAGGUGAUAUUUGAAGUUUUUCCAAAAAUAAAAAUUAGGCCACCCAAGUAGUUUGAAUAAUACUUAAGUUUAAUUAUAAAGGUGGAUGAACAGAAGAGUGGGUGUGACCAUCUUGGAUUAUGUUAGAAUAAUUAAUGGAACCGGUCAAAAGAUAUAGGUAUAAUGGAUGUAGGUUUAUUUCCUCAUUCGAAAUUACAGCUACAGGACGUGCUUGAUCCGUCGUAUUUAUAAGAGCCAUAUCUUCUGCAUAUUUUAUGCACAAAAUAACUUGCUCAAAUAUAUAAUUUUUUUUGCUUAUAUAUAGGUUGGCCUAAAUGAAAUAUUCAACUUUACUUUGUUUUUGCUUUCGAAAUUUUUUUAAAUAAAUUAUUUUUUUUUGAGAGAUAGGUAGCACGCUAUCCGUUUCAUUUAUUUCAUUUAGAAAUAAACUUAGCUGAAAAUAUGAAUCAACUAGGAUUCGAACUUGGGUCUCAGGUACCAACCAUUAAGCCCUUUGCCACUUGCUCUAGGAACGAUCGGUUUUAAAUAAAUUAUUAUCUGUAGGUUAGUUUGAUGCAUUGUAAACUAGUCAAUUAUAAUAACAACCAAAAAAAAUUCCUCCAAUAGUGUUUAAAAAAGUAAAAAAUAAAUAAACAAGAUACCAACAAGGCCUCAAUUUGCAAUGUUUGCUUUUACCAUGUUUGAAUUAAUUAACUGGGUCCCGAUCAUGACUAGUUUGAAUUAAUUAUAUUUAAUUACCAAUAUGAAGUACAAGAGCAUAUAUGCUAUUUUCAACCAGCAGAGGGAGAAUACUUUUAAGAAUAAUAGUUCACAUAUUGAAUAAUAAAAUAAAUCUUAACAUAUAUAUGAUGUAUCUUAAGUUUCAGAAAUAAUUGAGCUUUCAAAGAAAAAAAGGAAAUAAUUGGUUGGGGUAUAUAUAAGCCAAAAUUCUUUUUGCUAUUCAAGGUAAUAAAUGUGGCAUUGGACUUUGGGUCGCACAACAAUCACUACAUUUUGUAUAUGGUAGCCCAUAUAUAGUUUAACAAUAGUUUAAAUUAAUUUCUGUGAAAUUGGUACAUUAACUACUAUUCACUUAUUGAAGACCAGAUAUGAUUCAUUGUUUAUCAUCUUGAUAAGAUAGAAAGUUUUUAAUUUGCAUUGGAAAACUUUGAAAUUUCAUACCCUUUGUGGGCAAUGUUGGUGACUGAUCUCAAAAGAGAGUGUUAUUCACUGAAAAGGCAUGAAUUUCAAACCCUCAUAAUUGUCUUUUAUAAUUGAAAAGAUGGAGAUUAGAAAAUCUCUAACCAUAUAUAUACAAAUGCCCAAUUUGAAAUAAAACCAUAUUAUUUUAUUUAUAGAGUUCAAGAAAAAAAAAUUUUCUCGAUUAAACAGGAAUAUAACCUAUUUGAGUAGAAAACAUAUGGCUUACAACUUGAAGAGAGGAAAAGCAAGCUUGUCCGCAAAACAAACUCAACCACAACAACUCUGUGCCAACUAUGGCCAAAAAAAAUAACAAAAAAAACAACAAAAGACAGCAAAAGCAAUAAAUGAGAGAAGGAUAAGCAGUCUUCGGCUUCAAACACAGAUAUCCAAAGUUUCACCUGGAGAGAAUUCUUAUUCCCAACUCUUCGUCCGAAUCAGGUGUUCGUUGAAAAUUCUUAUAUUUCGCUGUUUCCACAAUUCCCAGCAAGUCGUGGUAAAACAAAGAUCAAAAUUAUUUUUUUGUAGCCCCACCAACGGCAUCCUUACUCAUCACCGAGUCGUUAUAUCUUCAGAAAGAUUGGUCAUCAAGUGCUGUGUGGUCAGAAUACUUUGAAAAAGCCAAUUCCACAUGGAUAUCGCAUAGGUGCAACAAAAGAAGAUGUCUUCUAGGUUGUCUUCAUUUGUGGAGCAUAACACACGGAUUGAUGGGCUAUACCAACCUCGCUUAGCAGGUGUAUCGGCUAUCAAAACUCUAUUUCUUGCAGCUAACCACAUAAAUAAUUUUAUUUUGAGAGGAACCUUGAGUUUCCACAGGUAAAAGAUUUUGCAAUCUUUGACUCCAUCAUAGAUAAGAAAAUUAUUGGCGCUUCGUACCGAAAAUCUGCCAUUAUUAUUCCAUCACCAAAUGGUCGAGUCAUCAUAAUCAGACAACGAGAUGUCGUGCAUCAGCGUAUUGAAUUGUAGAAGCUCAUCUUGUUCCACUCGGCAUAUUGUGAAGAAUCAAAGCCCAGGUUGGUGCGCAGAGCAAAACGUUGAGUCCAGUUUUUGACCGAGAGGUGUUUAUGGGUCGAUAAGAUCCUGUUCCACUAGAGUUCAAGAAUUAAUUAUUAUAUAAUUUCACAUCUAAUACACAUUUUGGAAUGAGAAGAAUGAUGUAUAAAAGAAAACAAUGUUACAUUUUUUUUUGAAGAUGUGAUCUGUAGGCUACACGCAUGUAUACUUCAUGCUUGGAACGAAAAAUUGAACUCGGGUAAUAAAGUCCAAAGAAGUACUAACUGGUUUAGACAGUGGUGGUACUAAACUCUGAAAUAGUAAAUAUAACAAAGCUUUACUUUUAACUCUGCACAGAGAGAGAGAGAGAGAGAGAGAGAGAUGGGGAAAAACUUUAACUUAGUUGAUUGAACUAAAUAAUUUCUAGAUGCCGAACACUAUCAAUCUUAAUCCUUACAAAUAUUUGGAAGGAAGACACUGAUCAUGUCCAAUAUUGUAUACGCUCCUCGGCCACAAGUAGGACUUCUUGCGUGUAAAUAUACUAAUCUAUUAACUAAAGAAUUUAGUACUUACCGACCGCUCCUAAAGUAAGUGGCAAAGGGCUUGGUGGUUAGUACCUGAGGUCCCAAGUUCGAAUCUUAAUUGAUUUACAUUUCUAGUUAAGUUUAUUUUUAAAUAAAAUAAACGAAGCGGGUAGCGUGCUACCUAUUUCUAAAAAAAAAAGAAAAAAAAGAAUUUAGUACUUCUUAAUCCCUAGUUUUCAAACCACACUAGUAGGGAUUAGAUACCCCCACCUUUAGCAUGGCAACCUAGAUAACAAUCAUGGGCCGCGAUAAAAUACCGAUAAAAUAACAAUAACAACCUUAGCACUUCUUACACAUCAAAUCAAAUCUAUUUUUGGUAAGACCGCAAGUGAGAUAAUAGGGAAAGAGAGAGAGAGAGAGUAGGAUUGCUUUUCUAUACUUCUAAGUUAUUUUUGAUGAUAACAUUUUUAAAUCGACGAUUAGCUCCAUUAGACUUGAUCUAGUUAUUUGAAAAAUCUAGAAAAUAUUUUUUGCGAUUUUUCAAUAUCAUUUACUUAGGAAUAAAAGGGGUUCAAAAUUAAUUUGGAUUAAAACUGUAAUGUUUUUUGUGUUUUAUAUAUGUAUAUAUUUAUAUAUAACUAAAGGAAGUGCACAAUUUGGAAUAAAAUUGUAAUGUUGUUUGUUAUCAACCUGCAUGCAAUAUUUCUGAAUCCCUAACUUUGUAGAGUAUGGCAAAAAAAAAAAAGAAGAAAGAAAUAGUAGACAUAGAAAGGGAAAAUAUUCUGAAGUUCACUGUAAAGGAGUAAAACUGAGCUUGUAUAUAUAUUUAUUUAUAGCUCAUUAAUGAUCUCCAAACACUUCAAAGUGCAAUGGUGAUUUGUCAUUCUUAGAAUGAAAAUACUUUGUGCUCUGGCAAAUUCAUAUAGUAAAAAGUUCUCCUGAUCCUACUCCUAUUUUUAGCAGUAGAGAUCGACUCUAGAAGUAAAAUGCUUGUUACCGAGGUAAUUAUAAAUUUGUAGAUUCUGCUGUACUGUAGUAAUAAGACGAAAUGAAAAAAAAAAUUUCCUAAAAAAUAUUUAUGAUAACGCUCCUUCUAAAAACCCUGCUUAAGCAAACUUUAAUUAGCCAACUAGCAUUUACCAGUGUGCAGGUUUUUCCUGAAAAACACAAGCUCUAAUUAUUUGGUAGUUUUGAUCAUAACACUUUUCCUCAAAACCACUAUUCAAAUAAUUUUUCUAAAUGAAAUACCCGAGACCGUUCCAAAAGCAAGUGGCAAAGGGCUUGGUGGUUGGUACUCGAGACCCAAGUUCGAACCCUAAUUGAUUCACAUUUUCAGUUAAGCUUAUUUCUAAAUGAAGGUAGCGUGCUAUCUAUCUCUCUCAAAAAAAAAAAAAAAACAAUUUUUCAGCGACCAGCAUUUAAUUACCGUUGUGCAUUAGGGCCAAAUUAAACAGGCCCUUUAUGUAAGCUACUAAAUCAGUAAAUCGUACACUACUCAUCUUCCCAAACAUCAAAUAUAGAAGAAUUAACCCUUGAUGGAACAGAUUAUCUAGCAGCAAAGCGUUAAUGUACAUCACCCUUCUAAAGCCAAAAAAAGAAAAGUUGCUCUAGCUUUUUCCAAAGAAACAUUAACACCCCAAAAAAAAAAGAGAAAAACCAACUUAAGAGAAAGAUCGAGAUCACACACCACCAAAAAUUAACACUGCAACAACUACAGCAACAUCAUAUAUGUAGAUCUUCUAACUCUUAGGCGGUGGCGGCGGCGGCGGCUGCAGCGGCGCUUUACGAGGCGCAUUGGUGAUACCCUGACUUGCAGAAGAAGCAUUCGGAUCACCGCCGCUUUUAUUUAAGCCUUCUUUGCUGUCACUGCCACCGCUGCCGCUGACGCUGACACUGACGCUGACGCUGCCUGAUCCGGAGGCAGGCGAAGCCUUCGGAGGGCUUUCGUCGGCAGCGCUGAACUCCGGAGGAAGUGCUCGGGAGGGCUGCCGGCGGUGGCGAGACAUGGUUCGGAAAGUUCUUGAAAGUACUUGAGUGAGAUCAAGUGUUCUUUACAUGGUGGCAUUAAAUAGAGGUAAGGAGAAUUAAGAAGAGUUUAAAAAGGGUUUGUAUAAGGGUGUGAUCCUCAUGCGUCGCCAACGUAACGGUCAAAUAUCACGUAUGCAAGCUACAUGAGUCUCGCAGCGCAGACAAAAAAAAAUCUAGAAUACACCAAUUAUAUUAUUAAUAAAAUAAUUUUAACUAAUAAAAUUAUACCUUCUGAAUUGAGUUAUUUCAUCGUAGAUAAUAAAAAAAUAUUUUUAUUAUAUUUUUUUAGAAAAAAAUAUGAUUGGUUUGCUAUUAAUAAUGUGGUGCAAGAAUGACACAGAAUACUUUUUAUAAGCAUAUGAGCUGUCCACGUUGCCCAGACAUCGUUUACCACGUCGUCAGCGUAGACCCAUCCUUUGCCUUAUUCUGCCUUUGAUGGGAAAAAUUCUAGAAUGCAAUGAGUAUAUUAGUGACGUGGCGUAACAAACCAAUCAAACUAAUCCUUUUAAGAAUAUAUGUCCUAUCAUGAUUGUAAAAAAGUAUUUUUUUUGUACUUUUGUUUGAAAAGAAGGAAUGUGAUUGGCUUGUUAUUGACGAUGUGGUGUAAGUGUGACAAUGUAGAAUUCCUCCUUUGAUGGCUAUGUACGUACGUAGAUAUAGUUACAUAUUUUGUAGUUUCCUUUUUAAUGUCAAAAUAAGUUACUAGAAAAUAAUUUAUAUAUAUAUAUAUAUAUACAUAUAUUGGGAGGGGGGAUGACGAGUUUGAUAAAGAGGUGAUAAAAAAUAUAAAAAUUUUAAAUCUUUUAGAAUGUUAAGUUCUAAUUAAUGACGUGAUAGCAUACUAUAUGUAUUUCCUUAAAUAAAUUUAUUUUAGCUCUCUCAAAAUUUAUCUUUCUAUACAGUUAAUUAUUAAUAUAUUGGCAAUUCUAUAUAAUACAUAUAACAUGCGUGCAUUAUUAAGUUAAAUUUUACCAUAAUAUAACGCUAACGCACCAAUAAUAUAUAAAAAAUAUGAUAAAAAUUUUGGAGUAUACUCGCUCUUAAAACAAAAAACAAUUAAUUUAUGUGCUUUUAAUGCUAUCAUUUCUAAACCACACAUAUUAUAAAUGUGGUAACUAGCUAUCCCAUGAAAUUUGCACGUGUUUAUAAUUUCUUUUUUCUCCAUUCGUAGUAUUGUACCAACAAUACAUAAGCAUUGUAUCGCCAUAAACUAGUAAGAGCAAUACUGUAUUUAUCAUUAUAAGAAAAUUUUAUUAUCGGUCAGAAUAUUUUUUUUAACGACACUUGAAGAAAAUAUUUUCAUGCAUCCAUACUAUAUAGCAAAUACAGAAGUUUAAAAAAAAUGUCAUCAUAUAAAUCAUCUAUUACAAUCAGAUCAAAUUUAUUAAAAAAUAAAUUAUAUUAUUAUUAUAUAUAUAUAUUUUUAAUUUUGAAGCAUCAAAAAAUUUUAAAAAUUAAAAAUUUUAAAGAAUUCAAAAAAGAGACUAGCCGAGGCUUAUCUUUUCCUGCCAAUGGUUUAGACCGGUUCCUCCGUGUAGCCUCUCUAGUCACCGACACUGACAUGGGAAGAGAACAAAAAUAACAAAACAAAACUGACCAUUCUUAGGCUUUGAUGGUUGGUACUCGAUGUCGCAAGUUCGAAUUCUACUUAAUUCACAUUUCUAACUUAGUUUAUUUUUAAAUAAAAUAAGCAUAGCAUACUAUUUAUCUCUCAAAAAAAUAAAAUAAAAUAAAAUAAAAUAAAAUAAAAAGAAAAGGUGCACGGGUAAAAUGUGAGAGCGUACGUGUGCGGCUAAGUUCCGCUUCAUCCACCUCAUCCGUAAUUUAAUUAAACCCAACUCUCUGGGCAAAAGGAUGGAGCGCAUACGAAGACGCGGGAUCUUUCGAGCGUUGGAGGACGCGAAUGCUAUUGCUGGUGCUAAAUAGGGGCUUCUGACAUGGCGUCCGCGUGGCAGGGCCAGCUUAUGCUCCCGAUAUUAUUAUUCUCUGCACCCGAUGCAACCAGAUAUUUCGUCCAUUUAGAUAUCAAAAUAAGUUAUUAAGUGAUUAUUAUUAUUAAGUAAACAGGAGUACGUGGAAUAAAUAUAUUUACACAUGUAAAUAGGCCUGCUAUGUAUUAGAUUUAUAGAUGAGUUUUAUAGUGUUUAAAAAUUCAAGGCAUAUAAUUUUAUUAUUUAGAGAUCAAGUAGUUUGUAAAUGUUUAAUGGCGUAGAAAAUGAUAUGGAUUGAUUCAGAACAAAUGUUUAACAUGAAUUAAAGUUGUGAAUUUCAGAUCUAAUAAGUGUGCUGUUUACGGUGCGCGGUGCACCGGGUGCAUGCAAUAACUUGGCGAGCUGAUCCACGUACAGAGGACCACUAAUGGCCAUGAGUGGUCGCGAUCGCCUCGGGGGGAUAGAGACGGUUUUGGACGGACGCGAUCGCAUUAUUUGUGGGGGUUCGCUGGCUCUGUUCCUCUGCACUUUGUCCCGUCGCGUUUCUCCCCUCCCCCUGUUUUGUGGACAAAAAUUUUCUGGGCAAUUUGUCUGGGCACGGUGCCGGAUGGGCACCGCGUGUCGCAACCCUUGAAAAAAAUAAAAAUAAAAAUGGCAUGGUCCGUUUUUAGAGAGAGAGAGAGAGAGAGAGAGAGAGAGAGAGGUGGUUAGGGAUGUCAAUGGGUAUGAAUAUUCAAAAUUUUAUUCGAACCAGAAUCUAAAUGAAACGGAUAUAUCCAAUGGAUAUGAAUAUGGAUUUGGAUAUGAAUAUAAAAAAUAAAAAUCCGACGGAUAUGGAUUCGGAUAUGAAUUUUGAUUGUACCCAACCCGAACCCGAACCCAACCCGAACCCAAAUUUAUUUUGUAUUAUAUAUAAUAUAUAUAUAAAAAUUUGAUGUUAUAUUUGAAUUUGUAUUUUAAAAAUUUAAAUUUAAUAUAAUAUAUUUUAAAAUAUUGAAAAAAAAAUAAUUGUUUCGGGUUCAAAUUUUUGGAUUCGGAUUCGGAUUCGGGUUUCGAAUUUUUGGUUGGAUUAGGAUUUGGAUAUGAAUUUUUAAAAUCCGUCGAAUUUGGGUUCGGAUUCGGGUCUCGGGUUUGGAGUCGGGUUCGGGUUCGGAUUUUUAAAAAUUCGCCCCGAAUCCGACUCAUUGACAUCUCUAGCGGUGGUGAUGGGCGCCGCUACACACGCAGCGCCCAUCCGGCACCGUGCCCAAACAAUUUGUUUGGGCACGGUGCCCAGAAAAUUUUUGUCCCUGUUUUGUGGACGGUGGUGCCCAUCUCAGCAAACAUAGUUUUAAUAGAAUUACGCUUCAUUUGGAAUUGCAAAAAUAUUGCGUUACGUAUGGUAAAAAAUAAUUUAUUUUCGUACGCAAUGUUACGAUAUGCAUAUUGCGGUUAGUCGGAAAAUACAGAAGCAUAUCCCUAUAUACUGUUUCUCAACUCCAUUCUAUCUAAUAGCGUUAGAUAGAACUCAAUACCAAAAUAAGGCUUAGUUAUAUAUAGCUUUUUAUAAAUCAAUUGCCCCUAUAAUAAAUUAUAAAUAUAUUUUUUAUAAAAUUUAAUUUUUUAUGUUAUUUUUUAUAAAAGUUCAUUAAUAUUUAUAUAUUUUUUUAUUUGUUACUUUAUUUUUUUAACAGUAGAUAAGUAAAAUAUCAAUUUUGUCAUCACAAAUAUGUCUCUCUAAUUGUUCCAAUAUUCCAACUGCUAUAAUCGUACAAAAAAUGUCCUCUAAAAAAAUUUUAAAUAGUUAUUUUCUCUCUCUUUAAAAUCCAACUCAAUCCACUAUUGUUAUAAUCUAUUCUCUCAUUCUUUUUCUCUUAAACCCUUUCUUUUAAGCAAAAUAAAAAAAAUUAUAGAGAAAAAUUGAAUGAAAAAGUAAUGAGCGUUCGAUACGGGCGAAACGAUACAGUGUCGUGGAUGGAUAAGGAUAGAAAAAUUUUAGUUAUGAAUUCGAAACUAGUAUGAAAGAAAGAGAGGAAGAGAAAGAGAAAGAAGAAGAGUUUUUAUUGAGUUUGAAAUUGGUUCAAAUCCCUUCCAAUUGAAUUAGAGUUUGAUAUGUACUUUCAUUAUAGUUUAAUUAAUGGGGCAUCUAACAUGUGGCACAAAUUUAAUGCAAUCACUUUUUUGUGUGUGUGUGUGUAAUAUAUUUUGCCCAUAAUCCGAAAAAUGGCCAUGCAACUUGGAUUUCAAAACUUUGAAUAGGCAUUUUAGAGUUUUUACAGCAUAAUUUAAUUUUCUCCCUGACCAAAAUUAAUGCAUCAUAAUUUUUUUUUUUAUUAUUAUAUUUGCACACAAGUUAGCUAUGAAACUAAAGAAUGACACAAAUUUAAUUUUUAAAAUUUUUAAUCAGAUAAAUUAAAAUUUAGAAACCAAAAACAUAAUAUAUCCAUGUAGGAGGAAAACUAUGCGGGAGCAUCAUAUAUAUACACCGCAUAUAAGGCGGUGGAAGCGUCGGCAACCACCGUUCAUUCGCCAAUCAACUCAUCAACUGUCCCCUACAUCACUAGCCGUCCAUUCGCCCAAAACAAAUCUCUAUCCGUCCAAAUAGUCCCCGGUGAAUUCCACGCGUCCGCAUGCUUUUCAUCUCCGCGUACCGCAAGAGAAGUACACGUAAACAGACCUAUCGGCUAUCACGAGUGCGGGACUUUUCUCGGGUACAAUUGCGGGUACGCCAAGCGUUUGACGAAGAAUUUAGAAUCUCCGGGAGAAAUUGUUCGUUUUUUUUUAUUCCGCGAAUAAUCCCUCGGCAUCUUCGUCGCCUCUAUUGCGCGGUCGUACACCAAAAAGUCCCCCAUUCUCCCCCGAACUUUCCCCUUUUCCCUUUUACCUCUGUGGAUAAUCGGGGCCGUGGAUUGAUCGCCUUCUUUAUCUAACCCUAACCCUAACCCUAACCCUCUUCUCCUCUUCUUCUUCCUCCCUUUCCCGUCCUGCCCCAUCUAAGCGCAGCGCCCCCGCCAUGGCCACGGAGGAGGACCAGCCCGAGAUCUCCCCCUCGGCGCAUUCCGUGGAUCAGGUGCGAUACUCUAUACUCAGAUCUCCUCCCACUAGUUCGAGAUUUAGAUCGAUCUUUUCCUCUUAGAUCUGGGGUUGGAUUGGGCGUUGGUCAAAAACUGAGUCGUGUGGAUGUGGAUUAGGGUUUGAUUUGAUUCUUGAUGUGGGAUUCGUGCUGUUGUUGUCGGUGGUGGUGUUAGGUGGGUGGCGAUGGGAAGGGGAAGGGGAAGGGGAAGGGGAAGGCGAUGGGAGGCGCCGAUUCGGGCGCCGCUGCUGCAGAGGGGGUGGAUUUUGGGUUCUGCGCCAUUUGCUUGGAGAAGAUACUGCUUCAGGAGACGGCCCUUGUAAAAGGUUGCGAGCACGCUUACUGGUUUGUCAUUGCACUCGUUUAACUUCUCGUGCAAAUCAAAUGCUUCGUAUGUAUUUCGAGUUCUUGUUUUUUUUGUCAUAGCAUUUCUAUAUUCCACAUCUGUAUAAAGAAUUUCGGCCUAAUUGGUCCAUAAUAGCUUCCCAUGUCCUGUGUUUCUGUUACAAGGUUCUUGUUGAUGGUAAUUAGAUGACAAAGGAAGGAUAUGGAAUAGUUGAAUAAGUUUGAGACUGGUUUUGAAUGUUCAGGAAUAGAUGUUGUGGGCAGAAACUUCAUGGCAGUGAUCACAAUAAGAAGUCUUAACAUAAGGCAGUAGACAUGACAAAUUAAAACAGAACAAUUGAUAAUAUCAGCAUGGGAAAAGGCAUUCAAAUAUUGGUAAUGAGAAGAAACUGUUUGAGCAAGGAUAUUUGGGGAUUAGGACAGCUUCAUUUUAACAUCAGGAAGAAUGGGUGUUCAAAACCUUGUUCCGUCGUUAUCUUGGUGUCUGGAUGUCCUGUUUGCUACUUGUUCUCAUUGGUUGAAUUUCUUGGUGGCAGGAGUUUUCUGUUUGUUUGGAGUUAAGCCGAAAUGCCAAAUAUAUGAAAGAAUGCACUAUGUAACCUUCGAAUUGUGAGAUAUUUUUUAGCUUACAGUAAGACUUACCGGUAUUUUGUCAGAAGAACUCAGAUAUCCUGUCUUUGCUUAGACUUCUGUUUUUCAUUUAUUAAGCUCUAUGGUGUUUCACUCUCUUCAGUUGUUGUCAAAAUUCACCAACAUUAUGCUUAGCUGAAAUUCAACCCGGCUUGAGGAUUAUGCACUCAAAUCAUCUCUUAAUUUUAGAAUUUUAGAAACUGGCUCAGUGAUAAUAAUCAGGCUAUCCAACUACAAUAAGUCAUAUUACCUCUUGGUUCUAUAGUAGCCUUGUUACAAUAGUUGUACAGGAAACUCUGCAGCGGAAAACUCUGCAGCAUUGUAUUUCUCUCAUUAACAAUUUCCAACUCUUCGCUUUAUUGACGAUAUUGAGUGGAUAAUGGACUUGAAGUACUAAUUAUUCUGUGUUUCUGGAGGUUUAAUAGCCUUUUCUAAUAUCAAAGACCAUUGGUGAAAGAUCUUGAUUUUCUUUCCAUAUAACAUACUUUCUAUCAUCCUUUUAGACAAUGUCUGCUAGUUUCAUCUUUUGCUUUCAUUUUUUAAUGCUGAAGUUAGAAUGAAAUGGGAUGUAUUGUUAUAAGUUGAAGUGUGUGUUUUGUGAUAACUCUUUUUGGUUGGAUAAGGCAUAUAUAUUGCAUGAGGAGAAAUUUGAUCACAAAGUCAAUCUCGAGUGAUUGAUAGGGCAUAUAUAUGUGAUGUUGGCAUUAAUGUUAACCUUUUUGACGGGCUUGCAAUCACGCCACAAGUAAUAUGCGAUGUUGGCGUUAACGUUAACCUUUUUGACGGGCUUCUCAAUCAUGCCACAAAUAAAGUUAUAUGUAUUGGCUUACUCUUUACAAACAAAGACCCAGAGGUUGAAUAUUCUGUAUUAAUUGCUUCUCAUCUCACAGCUGCUUACAGAUUGAAUUUUGAUGUUUGUUAAUGUCAUCAUAACAAAACACAGUUGUUGGUCUAUAUUUAUGAUUAAAUAGUGUCGAAAAGCAAUCUUGUAAGGUGAGUUGCUGUGCUAUAUGCCUAUAUCAUGCCUCUGAAUAUGUUAAGUUAAAACAAUGUGGUAUUCAUAUAGUACUCGACCUGAAUACACUAAUGUUUUGAAUGCAAUACUUGCUGUGAUGGUAAUGUUAUGUCAGCACUGUUUCGUUUGUGCAGUGUGACAUGCAUUCUGAGAUGGGCAUCGUACAAUCAGAAGCCUUCUUGUCCCCAGUGCAAGCAUCCAUUCGAGUUCCUGGAUGUUCACCGCUCACUUGAUGGCUGGUAAAUUUCAAACAAUUGCCUUCAGAUAAAGAAAGGUGGGAAUUUUACAUCAGUUUAUACGGAUUAACUGCUUCCUUUUCCAGUAUUCAUGACUACAUGUUUGAGGAGAGUGUUUGCCUUCUCCUGCGAGCCACCUGGUUUGUGCCUCUGAAGGUGGAGGCCCAAGAAGAGGCUCCUGAAGAAGUCGAACUCUUUUAUCAAGAUGAGUAUGACCAGGAUGACGGUGGCGAUGAUUUUGAGGAGUCUUACUACAUGGGCAGCUCAUCAAGUGUUCGAAUUGGUAACAGGAGGUGGGGGGAUGGCGGCUUUGUGAGGUCGGGAAGGAAGCAAGCCCGACCUGUCAUACGUCAGCAAAUUGACAAUGAUGAUGCCGGCCCAUCCCGAUGCCCUAAGAAGGAGAAAGAGGCUUCUAAGGACGUGAUGGGGAGGCGCGCUAAAAGGGCUUUAAAGCGUGAAGCUGCGGACAAGGCAGCUGCAGCAAAGCACCAGCAGCACCUGCAGAGGCUGGGGCGCAUAUAAUCAUCCUUGCGAAGGAUGAACUUGCAUAUCCUUUCGGCCGCAUAAUAAUCUUCUUUUUGGAAGAACUGGGAUGCGCCCUUUGUAUAAUUUGGUCACCCUGCCGCUUGUGUACAGGAUCUUAGGUUUGUUGUUAGUUCUUUCUAGUUUCAACAUGGGAAGCUAUACCACAGCUCUUACUGAUCUAUGCGGUUAUAUCUUUCCUAUUUGAUUAUGUCUAGUACUGUCCCAUUGAUUUUAGGGUUCGGAAUUGCUAGUUGUUAAGGUCGUUAAGUGACUAGACUCUGCGGAUGAUUAAGCAGAGAAAUUUCUCUCAACUGAGACCUUGGCUGGUUGCAACAGCAAGAUGUACAGGAUCAUGAUGUUCUUAAAUUGCUCUAAACUUGAAAGCAGUUGGCCACUUUGCUUAAAUAGAAACUGAAUCCAUGACCAUUUUCUUUUUAUACUGAUAUAAUUAUAUUCCCGCUAGCACAAACAGAGAGAAUACCGUGAUGUAACGCCCGUCCGUGCAACUCAGCUUGGAAGAUGGUAGGUGUUUGGCCAUGCAUCGUGCGCAACUUGUGUAGCACACGACUGCAGCUGUCCCUUUAGCUCUACAUGCAACUGCACUAUUCUACAUUUUGAAAGAAUCAUCAAAGUGAAGCCUCAUCAACUGGCCGACCGAACUACUGAACCAAACACACCUAAAAUUGUUCCGCUAAACAAAGGCAUUUCACAUAAAACAUGCCACACUAACCACACCGAUGGGCCAAACAAAUCUGAAAUUAUUCCGCCAUUCAAACAUUUAUUGCAGAAAAGAAAACCUAUAUAUACAUCCAGUUUUGGUGUAUGAUAUACACUCCACCUAUCGAAUAAAUUUAAGCAAACAAACUCACCUAUUGAAUGAGCGGACUCUAUGAUAUGCACCUUUUUUUAAGCGUAUGAGUAGCAAUACUCUUUUCUUGUAAAGCAUGUUGGACGAGCUAAAUCACGUCUUAAAAAAAAGUCCGAAUACCCGUAAAAGAAUUGAACAAAAAGGAUAUUUCUACACUAUUUUGCCUGCUAAAUAAAAAUUUCUGUAUCCUUUCGCCCCAUCUUCUUGCGCAAUAGCUUUAGGCUAUCAUAUUUGCUCGCGAUUUAAAAGAACCAGACAACCAUGACAAAAUUUUAGACCACCACGACGCAUUUUUUGACCAAGCUAUUGUAAUUUAGGAUUUGCUAAAAAUCUGCUAGACUCUGUUUGACCCUACUCUGGCACAAUUAUUUGCUCAAUUUUUUUUUUUUUCUCUUGAGAUAGGUAGCACACUAUCCGCUUCGUUUAUUUCAUUUAGAAAUAAACUUAGCUGGAAAUAUAAAUCAACUAGAAUUCGAACUUGGAAUCUCGGAUACCAACCACUAAACCCUUUGCCACUUGCUCUAAAGACAGCCGGUUGCUCAACUAAGGUUUGAGCUGAUUAAUGAUAGUUUCUGUUAAUUUUCCGCUGUAGCAACAGCCCCAAAUUAUACUAUUCAUCUAACUUUCUCAUAAAACAAGUUGCUAUUAAAUAUACAAAUACAAGGGGAACCAAAAACAAAUUCAUUACUCGUGUGUCUAAAGUGGUUGCUAAUUUUGAAAAACCUAAGCUUUAUAUGCAUCUAGUAGUCGCACAUUAAUCAACAAGGCUAAAAUGACUAUUUUUUAUUUACAAGAUACAUGAGCAUAAAGAACCAAAAAAAGAAAAGAAAAGAAAAAGAAUUAGUAGCCAAAAAUCGAACGAUCCAAAAUUUCAAUUUUUAAAACAUCCUAGAAUUUCAAUCCAGCCGGUUGUUCGCGAGUUAGCUUAUGUUCAACUUGAAAUCAAGUCGCAUAUUUAGUACACAAGCCCCACACAAGCUAAAAUUUUCAAUUCUUCAAAUAUUUAUAUAAUUUAUAUUUAGUUAUGAAUAAAUAAAUAUAUAAUAUAUUUUAUUAUUUAAUUUUUAGCCCAACUUAAUUAUAAAAAAACUUAUUUAUAUAUAAAAUUUUAAUUAUGAGAUCAAAGUCUAAUUUGGCAAGUUAUUUCCUAAAUACUAAUCCUUUUAAUUUACUGUUUAUAUGCCAGCUCAUGUUAAGCUUAUUAAUAAACAAGCUAAAUAUGAGCUAAAUUUUUCAGUUUGAUACUUUGACGAGUCGGCGUAACCAUGAGCUCUGCGUUCGGCUCAUUUAUGAAACGAGCCCAACCAGAGCUCAUGUUCGGCUUGUUGACAGCCCUACUUGCAAGUAUCAUACAUCAUCAGAAGGUAAUUAGAUUUCCAUCCAAUUAAACAUAAUGCUUCUCAUCGACCAUUUCAAAUUGGAAAAUGCCAUCAAAAUUGAUGCACUUGUACUAUCAAAAAUGUACUAGUACACAAGGAUGGGGAUAAUGAUAUAUUCUGAGGAAUAUAUAUAAUAUUCAGCCAAUUAACCAUGACAAUAAUCGCACCACUCUAAGCUAAAACUUCAAAAUGAUAAAAUGUGUUCACAAAUUAAUCAAUCUGCGCAUAAAAUAAAACAGAGAAGAGAACAACAAAUGCCCUCAGUUAGCAGCCAAAAUGAAUGCGCAAUUAUGUAGACACCAAAAUGGAGCGAGGAGAAAAAGAGAACUCAUCCUAAAGUGACAAAAUUUGAUGGCGAUUAAUGCAAUACUCAAGCAGUUGAGAAGAAACUUAGCACUCUAAAUGCAAAGUAGAGCAAAGUGCAUCCAGAUUGAGCGGAAAUACAUCAUCCACAACGAGAAAUGCAUCGUAAGAUUAUUAGAAGACCAUGAAAUCACUAAGGUCGAUAUCGUUCUCAUAGUUCUCCAAAACGAGAAACAAAAAAACACCCAUGUGAUCUUAUUUACUGAAGAGUACUGCUAAUAACUAGAUGACAGGCAACUAUGACUUACUCAGUAACAGUUUAGUCUACUAGCACUAAUAACUCGUUUUAACCAUAAACCCAAAAUGCUUAAAACCCAAUAAUUAGUUCUAAUGUGUCCGUUACAUGUAAGCCCCACAUACUCCCACAUUAUCUAAUGUGUGAUUAUUACGAUGUCAAAUACACUCGACUGAUCCUACUCCUGUAGAAUCAAGAAUUAGUAAGAAGUAAGAACCUUUCAAAAGUUCUGCACAAGCUGUACAAUAAAUGCAAAACAAUCACUUUAGAGCAGCAACGCCGACACCUCUGACACCCACGUAUAAAACACAUUUGUAGAUAGAUUCCUGGUUAAACCUGUUACUCAUAUUUGAAGCAAAAGCAUAUCCACCACUGCUGUAGGUAAUAAUUUAACCAGUGAACAAGGAGGGGGAGAACCAUUGCUUGCACUUAAUGAUAUGAAAAUUUAUAAGCCAUCAAGAAACUAAUAGCAGGAUUCCAACAGCAUCCUACAACAGAAUGGUUGAAAAUGCUUCCAAGCAGAAAAUCUGAGUAGCUUGCGGACGACAUCUAAGCACUGUUACUAGCAUAAAGAAUGUACAGCAUAGACUGAUUAGUUAAACAGAUCAUUGCUACGUAAAAAGUAUAAAAGAAUAUUUUCCUAUUGGUAUUUGAUCGGUGACCAUUCAAACCAUGCAACUCAGACAACUUAGUUUCUUGGAACAACAUAGAAUAUGUAUUCCCAUGAAACUAAUAGCUAGCUCUAAGGUAUUAUAAUAACAAUUCCUAAUGUGGCCAAUUGAAGCAGCCUUAGCAAGACAGUGCAUUAGGUUGUCCCACACACAUCAUCAGAUUCAACAGUUAAAUGUAAGUUGUACGUCUUUGAUAGCAUCUAACUGUGCUUAAGACAUUUAUAGUUAAUUUUUUCUUCUGCUCGGAUAUUCAACCAAUUAUUUUUAUUAUUUGCACUCCUGUAGUAGAUUCUUUUUUUUUUUCUCCAGUGCAUUCUUUUAACUAAUAAAUGAUAUAAUGCAAUGUUAUAAAUGCUUUCUUCGAAGCUUUUCUAAUAGUAAAAAGAAUUUUCUAAUAGCAAAAAGAAUUAAUUAACGUGACAAACAGAUUGAUGCAGCUUCAUAUCAUUUGAAUGCAAGCAAGUAAAUAAAUAUAAGUAACAAACCAAACUCUCGAGGACAUUGCAGCCAUAAUUCAAACAACCCUCGAAUCAUGCCUAGUCAAGGAGAUUAAAAUUGCACGAUAAAAUUAUGAUUCUCUAUCAAAGACAACAAUCUAGCACAAAUAUAUGAGUAAAGGAUCCAAUAACUUAUUUUAGAAGUUCACCGAAAACAUUCGAGUCAUCAUAGGAACACUACUUCGCAUAAAUAUAUAACAACAGUUGAUAUUCUACUCCUAUAUGUUGCAAUAACUUUUUUAGUCUAUCUAUUCAACCAACUAUCAUAAGCAGAGCAACAGAAUCCAUCACAAAGGAAUCAAGUCAAACAUUACCAAAUCUAAUGAGGGGAAAACUUUAACAUGCAAACAAAGGCUAAAGUUGUCUAUCUUAGACUGUGUUUUUGAACUAAAGAAACAUUAUGUGUGUUUACUAACAAUAGCAUUUCACAUGAUGUCUCUGUACACAAGACAUGUUCUUUGUGGUUUCGGCAAAAAGCCUAGUGACUAUAGGAUGCCGAUAAACAAAAACCUUUGAACACUUUGCUUACAGAAGAAGGAAAAACCAAAAAAGAGACAACGGUAACAAUUAGCUAUGAUACUUUCCAUAAGAUAAAAAGUAAGCAGUUAUCUAAUAAAGAAAUUGUUAGCAAAAACAUUUAGAAAUUUAAACUUCACCAAAAUUUAAAUAUAGAAGUCACAAUCAAACAGCUCUGCAUUAAUGCACUACAAUGAAAAUCCUAAUCAACUAGUACUUUGAGCAACACAGACAACCAUAACAAGUUAUGCUUCCUGAAAAUCCUAAUCAACAAGCGCUUUGAGUAAUACAGACAAACAUAAUAAAUUAUGCUUCUUGAUUACAGAAAGCUUCUCAAGAGAAUCUGAUAAAAAAGAUACUCUUUAAGUGAUAAAAAGGUUAAAAGUAAAGAAAAAGUUGAAGAAAGAAGUGAAACCAUGGAAACUUCAUAUGAUUCUUCCCAAACUUGAGUUCAUAGGUUCUCUCCUGUGGUCCAUACAUGGAUACUUCAAUUCUCUAGGCACGUUCAUUCUAACAACAUAUCGAACACAAUGCUCAUCAGAUACUUCUUACACAUUCCAAAUUUUUUUAAAAAUAUGGUUGAAAUGUUGCAAUGGUUAGGAUCUACAGUUUUAGAACACUCCUUGAUUUUUGAUGGAAGGGAUAUGUUAAUUAACAUAUCCAUUGAUAAUGAGAAACCUAAAAAAAUAACCCAAAUUAAAGAAAACUUAUUAUGGAUACUGUACACACACAUGCAGUGGAUAAAUUAGUGAAGUAUGAUUAAAUAUUACAUGUAAAUAUUUGCAAUAUCAAUAUUCCAAUUAACUAAAUACAAGUGCAUAUAAUUGAUUUUUCUUCUUUUUUGAUUGUAUAUGAAUUGAAAUGUUUAUAAUAUGCACAUAAAUAUUUGUCUUCAUGUGGGGGCAAGCUGGCAUGCGCGCAAAAAAUGGCAAGUGCAUAUUUAUAACUUUAUCUCUAUGUAUAUCAACUCCUAUUUAUGUAUUUAUGCACGUACACGCAAGUACAAAACAUGUACAUUCGUUGAAAUAAACAUCGGGCAUCCUAGUUGAUUCACAUUUCCAGAGAAAGCGGCAAAGGGCUUGGUGGUUGGUACCCGAGACCCAAGUUCGAAUCCUAGUUGAUUCACAUUUCCAGCUAAGGUUAUUUCUAAAUGAAAUAAACAAAGCGGGUAACGUGCUACCUAUCUCUCUCUCAAAAAAAAAAAAAAAAAACAUCGGGCAUCCUUAUUUUUAAAGAUUUGCCAUAUUAGCAUAUUUGGAGUGUAACAUGUUAGCAUGCCAUAUCUGUGUCUAUGCAACAUAUGUAGUUUCUCUCCUCUUCUUGAGAAAGAAAGAUAGAAAAGGAGGCACGUGUGUUACGCCACACCCUCUUUCAGAUAAUUUAGUCAACUUUAUAUGGCCCAUGUGUCCCUCCCAAGCAAAAAGCUAAACCUUUCAGCAAUUUUCUGGCUAAUAAAACAAACUUCGUACAAUGAUGAUCUAAAAGUACUCGAUCUAGAAUACCAGCAGCUUAAAAAGUAUUGUUAGUUCUUAAAAACUUUAAAAGAAAUGCAUUCAAUAUACAAGUGCAUUCCUUGAUUCGGUGAAUGAAACUUUGAGAUUAUAUGAGUACAAAGUUAUUCGAGUCCACCUUAAUUCGAUACACCAUGAGAAUAACUUCGUCAGCAAGCACCAGGCUACAGAAAAUCUACAAUUUCCCGUCACCAUUUAUAAGAUACUAAGGUAACAUUUAUAAAUUAAUUAUACAUUUAUUUAAACCUCAUUUAGUACCAGAGCAUGAUGCGCCUAAAAUCAGCAUGAUGUAAAAGUUCCUAGACAAAAUCACAUUAUUUUCAACAGAUAUCUAGUAGAGCCAUUAUGAACUUGUCAUAAUCAUGCUUCCAGCUGAUAGUAGCAGCACAUACAGCUGGAGUUUUAAGAGUUUCAGCAAAACCAAGUUAAAUAACAGCUGUCUGCACAAACAAUAGGGAUUUGAACUUAUUAAAAAACACAAUAACUUUUGAGGUUAUUCAUUUUAUCUACUGUAAUUAUUAAAAACUUUUUCAAUUAAAAAGAAGAAUCAGUCUUGUCAGAAUUGACAAUUUUUACAUAUGCACCUUUAUCACAGAUCAAGUGACGAACAAACUGCUAGAUAAACUGAACUUUUCUCAAAACAGAAAAGGAUAAAAUUAAAACAAUUAGGCCCACAGAUUGAAUUGUUUUAAACAUGAUAAACCUCCUGUACACUAGAUGACUCAGUUUUUGGGGAUUUUGGUUGCAGCAUCAUAUGACUUUUAUGUGUAGUAAAACUAUAGACUACAAUUUCUUGCACUCAUGUUGAUGUUUGAACCUUUCCUUAAUCAACAUAUGACAGUAGAAGCUACAUGACUGAAAAUCUUGUCCUUGUAUUGCUAUACAUUUGACACAACAUUACAAAAACAGAAAAUCAUAUACAUCUUUGGCUAGUGAGAGACUGAUCCAGUGAAAUUUGCAUUUACGCCCAAAUAAAUUACAUUCUACUACACAAACACACAAUUUACUGUGUAAUAAUAUAUUUCCUCAUACAUAAAAUGACAAAAUGUUCAAGGAAAAGAUGUGCGCAUUCUUAACAUUGGCAUAAAAGCAAUUUCAGCUAAUGAAACAACACUAACAUAUACCACUGUACCAUAGAGUAGUGGCUCGGAAAAUUAUGUACCAACUACAAUAUUUCAUGGGAUAGCAACUACUAUCCUCAGUCUAGUAAACAACAUAAAUCGAAAACGAUGAAGAUCAAAUGUCCCAGCUAUCCUAUUCACAUUAAUGCCUCUAUGAAUAACAAAUUUCACACUUCAGCCUAGCCAUCUUUCUAAAAAGUUUCCAUGUUCAGCGGAAAGAUACGUUCUAAAUUAGUCCAAGCAAAGUGAACUACUACAUGCCGUAGCAACUACUAAUGUACAUCAGGCAGCAUCCAUAUUUGUUAGAAUCAGACCAACAGAAACUCUAUAAUAAUGCUCAAGACAAGAAGGGAGAUUGCUCUUAACAAAUCUAAAAACAAUAUGGUUAGGCUUGAGAUCUCGGCAAUCCUCUUUACAGAGAACACUGGUACCACUUAUUAUGAGAGACAACAUGUAUUAGAUAAAUAUAUUUACUAGCAAAAUAUAUGGAAAAGGAAUAUGGAUUCUUAUAUGGUACAUCAAGCUGUGAAUUGCCUUCAAUAAAGCUUGGCAUCUAGUCUAGAUAAUAACUGAAAUAACAAAAGAGUAAGUCAUUCUCUCAACUCUAUCUUAACAAUUAACUAGGAUUAUGACGAUAAAACCAACUUUGACCAACCAAUCUAAAUAAUAGUGUGUUAUUCCUGAACAAAUAACAAGAGGAGAAUCUUCACAUGUUCUUUUUCCUCAAUGACUUUUACUAUUGGAAAAACUACAAAAACCUGUUUUCACUAUAGUACAUUUGAAAAUUACUAGCCCUUGGUUCAAAGUGUAACACUUAGCUAUCAUGUUUUGCUUUUUAUCUUUUCCAAGGACCAACAGUUAAAAUAUAAGGCACAUCAGCUUUUUUUUUAGUGGAAGUGUCACAGCUCCAAUAAUUUUUUUUUUAGUGAAUGUGUCACAGCUCCUACCUUUCGAAGGAAUGGAAGUUCAAGUCAAAAUGGAAUAUAUCUGAUUUGUUGGUUUUAACCAACUAAUUAAUACUCCUAUCAUGCAAGUCCAAAUGGUCCACUCUAACCUUUGAAGAUGCAACGAUCCAACCUGCUAGCAAUAGUAACUCGUUGGAACCAAACCGUCGGCUCAAAAUGCUUAAGCUUAAUUACUAUUAUUAGGGUCCAUGAUCUGUUAUAUUCCCAAAACACAAUUCCGUUCUUAUUUGAUAUUGGACUAUUGGGGUGUCAUAGACUCCUUUUUGGGUUCUGACGUUUUUGUCGGCCCAAUCACACACACAGCAAAAAAUAACCAGGCGAUGUGAGGCCCAUCUCACACUUCCGGCUGAUGAACCGGCUCCGAUACCAAAUAUAACAACUCGAUCAGCUAGCAAUAAUAACCCAUUAAGCCCAAUCCACCAGCUUAAAAUACUUAAACCCAAUAAUUAUUAUUAAUGUGUCCUUCAUAUAUAAGCUCUUCGCAUUCUCACACAUUAUCCGAUGUGGUCAUGUGGGACUAUUGGAGUGUCAUAGAAUGAGGGUAACAUCAUCUCACAUCUCACUACUCAACUUCCAACUAUUAAGGCCUAUUUUAGUAAUGUGGCUAGAAGUACAAUUUUUAUACUUUGAAAAGCUCAAAAAAUUUAAAAGCACUUUCAAUCUUCCCUCCUUUCAUAGUCAAUUUAGCCUUCGCAUGGUUUAGUGCAAUUUUGCUUGCCUCCCCGGGGCCUCAAAAGUUGCACUUAACCGCCCUAUGGUUUUAUUUUUGUUUCAUCAUUAGAAAUUAACCGCUGUUAAACAAGCCAGUAAAGUAAUAGUUUUUUUUCUUAAAUAGGCUAGUGCAAUGCAGGUUAUAAGAUGGUAAAAAUGCUAUAAUGUAUCACCAUGUGGUUUAUAAAAAGUAUCACUUUGGUACCUUGCUUAACGUUUAGUUCUUACCUGUGAAACAAAAAUAAAACAAAAUAAUUAAGUGCAAUUUUUUGAACCACAGGGCGAUAAAGUGAAAAUGCGCUAGACCACAAGGGAGCAUAUAAAAAUUUAAAAACCAUAUGCUUCUUCAGUAGCGGUUGCCACCAUAAUUUUAUAGCAUUAAAGAAGGAAAAAUUAAAAGCACUUUUGAAAUAUUUUUAUAAAACCUUCCACGGCAUGAAAGUGGUUAUUUUAGCCACCACAUUACCAAACUACGCGUAAAACAGGAGGUAUGACAGUUGUGAUUAUAAGAUUAAAAUAAAGACUAUACCAAUCCUUCUUUAUUGCAACGGAAGAGACAAGAUAUCAUCUGCUUUCUAGGAUCCAAGCUACUCACAGCACUGGUGUUCUUUCCCAAGGUGUUGGCCUGCAGGUCUCACACGAUGUUCGGGUUGCAGUAGAACAUUGUUACACCUCUCUCACUCGCAUGCUCAUAAAAAGAAAGUCAUUAGGAAACUAAAGAUCAUAAAUAACUUAAAAAUGAAAAAGCACAAGAUAUCGAUUUCGAAAGGGAAAGACUACCACUAAAGAAUAUUCAGUCAGUGAUAUGCAAUGAGCUAGCCAAAAGAUAAAUUAUUAGAUAAGAGGCUUAGCUGAAUAACAAUUGCUAAUUAUGCAUCCAAAAAGUAGCAAUGUGAGCAGCAAAUUCAUUAUUAAUAAAGCUUUAACAAGAGCUAAGAGUUCAAAUAUUCAACAUUUCUCAUUGUUUACACGCAUAAGAUAAUAGAGUCACAUUCCUUGGCUGAAAAGAUGUAGAUGUUUUCAAUGACAUGACAGCUGAAGCAGACCUCACUUUGACCAUAUAUAUCGCACUACUAGAAAUACAACAUCUACAGUACCCAAGUGAAAAUGGGUGGCACUGCUGUCCAAAUAGCUUAAUAAAAAUUAAAAUAAAAUUUUUUUUGGGUAAUAAGAGCUAAAUCAUUCCACAGAAAACAACUAGAUAACGCACGGUAUGUCUUCAUCAAUACCAUGUUAAACUAACCAAAUUGUACAAUAAACGGCCUCACUAAAACCUAUUAAAUUCACUGUUGCACAAGCACAUUCAUAUGAUGAAUAGAUGGAUGUGAAAGCACAUCACGUCUUCAUAAAUGCCAACAAUAUUAUACACGAGCAAAUGAAUAUUUGAAAGCCUAGGAAAUGGAAAUGCCAACAAUAUCAAACAAGCAGGUGAAUAUGUGGGAAGCACAGAGGGCAAAUAAAUGCCAAUAAUAUCAUAGCAACACAUCCUUUCACCCUUGACGGGGUUCUCCCCCCACAAAGAGAAUAAAUGGGACUGCACAAAAUAUUAGGAAAGGCACCCGCCACCAUGCCUUUCCUGCUGUACAUAUAUGGCCCUUCGCCAAGGGAUGCAGUCAAAGAGCCCCAAUAGUUAACUUGCUGGGGCUUGAAAAGAUCAAAAGAGUUGUUCUCCACCACAUGCAUUACAAACACUUUGACAGGGAAAGUGUCAAUCAGAUACAAGUCCCAAUGCAUGCUAUGCUCUUCACAGCACACAUGCCCCUACCCACCUACAUAUUCCUUUUACUACAGAGAACGCAUUACUAUUAUUAAAAACUUAUUACUGUUACUUGGGUAGGAUGCUAGAGCACGCAAGAGAACACAUGAGAAGAGAUAGAAGGGGGGGGGGUGUCGGAGUCAAACAUUUCAACUCGUACACAAAGGAGAUCACAUGAGCUAAAUAGUCAAUAAUGGAUGCCUACAGAAAUCAUGCGCACCCGCAGUUGCACCCAAUCAGUUCUAUAUACGGAAACAUCAUUGAAAAGAGUAGAGCAUACUCAUCAGCGUAGUAACGUGUUCGCGAUACUCUCCCCAUCGUCGACCAGUAGGAAGUAUAUCUUCUACUUUUCUUUUCUUUUCUUUUCUUUUUUUUUUUUUAAAUGAUGAUGGAAGAAUAAUAAUGUCUCGAAGAAGAAGAAGAAGAAAAGAGGAAAGAAGCUAGCUAGAAAGCAACAUAGAUUUACAUGUUAUACAACAGCAACAAUAAUAACAAUAACAACAACAACAAACAAACUGGAACCAACAUCGCGCGCGCGUUGUUGCGGCGUUUUCACCGGUGCGUAAUGAUCUCAUAAUCUCAUGCACAACUAAACUAAAACAACGGAAUUAAGCUAACGAAUAGAGUCAUUUUGGACUCUUCAUUAGUAAAAGAGAGAGAGAGAGAGAUUGUGAGAGUGAGAGUGAGAGUGAGAUUGAGAGCGGAGAGAGUGGAAAGAGGUUAAUUAAUUUAUUGGGUUACCGAAGUUCGUACCUCCGAGGAAUCCGCCCCCGCCGUGCGGCCCGCCGCCAUAGACGUCGGAGGGGAGCAUCGGAGAGGAGGACGAGGCUCCGUUCCGAGCGCCGCCGCCGAGGUGGAGCUCCGAGAUGUUGGGAAUGGCGCUGGCGUUGCUGGUGGCGGCGGCGUGGUCGUGGUCGUGGUCGUGGUCGUGGUCGGCGCCGUCGUCGACGCCUUGGUCGUAGAGGAAGCCCUUGAACACGUGGCCCCCGAUGGUGACCAUCGCCUGGUAGGCAUACUGGUCCUCGCCGUCCUCGAUGGACGUCACCCGCACGCAUUUGAACACCGCCGGCGCCUGCACGUGCCGCGGCAGGCUCUCCCUGAAGCUCGCGUCUAGGUUUUAGCAAAACACCGUCUAUGUAUUAAUUAAGCACAUCGAACGGAGGGAGCGAGCGAGCGAGCGAGCGAGCAAAGGGAUGACAGAUGGCAACUAAAGCAAACCUUGGUGGCUGGAGGUGGUGUCGAAGCUGCGGGGAGGGGUGGUGUUGGAGGUGGAGGUGUGGGAGGUGGUGGUGGUCUGGGAGGAGAUGAGGCGGGGCUUCUUGGGGGCGGAGGUGGAGGCGGAGGAGCCGGCGCCGAUGUUGGCGGCGGUGAGCUGCUGCCGCUCGCGGCGGCGGGCGGCGGGGACCCACGUGCUCUUCACGUGGGUCGAGCAGUCGAAGCCGCGGCUCUUGCAGCACGUCCGGCAGCGCCGGUGGGUGCAGUCCUUCUUCGCCUGGUUGCCGCAGUCCUGGCAGGUCGACGACGACGACGACGACCCCGCCAGCCCGACCCCCGCGCCGCUCAGGAUGCCCGGCGCGUCGAACAUCGGGACGGGCUUCCUCAUGUAGGAGAUGGCGGCGACGGGUCUGCUAGGGAGCUGCGGCUGGGGCUGCAAGAACUGGAUGCUGGAGGUGGCGGUGCCGGGCUUGAGGGUAAUGAGGCCAAGUUGGGAAAGAAAGAGAUGAUAACUAAAGGGAAUAGUUUAAUAAAGUAGGGGCAAAAUAGGUAUUUUAAUUAGGUUUUAACUCUGGUNAAAAAAAAAAAAAAAAAAAAAAAAAAUCAAACCAGUAGGUCAGUACUAUACACCCCCCUAGCUCCUCCUCUCUUACACCCUCCCUCUUCUUCGCCCUUCUGUCUUUUCUCUCUCUCUCUCUCUCCACACCUGCGAUUUUCUCUCUCUAGUAUCUGGAUCUAUGAUCUCUAGAAUUCUCAGAACGAAAGUGAUGAAUCGGGUGGGGCUUUGUCCCAGGAGUUGGUCGGGGUUUUCCCUGCGGAGCGGAUGAGGUGGGUUCCUGCUUUUCCCUCUUCUAUAUCCUCUCUCUCUCUCUCUCUCUCUCUCUCUCUCCUUUUCUUUCUCUCCUCCUCUUUUGUUUGCAAAUUCUAUUUAUUUUUUUAUUUUUCUUUUUGGCGGGACUAAUUAUGGAGGGAGAGACUCUGAAAUUCCUUCUGAUCGAGAUCUUCUCGAUCACUCCCCUUCCAUUCUUUUUCUCCUCUCUCUUUCUCUCUCUCUCUCUCUCUCUCUCUCUCUCUCUCUAUCUUAUAUUUUCUCUCUUUGUUUCUUUCCUCGCAGGCUCCUGUCUCACUGCGGCUUCUGCUUCUGCUUCUGCGUCUGCUGUCGCCUGCAGCUGCUGCUUCUGCUUCUGCUUCUGCUGCAACUGCGUUAAAAGCUAAGCCACCCCACCUCCUCAGCUUUCAGCUCUAUAUCUCCACCCCUCUCCUCUCUAUCUCUCCCCACCCUUUCUUUUCCCUUUCUUAUUGGCUUCUCCUCAUCUUAUUAUUAUCCCCCCCAAAGUCACGUGACUAGUAAUCAAACUUAUUAUUAAUUAAUAAUUAAUAAUAAUAGUAAGAACGUCUACUGGAUAUAGUGUAAAAAAGAAAAAAAAAUUUUUACUAGUAGACAAAAAUUAAUAGAAAAAAAAAAUUAAGAAAAAGACAAAAUUUGGACAAAGAGGGACCAAUGACGAGGCGACACGUGUGAUGAAUUUUGGACCGGACCGAAGCGAACCUGAAGAACCGGUUCAUUAAUAACUUCUCGCGGCUAUAAUAAUAGGGGAGCGAAUAUAUGCGAUAGCUUUUACGGUCUAGUGCGCUUUUAGUCCUGCACGACUUGUAGUUUAGAAAAGCCCUUUCAAAGAAGAGGGGCCAUCGUGCAAAAGAGCCUGUGUUUUAGUAUUUUUUAGUAUUUUAGCAGCAAAGGUAACAUGCGCCCCCACCCCUCUUUCCCUCUUACUCUUUGAGAAAUUAUUGCCUAUUCCUGGUUCACCAUAUUACUUGUGCACUGCUAGCGUAUGUAACAUUUCAAUACUGCCAUAUGGGAUGAAAAGAAUAAUAAUAACUCAAAAUAUGACGACAAAAAAAAUUCUAAUAAUAAUAAUAAUUAGGUUUAAAUAUUUUUGAGUGUUAAUUUCGACCCACGAAGUUACUAGUGCUAGUGAAUCAGAUCGUUGCAAAUGUACAUUCAAUUAUUGAUAUUCUAAUAUCAUUUAUAGCAUAUAAAAAAACCAACUAGAUGAAAAAAUAUAGGUUGUAUAUAAUCUGGCUAGUGUCUUCACCUAGCUAAUCACUUAACUGGUUUUAUCAUCCAACUUUGCUAGGCUCUUAUCAGGUUUAGCUCAAAAUCUUUCAUAUUUAGUUUGAUUCUUGUAUAAUAUGCACUGAUUACAUUGAAUCAAAUCGUAUGCUAAUAGACCCUAGCACAUGUUAAAAUUAUUAUUAAUUUUACAUUAGAGCGUGUAUACAAAACAAGGAGUUUCUUGUAGUUUAAGCUUUUGGGUUCAGACGAUAAAAUAUAUGUAAAUAAAUAAACUAUUAAUUUUAAGUAUGUGGGGCAUGAUACACCGGGUGCAGGCAAGAAUAUCUUCCUCUACUUGCCCUCCAUCCCAACUGGUAAAUGGUUGGUUGCUUGGCGAAAAUAGGCAUUGCCGCAUCCACUAGAUUGUUCCCGUUCAAAAUCGAAGCUAUCCUUUCCCAAAAUCAAAAAAUAAAAAUAAAGAACAUGUACACGUUAUGCGACUAAAAUAUAUCUCCUUAAGAUAACGAAUACAACUACUAAAAAAUAAAAAUAAAGAACAUGUACACGUCAUGCGACUAAAAUAUAUCUCCUUAAGACGACGAAUACAACUACUACUACUACACACACACACAUAUAGAGAGAGAGAGAGAGAGAGAAAGUUGAGUUAGAAUACUUUCAAAAACAUCAAGAGUUGGUAUUUUUAAAUUUUUAACCGAUGUAAGGUUGAGAUGACGGUAAUAAGAGAUGGUAGGUGGAAUAGUAUUUGAUGCGAGGGGUAUUAAUAAUUAAGAGUAAAUUCAAAGGCUAGAAACUUAAGAGCACCAAGGGAUUGAUGCUUCUAAAAGUAUUCUAACUCAAUUUUAUAUAUAUAUAUAUAAGUUUUUAUAUUUUUAAAGGUAGCAAAUUAUUUGUACUUAUAAGUUUUCAGCUUUAGAAUUAAAAAAUAUAUGGUUAGGAUGAUGUCAGUCUCUUAGCACCCGUUUGGUUCGGGAUUAAGAAGUGGAAUAAUCCCUUUAACCCCGAAGUUAUUUCCAAAUAUCCAAUUUUAGUGGUGGGGUUAGUUAAUCCCACUCCCACCCCACACCAUUACUCCAACCAAACAAAACACUAUUUUAUCCAUUAUUUUUUUUUAUCUCACCUACUCCAACCAAACACUAUUUUAUCUAUAUCUGGACUAAACCCAAUUAUCAACCAAACACAAAAUUACUCUAACCCCAUCUUAACCCUGAACUUAACUCUAUCUCUGGAAUAACAAAUUUUUACUUAACCCUGAACCAAACAGUGGCUUAGGGUUAAGUGGGUGAUUUAUUGAAUAAUAUAAUUUAAUAAGUGUAAAUGAUUAACAGUACAGAUCUAACGGCUAAAAAUUUAUAAGUAUUAAAUACUUGUUGCUUUUAAAAAUAUCAUUGUCAAACUCUCUCUCUCUCUCUCUCUCUCUCUCUAUAUAUAUAUAUAUAUAUAUAUAUAUAUAUAUAUAUAUAUUAAAACGAGCGAGUUUUCAUAAAAUAGAUAUGUGCUAUGUCCCAAUUACUAUUCACACAUCAUUAUUGUCAGUAAAGUCAUGUCGAUUAUUAUUAUUGCUAUUAUUAUUAUUAUUAUUAUUAUUAUUAUUAUUAUCACUCGCUUGAACAACUCCUCGAGCUUACUUACAAGGGAACAUGCAUGUAUCCCGAAUUCAAACUUGUUGUUUUCAAACUUUGAAAGUGGUAGCUAUUAGGGUAGAAAUUUUUUGUUUGUUUUUUUUUUUGAGAAACUAAUAAAGCUUUCUCCUUUUUGUCGCUUAGUGAUUGAUAGUGAGAGAGAGUUAAUAGGUGGGGAUGAGGUGGGCAUGAGAGUGUAGAGUGGCGUGAUGCACGAUUAUUAUUCGCUGCAUCAGGUGCAUUCAUAGAAUUCAUAUUCUGCACAUAAUAUUAAUAAUUAAUAUUAUAAAAAUCAAAAUGUACAUACAAAGUUUUUCUUUUGAGCCAUAAGGUAACAACAAGCUAUACAACCGCUUUGUUUUAUUUUUUAAAAAAUGUAUUAACUACAAAUGUGAAAAUAAUUAUGCUUCAAACUUAGAACUUAAAACUGCAUUAGAUACUAUCAGUAUUCUAUUUAUAACAGUCGUAUUACAUAGUCUUAUAUCUCAUAUAAAGUCUCUUGUAUCACGUGAAAUAACAAAAAAUUCUUAUUAGAACUUCUGUUAUUGCACUUGGUUGUUAUUAUUUUCUACAUGAAGUAUUCUACGGCGUGCAUGGUACACCGGGUGCACGCAAUAAUUUCAGUGAGAGAGAUUAUGAUGUGAGGAGAGAGAGAGAGAGCGCAAGAGGGGCAGUAGUAAUAAUUGGUGGGGUGGGGACUGGGGACUGGGCACUGGGGAGUGGGGAUUGGGGAGUGUGGGGACUGGGGAGGUGGUGAGGGAAGGGACCAAAGCCAAAGGAGGAGGUGGGGCCCGGAUUGGGGAGGGAUGGUGGGGACGUCCGUACGGUCUCGCAUCUGCGACCCACCACCUCCGUAAAUUUAGCUUGGAUUGUCUCUGUUCGACGGUGGUUCUGGAGCACUGAACUUUGAAUCCGUGGUCCUUACCCUUUCCCCUCUCACAAACUUUUUCAUUUAAAUCAAUAUAUAUAUAUAUAUAUAUAUAUAUAUAUAUAUAUAUAUAUAUAGGANAGAAUGAUAGUAAUUUUCAAUUAUAAUGAUAGUAGUCCCCUACACGUUGUUUGGUUGGGAGACUCCCAUCAUACCUAAACACAAAAAAAAAUAAUGAGGUGGGAUUGCUAUCCCACCCCUUGUGUGGGAAUAGAGAUGGGAACAACUAUUCCACCUCUAUUUAAUUUUUUAAAAUUUAAAAUUAAAUAUUUAUAUUUAAAUUAUAAAUUUUAAAAAUUUAUAAUUUGUAAUUUUAAAUUUUAAAUUUUAUAAUUUUAAAUUUUAAAUUAAUAUUUUAAAUUUUUUAAAUUUAGAAUUUGAUAUUUUAGAUUUCUAAAUUUAGAUUUAGAUCUUUAAAUUUUUAAAUUUGAAAUUUAAAAAUUUUAAUUUUAAUUUUAAAUAUUUGAAAUUUAAAAGUUACAUAUUUAAAUAUAAAAUUUAAAAAAUUAAAAUCAAAUAUAAUAUAGGGAGCAAUAUUAUUAUUUUCUAUUUAUAACUAUCCGCUAUUCUUGUUAUUCCAUUUUAUCUAUCCAAACGCUAUUUUUUUUAUUUCCGAAAACAACUCAAUUUUCAUUCAAAUACAAAAUUAGUCUAUUCCAGAUUUAUAUUUGAACUUAUACUUAUCCCUAGAAUAGACAGUCCUGGCUUAUACUCAAACCAAACGAAGCCUUAGGAUUGAGUGGGUGGUUGGUUGAAUAGUAUAAUCUAACGGAUGAAAAUAAUCAAAAGGUAGAGCAAAACUUAUGAAUACAAAGAGAUCUAUACUCAUAAGAGUAUAAUAGCCGAACUAUAUAUAUAUAUAUAUAUAUAUAUAUAUAUAUAUAUAUAUAUAUAUAUAGUCCAGUUACUAUACUAUCGGUAGCACGGAGGCUUCCGUACUACCAAGUUGUUUUCGAUGAUAUGGCUUCCAAAUCGACGAUCGGCCCCGUUAGACUUGAUCCACACUAUUGAAAGUAUUUGGAAAUUAAAUUUCAAAACUUUUCGACAUCAUUUGGUUAGUGAUCAAAAUGUCUCAAAAUUGACAAUUUUAAUAGUAGAUGUGAUGCAUUUGUAAAUUUAACAGUGUAAAAGAAUCCAAAUCAGAUUAAAAUUUAUAGAAAAUUUUUUUUACUAUUUAGAGUAAGAUCGGUACCUCUGAUCUUAAAUUCAAAUCUUCUAUCAUUAUUUUUUAUGAGAUUUUUAUUUUCAGUUGUUCAUUUUUAGACUACUCUUUUGAUAGGUAAUUGAUACCGAAAAAUUAUGAAAUUUAGUUUCCAAAUACUUUCAAUAGUAUACAUCAAGUCUAACAGAGCCGAUCGUCGAUUUGAAAGCAACAUCAUUGAAAACAACUUGGUAGCAUGGAGACGUCCGUGCUACCGAUAGUAUAGCAGCUUAGUUAUAUAUAUAUAUAUAUAUAGGCUGUGGCUACUAUACUCAUAUGAGUAUAGAGCUCUUUGUACUCAUAAGUUUUCGACCGUUCAGAUAAAAAAUGUGUGGCUAGGAUGAAAAUGGUUACGAUGGGUUGAGUGGAUGGUUGGUUGAAUAGCAUAAUCUAACGGAUGAAAAUGAUUAAAGAAUAGAUCUAAUGGCUAAAAACUUAUGAGUACAAUAGACNCCCCUAGGGUUGAGUGGAUGGUUGGUUGAAUAGCAUAAUCUAACGGAUGAAAAUGAUUAAAGAAUAGAUCUAAUGGCUAAAAACUUAUGAGUACAAUAGACUCUAUACUCAUAAAAGUAUAGUAGCCGGACGCUAUAUAUAUAUAUAUAUAGUACAGAUACUAUAUUUUUAUAAGUACAAUUGCCUUCGUAAUCAUAAGUCAUUUUUUAUGAUAGAGUUUCCGAAUCGACGAUUCAUAUCGUUAAAUAUUAUCUAGAGCAUUUAAAUUUCUAUAAAUCAAAUUUUAUUUUACCUCCGUAAAUAUUCGUAUUUUUAUUUUUCCUUCCUAACACUUUCAAAAAAUUAUAUUUUGCACCCUUUAAAUUUUAACAAUAUUUUUAGGCCAGUAUAGCUUUAAUGAAAAGGGCAGAUGAUCAAGUUGCUCUUACUUCUUUUUAUAAAAAAUAAAAUUUUAAUAUAUUUAUGUUAUUUUAAAAAAAUAUUUUUAGUAUAAAUUAUAAAAAAUUGACGGAAUAAUAAUCGAAUCCUGAUUGAAAGGGGUUAAAUACAACAACUUAAAAUAUGGUAAAACAUAGAUUUUUGCAAGUUAGGAAGGCAAAUAUUUAUAAGAAAGUUUUCUAUAAUUUGACCUAAACAUAAAACUUACAUUCCUUCAUCCAUAAAUUAAUAUUUUAUAUUUAUCUUAUCAAUUAUUUUUUAAUAUUAAAAAAUUAAAAGAUUAUUUUUUAAUAUUUAUUUUUUGAGUGUACAACUACUAUUUCUCAAAAAAUUAUAUGUUGCUAAUUAAGGUUCAAAAUUUUUUGUUAUUUUAAAUAGUAACAAAAUUUUUGAAAGUAUUAAUUUCUUAAAAAGCUUUGUAAAGUCUUAUACAUUUCAUAUAGUUUUAAUUUAUUUUUUUUAUAUAUUUAAUAUUUUAAUUUAGAUAGAUGUUUGUUUGGCCAAAUACAUAAAAAGAUAUGCCAGCAGUUGUACUCGGAAAUGAACAAUUUGAGAUCGACAGUAUAAAAAAUAUAUACUAUCCUUAUGAUAAAUUUUGAGCUUUUAAAAAUUUAUUCAGUAAAAGCACAAUUUAAUUAGGUAAACUUCAGUUAAUAUAUUUUAAGUGCUUUUUCUUAAGAAUUUAAAUAUCGUGGUACGGGAUCGUGCCGGAAACUUACCGACACGGUACGGUAUGGUGCAUGCUGACCCGUGCCGAUACGUGCCGGUCAAAAAAAAUAUUAUAUUCUAACACAUAAUAGCAUAAAAUAUUUAUUUUUUUUAGCAAUAAAAUAUUCUAACUAUUUAUUAUGUCUUUUUAUCGCAUCUUUUAAAUUUUAUUGAGAAAAUUACUUAUUAAUUUAAAGAAUAGAGAAUUUUGAGUUGUGCAAUCAAUACUGGGUCUGUAUCGUGUCGGUAUCUUAUUAGUACGAUACGAUAUGGCGGAUACAGUUCGUGCACUUAAAAUCUUUUUUUUUUUCCCUUGGUUUAAUUUUAGUCCUAAUAUAGCUAUGAUAUUUUAUUCUUCUAAAAAGUAAUAAUAAAUAAAUAAACAAGUAUUCUAACACACUCGGCUCCUUUUAAGUGUCCUUAGCCAACUGUCCCUAAGGUUGUGCAGCUCUAGCUCUAGCUAUAGCAACCUACUAGUUCAUUUAUUAAAAAAACUAUGCAGGUUGCUUGCAUUGUAAUUAAAACACACCAACGAAUGGGAGAGUUAUGGUGGGAUGUGGGCCCCUCCUCUUCUCCCUCUUUUUCUUUUUUUAUUUUAUUUUAUUGUUUAUAUGUUUAUAUUUGGGAAAACUUCAAAAAUCCCCCCGUGAUUUCAUACUUUUUCAUUUUAGUAAUCUGUGGUUUGAAAUGUAUCAAGUUAGUACCCUAUGGUUUCAAUUUUUUUCACUUUAGUAUCCUAUGGUUUAAAAUGUAUCAAGUUAGUACCCUGUGGUUUCUCACUUUAUCACUUUAGUACCCUAUGGUUUUACACUUUAUCACUUUAGUACCCUAUAGUUUAUAUAAAUCACAGGGUACUAACUUGAAAAAAAAAAACACAGGGUACUAAAGUGAUAAAAUGCAAAACCACAGGGUACUAACUUGAUACAUUUUAAACCACAGGUUACUAAAGUGAUAAAGUGAGAAAUUACAGGGUAUUGAUUUGAUACAUUUUAAACCAUAUGGUACUAAAAUAAAAAAAGUGAAACUACAUGGGAGAUUUUUGAAGUUUUCCCUUAAUAUUUUGGUACAACCCUUUCUUAUGCCUAGCUAUAUAUAUAGCUUAGCUAGUAGGGAGAGAGUGGGGUGGGGAGAGGGUGCCAUGGGCAUGAACUUGGACAGGUGGUCUUUUGUCAGGGGGUCAGGGAUAGAUAGGUGGAUAGAUUUCAGGCCUAUUUUUAAGUUGUCUUUGCUGCUGAAUGUUAGGUUUGUGGGAGAGAUGUAGAGCUAGCUUAUCUGGAUCUCUUCAAGCUGCACAGGAAUCUUAGGAUUCCCACAGAAGAAACGCCCGUCGAUAGCGAUGACUCGGACUUAUUCUGUCACUCUAGAUGAACGGUAAAACCGUCAAGAAUGUAGAUCUAUUGUUCAUGUCCGAACAAAAACUUAAUUAUCAGAAAACGUAAAAAAAAAUUACAUAACAAUGAUGGGUUAAGUUCAUUCAGCCGCGAACAUGAUAUAGGAUUGCUACGUUUAUAAGAUUGUUCUUGCAAGUUGAACUGGAAUUGUAAGAAUGUGAGACAGCAAAAUUGACAUAUUGUACGAAGGAAUUUUCUCCACAUGAAGUUGCAGAGUGUUAGUAUAUAUUUCUAGGCUCUUGUUUCGUACUAAAUCGAUCUUUUAGAUAAUACAGUAUUUAAGCCGUUUCUAUCCCUCUCAUGUGACAUUUAAUAAAUUUAAUUAUAUAAUGGAAUAAAUUUUUAUACUCUAUUUUAUUUAUUAAUUCUUUUUUAUAUUCAUCAUGCACGUGAGUAUGAAUGUUAAUAUAUAUUUCUGGAAUUAUUUUCUACUCGAUCACUAUUUUGGGAAAUACAGGGAAUUUGAUUUCCAUGAUAAUUUAGAUUUUAUAUAGUGAGAACUAUAACAUUUGAUUUAAAGAUAUUUAUAUCUUUUGAAGAUAAAGUUUAUAAAUUGAAUUUAAGCAAACUAAAUAACAAAAUCGUGAGAAAAUAAAACUGAAAAAUAUCAAAACCCACCAGCGGCAAAAUUGGCUGGUUUGGUUUAUAUUUGAGAUACUCUGAAAGCCAUCAAAGGUUAAAAUAAAGCUUACAUAAAAUUUUGAAAAGUUACUAGUAAAACUUAAUUACCCUAUCAUUAUAAUGAAAUUGUCACUAAGUCCAAGGAAAUAAGCAUACAUCAUAUCUCCGUUUAAAAGUCUCAACUCAAAGCAUCGAUAGUUAACAAAAUUGGGUUCGAGUCUAAUACUGAUAAGAUAGGAUCACAUGCUAGUUAAACAUGUUACUAGCUAGCUAGGCCCGGUGUAAUUUUAUUCGAUAGAUCUUUUAAAUAACAUGGUAUCAGAAUUCAAAGGCAAUCCUAAUUAAGCUCCCCUCUCCAACUCUAAUUACCUAACUUGCAAUUAGUUCAAAGUGUCUAUCAAAUCUAUUAUGCACUUAAACAAGUUGUUUCCUAUCAAAUCAAUGUUUUUGGAUAAUAAUACCAAAUCUGUUCACUCAAUGCGAUAACCUUGUUAAGAGAGGGUGGACUGGAGAUACAGUCUGUGUGUUGUACAGGGCCCACGACGAGUCUGUGUACCAUCUAUUCACUCAAUGCGUCGUUAUCAAGUACAUCAUGAUGAUGGGACUCGAGGAUUUCCACGCAGAGGAACUGGGUGACGAUGUACUGGUAGUUUGGGAUAAGUGGACGGAAAAGACUGCGGUGCGCGGUAGAAGUAAUGGACUUUCUGAAUUGGUCGCAUGCUGGUGGACGAUUUGGAAGGCCAGAAAUAACCUUAUCUUUCGUAAUCAACAGCUCGACCUUGUUUUGGCCGUCCAAAGGUUCAAGAUAUUGUUAACUUCGUGGAAAGAUCUGCUUUGAGCGUUGUUUUUUUUUUUUUUUUUUUUUUUUUUUUUUUUUUUUUUUUUUUUUUUUUUUUUUUUUUUUUUUUUUUUUUUUUUUUUUUUUUUUUUUUUUUUUUUUUUUUUUUUUUUUUUUUUUUUUUUUUUUUUUUUUUUUUUUUUUUUUUUUUUUUUUUUUUUUUUUUUUUUUUUUUUUUUUUUUUUUUUUUNAAUAGCGUGCUACCUAUUCUCAAAAAAAAAAAAAAAAAACCAAAUCUGGGCCUAACAUUUCAAGGUUUUUUACAUUAGAUUCAUUAUCUCAUUUAUGAGAUUCUAGCUAGGGACCAUGGUCUUUAUUGAUUUUGGUUUGAGUUUGCAUCAUGGGACCAGCUUGAUAUCAGUUAAUUAGGCAAAAGUAAUAAACAAUACUUUAUUAAUCUAAGUUUGUAAACUUGCUUUGCCCAAGAAAGAUACUGCAAAACCAAAAGAAGAGCUUUUUUCUUAAAUGCAAAGAUGAAUUAGGUUCCAAGACCCCUACUUUAAUAAGAUGGAGCCUUAAAUUUGAAGUUCUAUAUCAAAAGUUAACAAGUGACACAUAUAAUACCAAAAAGCAUGUAAAAAAGUAGAAGCUGAGAAUUACCUAACACAUUUGGACAAUCUAUCUUAAUUUUCCUCCACAUUAAUUAGUACAUGAAAUAGAAAAAAAAAAAGAAAAGAAAAUUGGGAAGUAUCUAGUCUCCAAAAUGAUCAGGUAUUAUAAGUAUGCUUUUGGAAAAGAAAUAUUAUGUGCAUCCAUAGGCAAUCAUGCAUGCACAAGAAUCCAAUAAGCAAUGAUAUUAAGUACAUGUACAAGCUUAACAUAACUUCUUUAAUUAACUACUAAUUAAGGUUUAUAUAAUAUCUAAUAAGCAUUAUCUAAACUGAUUUGUUCUUAUCCCAAGGAAUAAAACUAAAAGUGUUUGAUCCUUUUGGUUGAGCGGGGGAAUGUAUUAAUUACUAGUUUAAAUAAAUCACAAGCAUAUCAAAAGAUUUCGCAGCUAAAAAAAAAAAGCAUCAAACUAUUGAUGCAAGUUAUAGUUUAUCUCCAUUGCAUAUAUACUCGAUCAUCUGAUUGAAGUACAUAUUUAAUUAGCUAGUUUUCGUUGCAUGUUAGGCAACUGUUAAAGAACGUGUUCUCACUGAGUGUUGGAAAAUUUUAAGGGUUAAUAUAUAAUAUUAUUCAUCUUACAAAAACAACCGAAUACGACCCAACUCAAUAUCGAUAAUUUUGUAAGUUUCUUAAUUAAUUGUUUUAAAAAUAACAAAUUAAUCAUCUUAAAAUUCACAAAAAAUGCUGGUAAAACAAAACAAAAAUUUUAAGAAAAGUACGAUGUGCGAUUCUCGUGUUACCUUAAACGAUUGCGUCGUCAUGACAGUUUCUCUCUUUGCUAAACGCAAGGGGUUAAUGCUUAACAUUUCUCCUCAGUUAGGUACAAUUAGUUCGCCAAGGAGCUGCCACUCCGAGGCAGGAGCUUCAGCCCCCUCAUCAUUUAUGUUAAUCUUGAAAAAGAUACGUGUCGAACGCGUGGAACCGAUUGAUAGAAUAGGUGUCGAACGCGUGGAACCGAUUGAUAGAAUAGAUCUUGAACUGCGAGGUCAUGAGACUCGAUCAAAAUUGCUUCUGAUGGUGUCAUACACUUAAUGCAAUCUACUUCGAUCCCACCAAUCUUAUAGCUUAAAAAUAUGUUUAAAAUGAUACAAACCCCAUCAAAAAAGGGAAAUGAUAAAAUAGAUUCGGUGUGUUUCCCGUAAAUUCCAAAUGCUAACUAAGUUGAUACUUGUAACAAGAAAAGAUUGUUCAAGUUUUUUUUUUUUUUUUUUUUUUUUUUUUUUUUUUCCCUUUGCAAACUAAAUUCUCAACCAACCACAACUUGUUCUCAAUGUUGGACUUCAAUUAUGAGCCAAAAAAACAUGAUUGAUUGUCCUCAAACGCGGGGCAAAAUUAAGCUACUCAUCACCUGAUGAAGAGUCAUACAGAGUUUCUUAAUGAAAUAAACAAAACGGAUAGCGUGCUACUUAUCUCUCAAAGAAAAAAAAAAAAAGAGUCAUACAGAGUUUAGAAAAAAUUCUUCCUAAGGUGGUGCAGUGCUAUAUUUUUCACUAAAUCAGUUUAAAUAAUUUAGUUAUAUAUUAAUUCUUUAUAAAGAAAAGUACAAUCAGGACCCAACCCCUCAAAAAUUGAAUUUUCUAAAUUAGUGAACUAAAGCUGUAUUAAUGGGGUAAAGGGGAACUAUGAAAACACAGUUGGAUUGUACUUUGUGUGUCCCUAUCAAAAAUAAAUGUCACCAAUUUGGACGUUUGGAUACCUUGUGGAAACUUUAUUUGUUAUAUAUAUAUAUAUAUAUAUCUAUAGAGUUCGGCUAUGAUGCUUGUAAAAACACGAAACACUUGGUACUUGUAAAUUUUUUACCAUUAAAUUUAUGCCUUUGAUUAUUUUCAACCGUUAGAUUAUACUAUUCAACCCACCACCCACUCAACCCUAGGGGGUUCACGUCAUCCUAACCGCACAUUGCUUAAUCCAAUUGCUAAAAAUCUACAAACACCAACAACUUGGUACUUUUAAAAGCAUAGGAGCUCAAUUCUAUAUAUAUAUAUAUACAUAUAUGUAUAUGUAUAUAUAUAUGUAUAUAUAUACAUAUAUGUAUAUGUAUAUAUAUAUGUAUAUAUAUACAUAUAUAUGUAUAUACAUAUAUNGUAUAUACAUGUAUACAUGUAUACAUGUAUAUACAUGUAUACAUGUAUACAUAUAUAUAUAUAUAUAUAUGCUAGUGCCCAAUAUUGCAAAGCUGGAGAAAGAAAAGAAAUUGGUCAAAGCUGUGUGAAAUAUGUCAAGGGUUGGUGGUUGGUACUCGAGACCAAAGUUCGAAUCCUAGUUGAUUCACAUUUUUAGCUAAAUUUAUUUCUAAAUGAAAUAAACGAAACGGGUAACGUACUAUCUAUCUCUCAAAAAAAAGAAAUAUGUCCAUUUAGCUAGCUUAGUACUUGUGUGUUUGUGUUCAUCAUGUAUGAAACAUGGGAACAAAAAUACAUUAUCCGAUGAAAUUUAAGUAGGUAAUCUUAUGUGGUGUAAUCUUACUUUUUUGGUAAGGCCAUUUCAAUUAAUUAUUUUUCUCCAAGAAUAGCUAGUUGAAUAUCUAUAGAUGCAUCCUAAAUAAUGCUGAUAGAAAAAUCACUAUACUAGAAAACAUUGUCAAAGGAUUCUUCUUUUAAAACCUUACCAAUUUUGAUUGCUAAAUAUCCAGCUAGAUUUGAACAAGUGGCAUGUUCAGAACUCGAUAAGGGUUUAAAUGAUAACAUGCGUCUUAUGAUAAAAAAGGCUGGAAAACCAACAAAGUAGUGUGUCCACAUCUAGAUCAUCAAUCAAAAGACUAAAAGCUCUAUAAAGACAAAAUGGCGUUGAUUAAAGAGUUCUUUACUAAAACUACUGCUACCGAAAGCAGAAGCAAAACCGCACAGAAUAUAUAAUAGAGUAAUUUUAAUGAUUCAAUUGAAAAACUCUGCGCAUAAGACCACAUGUACAUGCAGAUGAAAUGGUUCGUACGUGCAGGGGUCCCAAACCCGGAAUACCACAUCCAUCCAUCAGCGACGUUCUCAUCUCUUUGAUCACUCUACACACUACACAAGUGAGAGAGAGAUUGGGGGAACACAUAUGUGGGUACCCAUAGCACUGUAGCACGUACUAUAGCACGUACUAUUCCCUAAUGAUCCAUACUUAUACAUACACACACACACACACACCGAAUCACUAAUCAACACGCCAACCAUGCAUGCAUGAACACGAGCCCAUCACACGACAACAAAAAAAAAAAAAGUGUCGGAAAAAGGUCCUUAACUAAAAUUAGCGUGGACAAUUAAAGUACAAAUAUCUAUAUAUCUAUAUCAGAUCUAAGGACAAUAUAUGCAGACGUGGAGGAGGAGGAGGAGAUAUGUAGUGAGGAGGAGGGGUUCGGAGAAGAGAUCUAGGAGAGGAAAAAUUCUAUAUAUUUCAUAUAUAAUGUGCGAUAUGUAAUUAAUUAAUGUACGAAGAGCGAAGAGGACGGUACGAGUGAAGAGGAAUUGGCAUUUUACAAAUGAAUGUUUGUUGUAUUUAGCAAUUUUGUGGCAUUCGAUUAAAUAAGCACAGGAGAGAGGGUCUGCGUGCUAGUUAGAGGAUGGACCACCGAUUUUUUUUUUCUUUUUUUUCAUUUUUUUGAGAGAUAGGUAGCACGCUACCCACUUCGUUUAUUUUAUUUAAAAAUAAACUUAAUUGAAAAUGUUAAUUGACUAAGAUUCAAAUUUGGAACCUUGGAUAUCAACCACCAAACUCUUUGCCAUUUGCUUCAUUGGCAGAUACUUUCGUACGUGAGCCCAGAUUUUCAGGAGUUGAAAUCUCGUCCACUUUAGCUGGUCUGCAAAUUAAGUAUCUUCAAAAGCUAACUAUUCAUUUUCUCUCUGAAAAAUAGAUAAGUCAUGCUUCCGAAUAAAUGGAGACAUAAUAUAUAUGACUCUAGAAAUGAUCUGCUAUUGAGGCAUCAAUGUUAGUUAUAAGAUAACCCGUCUAGAGAGUAUUUUGGUCUUCGCAGGAUGCUUAAGUAUAGACUUUUCAAAUAUCUGCAACAAUAAUUGGAAUUCAAAUUAUAUCCACAUUGCACGAAACUUAAUUUUGAAUCGAAUUUAAUGUUUCUUAAUUUUGAAUCAAAGUUUUACGGUAUUUAAAUUCAAUAUUUUUAUUUUAGUUGGAUACUUAACGAAUGAGGCAUUAUCUAAUUUGGUAAAUAAUAAAAUUAAACCAAGAACUUAAAAUUUGUGGGUCGCAAAACAAAUUUGGUAUGUGAUACUAAUUCUUUGCCAAUAUUGCCUUAUUGACUAAUCUAAGUCAGUAAACUGUUCAGUAAAUUAUUUUUAUGAAAAAUCUAAUCACCAAUAAUUUCACUAGUCUCAAUUACCUGAAAAUUAUUCGCCAAUUAUGCGCAAUUUGUUGCACAUUUAGUUAUAAAGAUCUCAAUGCUGGAGAAGUCGGGAGCACAAACUCUUUUUUAAUUAAAGUGCGCAAAAGCAUUAAUUACUACAAGCUCUUCUUCCGAGAAGUAAUUAGAAAUUUUAAAAAAAAUCUGCGGAUGAUAAUCUUUUACUUCUUUGCCCGAAGCAUGUUAGCUUGUUUGUGUAAUUAACAUCGCACAAUUAAUUUUAAAAUUAUUUUACAAAAACAAUUAGAACUAAAUAGAUGUCUCAAUCAUCUUGAUUUAUAUAUAUAUAUAUAUAUAUAUAUAUAUAUUAAUGUUGUACUCUAAUAUUUGUUUUUCCUAACCGUUCAAAUACUUUAAUCUAAUAAAAGCAAUGAUGAAACGCUUGAAAGGGAUGCUGAAAAGCUUCCUAUAACCAUUCCAAAGUGAAGAAAACUACAUAGAAAAUAGAAUUGCAUCACUAGAUAAUGAAUUGCCGUAAAUGAAUUUGCUUAUUAAAAAGGGUUUAUAAUAAUACUCACACCGACACACCCACAUGCAAAUCCAGUAGUUUUUACUAGCACACUAUACACAAGUAGGGAUGUGAAAGGGUACGAAUAUUUGAAAUUUUAUUAGAACUCAAAUUCGAACAUAACAGAUUUAUUCGAUACUAAAUGAAUAUAGUUUCGAAUAUAGUAUAAAAAAUAAAAAUCCAAUAAAUUUGGAUUCGGAUAUGAAUUUUGCCUGUACCCGAACCCGAACUCGAAUUUAUUUUACUCUUUGAUGUUAUAUUUGAAUUUGUAUUUAAAAAAAUUAGAUUUAAUAUUAUAUUUUGAAAUAUGAUAAAGAGAAAUAAUUGUUUCAGAUUCGGAUUUCGAAUAUUUGGUUGGUUCAGGUUUGAAUAUGAACUUUUAAAGUCUGUCGAAUUCGAGUUCACAUUUAGAUGAAUAACUGGAUUUAGGUUGGGAUUUUGAAAAUUCGCCCCGAAUUCCAUCUAUUGACAUCACUAUCCACGAGAAGGGUAAUUCAACCAAGUACUUUAAAUGUCUAACUUUUACAUAAUGGUGGUAAGGUUGGUGACUUAGAUGUUGAUUGAUUAAUCACUAUCGAAGUAAGUAUGCAUCUCUUUCAAUGCUUCAGUAGACAACAUUCUGGAAAGCAAAUUGAUAUAUUAAUUAACAUCAAUGAACUACGAUAAGAUUCAAAACUUAUGGAAUUUAAUAUUAAUUAAUCAAUUGAAACGUGUCACGUACCAUUCGGUUAAUUAAAGUGUACAUUAAGGCCGUGUUUGGAUGCAUAGUUAAAAAACUCUAUGGCAUUUUUAUUCUAUAGUUUUGAUCUAAAUAAAAUACGAAAUCCUGUAACUACAAAAAAAUUCCACAGCUUCAUUUUUAAGCCGUUUGGAUACAGAUCAUACAAUUCCAUAGUAUUUAUAAUAAUUAAAUUUCUAAAAUUUUAAAAUUCAAAAUUCAAAAUUCAAAAUUCAAAAUUUAAAAAUAAAAUUUUAAAAAAUAAAAUUCAAAAUUCAAAAUAUAAAAUUUAAAUUUAAAAUUUAAAAUUAAAAAAUUAAAUUAGAUUUUAUGUUUUAAAUUUGAAAUUUGAAAUUUGGAAUUUGAAUUUAAAAUUUGAAAUUUGAAACUUUAAAUUUUAAAAUUUAAAGUAUAACAUUUAAACUUUAAAAUUUGAAAUUUAAAAAAUCUAUAAUUAAAAUUUUAAAUUUUAAAUUUAAUAAUUUAUAAAUUUACAUAUUUAUAAAUUUAAAAUUUAAAAUUUAAGUUUAAAUUUAAAUUUUGAAAAUUGAAAAUUAAAAAUUAAAAAUUAAAUUAAAAUUUGAAAUUUGAAAUUUGAAAUUUGAACUUUUUGAAAUUUGAAAUUUGAAAUUUGAAAUUUGAAAGUUGAAAUUUGAAAGUUGAAAUUUGAAAUUUGAAAUUUGAAAUUUGAAAUUUGAACUUUUUGAAAUUUGAAAUUUGAAAUUUAAAAUUUAAAAUCAAAAUUAAAAUUGAAUUUUAAAAUUUUAAAUUUUGAAAUUUAAAAUUUUAUGUUGAAAUUUAAAAUUUAGAAAUUGAUAUAUCUUUCGGAACCCAAAAUGGUAAAAUUUUUUCUUUUGGUUAAAGUGGAUUGUAAGUUUACUCUAUUUUUUGGAGUAUAGUAUAACUAUACUCCAAAAAUUACAUUUUUUUUUUUCUUCCAAACGCUUAAUAGGAUUAUUUUCCUACCGGCGUAGUAUAGUUUAACUAUGCUACGUUUUUAGAGGUAUCCAAACGGGGCCUAAUGUUAGGUUAUUAUAUAGUAAACAUCUUGGCACUUCUCCCUUAGCAUUCCAUUAUCAGUUCAUCUCUUAUUAAGGGAAUUGUGCUUUCUAUAUAUUUAGCUUACUGCUUAUAUAUUUAGCUUACUUCUUAUGUAUAUAAUAUGAUUUUUUUUUUUUUUUUAAGACGCAGUAUUAAUUAUAUCAUCAUGCAAUUCUUGUAAAAGCUCACAGUAUUAUUUUAUCAAAUAAACAAAUAUACUGAAUUCGUUAGUCAUAUAAAAUAACUUGUCAAAAAGAAUAUUACACUACCGAGUUUGAGUUAAAACAUUUUUAAAAAAUAUGAUUUGUAUUUUAUGAAUUUUCAGCAUCAUAUACUAGAUAUUUAAAAAGCCUUAAAAAUAAAAAUCUUUAUCCAAUAAUAGAGAAAAUUUUAAAUAUCAUGCAUGUGGUUUCGCACUUUUUUAUUUUAGUAUCCUAUGGUUUAAAACGUAUCAAUUUAGUAUCCCGUGGUUUCAUUUUUUUCUUUUUUUUUUAUUUUUUCUUCACUAAAUUUUUUUUUUAUUAAAUCAGUGACAAAGUUAAAACUAAAAGGUACUAAAGUGAAUAUAUGAUAAAUCUAGAUGGAAUAUCUGAAAUUUUUUAUAUAUAAUUUAACAAAAUGUUAAAAGAGGAGCGACGAAAAGAAAAAAAAAAACCCACAAAAUACUAAAUUGAUACAUUUAAACCGAAGAACACUAAAGUGAAAAAGUACGAAACCACAGUGAUGGAAUUUGAAGUUUAUCUAAAAAAUUAGGAGAAUUUGAAAAAUUACUCAGCCUUCGUUUGGGAUUACGGAGAGAUUGCAUUACGUGUGAUGAGAAAAUAUUACACCCCAUAUUUCGCGAUGAGUCGGUAGACAAUAUAUUGUCUACAAUUUCACGAGAGAACGCAGAAGCAUAUCAAUCUCAAUACGGAACUAAGCCUAAAUAAGUGUGGAUGGUGGGAAACAAUUUUGUACCAUCUAACUAACCUGGUCUAUAAUAAAUUAACAAACUAAAAAUUAUCAUUCUCGGCCUUCUCGGCAAGAGAGCAAUAAAUUAAUGAAUGAAUUAACUACCCCUCCAUCCCCAACCCAACAACAACCGUACGGAGGUUCUUAGUUUUCCACUCCCGAGGGUCGGAAGCGGCGGUUCCCAGUUGCAGCUCCUGUGCGCGUACCCCCACCAAAUUAAGCUGCGGGGAACACGCGUCGCGCAUCCGCGUUGAGCGCCCCAGAACCCCGCUUGCGUGGGGAUGCGCGCGCGGAGAUGGGGAGGGGGGGGAGAGGAUGGGGCUCAGAGAGAGAGAGAGAGAGAGAGAGAGAGGGGAGGGUCCUCUCCGUCUCGCGCUGUGGUGUGGCCUGUGGGGAUGCGCGUCGCAGUUACCGAGGCGUGGGGAGAGUGUGUAUGUGUUUUUUUUUUUAUUUAAAAAAAUUUCUCUCGUUGGUCGCCUCGAGCCCUGGGGCGGUGGUGGGUGGGGAGGGGGGACCGGGGGCAUCGCGCUGGGCAGAAAGAGCGCCGCUCGUACCUUUUGCUGCGACACUUUUAUCAUAUCAUAUGCAAAAACCUGCAGCGUGUCAUCAUAUUUACGUUUUUGAGACUCGAGAACCUCUCGCCUGCAUGCGGUGUAUAACGCACUCGUGACUAGUAAAAUCAACCGGCUGUUUUUUUUUUUUUUCAUAAAUUAUCUCAUUAAUUUUAUAAUUAUAAUUUUGAUUUUAUUUUCGCUACGCAAGCACCACGUCAGCGCCACGCGAGUAGGAUGGGAGUUGAGUGGUAAGUUAAAAUACGGUAAACCAUUCACCGUGAUUUAAUGGUUCACGCUCAAGUAAUAUAAUAUAUUAGACACUGUAAAUUAUUUACCAUGUCUAGAUAUGUUGAAUGAAUUAUUAUAUUCAACUUAUCCCACACCCUCCACUCCUACCGCAUGGCACUUAUAUGAUACCUGUAUGGCGUGAAUAAAGUAAAAAUUAUAAUUAUAAAAUUAGUGGAACUAUUUGUGAAAAUAUUUUUUUUGAGGUGGCCAAAUACAAAAAAACAACCCAAAAUCAAUGGAUCGAUUCAAAAUUAAGGAAUAAUUGCCUAUAAUAUACCUUUCCAAAUCUUUGAAAAAGAAAUAAUGGACUAUAUAACUUUUAAAAUUUUUAAAAUAUUUGCAGUAUAUUUUUCUAUUAUUUAAAAAAUAUUUCUACUGCUAGUGUCCGUUAAUUCAUCUCGGAUUAAAUCUAAAUUAAAUUUCUAUUAUAGUUAAAAAUAGUAAAAAUACCUAUUUUGCCCCUAAUUAAUGGCAAAUAAAAAAAAAAGCUAGUUAUGGUAAAAAAAAAAAAAUAUUUGAAAAAAGGCAAAAAGCAAAGUAUUUCUUCUUCUCCUAACUUAUGCGCAAAUAAGAAAAAUCGGUGAGGGUAAAAAAAUAUAUUUGAAAGGGUAAAAUACAAAUUUUACAGAAAUAACAACUGUUCUUAAUAGUUUUCUAACAAAAUUUAACUGUAGGAGUAUAUUUGAAAGAACUUGAAACUUUAAAAGAAUAUUUUUAAUAUUAGCCUCCUCCUAAGAAAAAUAAAUACGAAAGCCGAAAACUUGUUAGAAAUAUAUAAGCAAUUGCCGCUAAAAUUAAAAUUUAAUUUUAGAGGCAUGAAUAAUUUACAACACCUACAAUAUCACUUUACCUUAAUAAGUUGUACGGUAAAGAUUUAAAAAUUUUGAACGAAAAUACAGAGAAUGUUCGAAAUAUUAUAAAUCUCGAAACAAACAGCCCUUUCAGUGAAUUACAUUUUUCUAUUUUAUAAUUCUGGUGUAUGAGAUGUGCUUGUACACCCGGUGCACGCGACAAACUGUAUAGGAGAUGGGCGAGCGAUUAAUUCACAUGCAGAUUCAGGGUGGGCAGGAGGCACGCGUUUCACGGCCUCGAUCGCGAGCCAGCUCGGCGCUGCGCUCCGCGUUUUCCACGAUCCGACGCGCGAUAGGCGCGCUUCCCGAGAUAAACAAAACUAUCCCUGAACCAUGCGUAUCCCUACGUCUCGUAGACCGCUCUCACUUUCGCCCUGUUUGGAUAUCGUAAGGUAAUAAUGCAUUUGUAACUUGGUAUGAAAAUUUUCUUUAGACUGAUACUCUCGUUAGAACAGUUGAUCAAUCUGUCUUUUGAGCGUUGGACGAUCCCGAUACAUUUUUCAGACAUAUACGAUAAGGUUGUUACAAAGCAAGCUUUUAUUAAGGAUCGAGUGUUUCUCGCCUAAUGGAUGGAGACGGCGAAAAAUUUGGAGAGGAGUUGGAACAUGGGCUCGGAAUGGCCGUGUGAGACUUAGGGAAUUAAAGGAUUUGCUUGCUUCCUUUCAGACGACAAAUAAAUCUGAUGAAGUUCGGUGGAGAUGAAAUGCAGGAAAUAUAUUUUCUGUUAAAUCGGUUUAUUUGGUGACUCGAAGGGAAGGCAUCCGAGAUACUAGAUUGAUUCACAUUUGGAAACUUAAAAUAUCUAUAAAGUAAAAAUUUUCUUAUGACUAUCGCUUAAGAAGAAAAUCCCCACGGCUGAUAAUUUUCUGAAAACGGGAUGGUUGGGUAAUCCUCUUUGUGUCCUUUGUGGUGAAGUUACGAAGACAAUGGACCACCUCCUUAUAGGAUGUGUGUACACUAGGUUUAUACUUUUUCGAACCUUAGAGGACAGUCAGUGUUUACAGAUAGUGGAAGAUGUACUGACGAUCUAGAGUAAAAUGAUCAUAAAUAUUAGGUCGGGGGAGAUUCUGUAGGAUCUGAUUACCGUAGUAGCGUGCUGGUAGCUAGUCUGGAAGGAAAGAAAUAACGCAAUUUUUAAAAAUCACUUUGCUGAUCCUCUCUUCGUAGUCGGGCGCAUUGAGGAGUUGGUAAGAGAGUGGAGAGACUUUUGUUGAGCUGAUUAACCUGUCGAUUAUUUUUGUUGUUAAUUUUCUUUUUUUCUUUCUUUAAGCUAUAUUUUCCUUCUCGAGAUCGUGUUGUCUUACUAUUUGUAGCCAAAUUCAUUUUUGAAAUGAAUGAAGCAGAUAACGUGCUACCUAUUUCCCAAAAAAAAAAAAAUUCUGUUCAACAAUAAUAGACCAAAAGGACUAAUAAGUUGAAUAGGACUACACUUUUUUUUGUUAAUCAAACGAUGUGCUCGUGCAUCCAAACAGAAGCAUAAUAACAAUCUUUUAAUUCAAUAAAUAUAAUUUACGAUCUAAAUAAUAUAUAUAUAUAUAUAUAUUAUCAAGCACAAUCUGUUAACGUAUUUUAGGUCGCCUGCUAAGAGGUCACUAAUUAUUAAAUUUUAAGUGUGAAUCCACUACGACUGAGUUUUCUUUUCGGUAUAUAAAGUAUCUUGCACCCGGUGUAUGCAGAGAUUUGGGCCAGUAGGUUGGUUCAUUUGGGACCACCCACAGUAACUGGGCCUAAAUGUUUUAGAUCUUCAAAGCUUGNAAAAUUCUUUAUACUAUAUAAAACAAGAUCAAUAUCUUUGAUUUAAAAUUUUAAUGUCAUAUUAUUACAUUUUGUAAGAUUUUUAUUUUCAGCCGUUGAUUUUGAGCCCCUUCGUUCACUAGGCAAAUGAUAUCGUAAAAUCAUAAAAUUUAUUUUCUAUCUACUUCAAAUACUCUAGAUCAAGUUUAAUGGAGCCGAUCGACGAUUCGAAAGUCGCAACAUCGAAAACGAGCUGGAAGCACGGAAGACUCCGUGCUUCCGAUAGCAUAGUAGCCUCACUCUAUAUAUAUAUAUAUAUAUAUUAUCAAGCACAAUCUGUUAACGUAUUUUAGGUCGCCUACUAAGAGGUCACUAAUUAUUAAAUUUUAAGUGUGAAUCCACUACGGCUGAGUUUUCUUUUCGGUAUAUAAAGUAUCUUGCACCCGGUGUAUGCAGAGAUUUGGGCCAGUAGGUUGGUUCAUUUGGGACCACCCACAGUAACUGGGCCUAAAUGUUUUAGAUCUUCAAAGCUUGGACACUGUCAAACACUUUAUCACUAAAAUAUUUUGUUUUCGUUUAAAAUGUAGUAAAAAUUGCACAUAUUUUUCAUAAAGAGCACGAGAGGAGAAUUAGGAAAUUCUUUUUUUUUUUUUAACCUUUUUCGGUUUUGAAGGAAUGAAUUAAGACAUUUUUUUAGGCACGAGUAAUUAUUCGGCUAGGAAGUAGUAACUUUAAUGUUACAGCAAAUGAUUUUUUUAUUUUUUUUUCUCAUUAGAUUACAAUACCUAAUUUUCUUGAUAUUUCAUUAUCUAUAUAUCCUGUAUCACUGGAAAUGUCAAGAGCCUUAACUUAUGCAUACUGUUGAUGCUUUUAAGCUGAUGUAACAGUACUAACAGCAAAUAAUUUCCAUCAGUUACAUGCAUAAAAAGAGUAAAAUUAUCUCAAGAUAUUCUAUUAGUAAGAACCAAACUGUUUGUGCAUUAACUGUGCGUAUAACACCAAUCAAAAAAAAAAAAAGGUUUCAAUUCAAUCUAAAGAAGUUACCAAGAGAGUAGCUCCUCUACACGUACAUAACAAGAGCAGAAAAUAGUUUAAGCAAGAUCAUAUAUAUUUGCUUUACAAGCUGUUGCAACUCCUCUAUAGUAGUUUAAGCCUCAUUUGAAGCAAAAUAACUCCUCGAAAACAUCUCAAUAUGGAGCAAUUAUAACUCGCAUGCUUCAACUCGCAGUACUAGCCCAGUCGAAAUCCGUUUGGUUAGCUAGUUUAACUUGUUUUUUCUUGUUUUUCCUAUAUGUAAUUCUUUUCCGUUUCUUGUAUCAGUUUUAAGGUAUGUAACUCGUUUAGUUCCUCAAACUUACUCCGCAACUCACUAUUAUCAUCAUCAUCAUCAUCCCACCCAGGAAUGUUAGCAGUAGCCUCGUUCACCAUCUUUACCAAUGUUACCUGCAUCAGUGGCAUCAGAUAAAAAGGUUGGUGGUAGGUUCUUCGAACCGAAAAUUCUAAUUUUGAUAUGCAGAAUCGAAAAUAUCUGCGGUUGUUACGUAAACUGCCGAUUGUUUGCCAUAGCGAAGUAGAUCGCAUAUGCUUAAUGUGUAGAGUUGUUCUAAUAAGCAUUUAGUAGUUUAAAUUUUGGAUGCGAACAUACCACACUUUCAGGAACUCCUGGAGGUGGUAAUGAAAGGUUCCUUGGUAGCGGGCCUUUAAGAUACGAUCUUUUGUCGAAGCGCCAUUCCCCGAUUUUUCCAUAAGUUAGCUCACCCUGAUUUUGCUCAAAAUCAAUGUACCAAAUAUAACACAUCAACAAAAGAAUCUCACAGUAAGUUCAUUAGCUUGUGUAGGGUUGCUAAUUGCGAACAUCAAAACAAAAAAUUAACAAAAUUAUAUAUUUGCUGAAGUAAGAAAGUAGAAACCUUCAGUGAAUAGUCACAACCAUAAGUAUAGUGAAUAAUAAAUGUCUCCCCUACUGAUAAGUCCCAAGGAGGCUGCAAUAAUCGACAUAUUCACAGCAAUUAAGCGAUAAAUUAAAUAAAGAUUAGCUUAAACUUACAGUUAAUUAAUACCUGUAUCAUAAAAUCUUUGUAGAGAAUAUGGUGGACACCAUGCAAUGCACUGGCAACAGCGUAGGCAUACCUGCGGUCUUAGCAGAAAUUCAAAGGCACAAAUUUGACAAGGAACUUGUAAGUUUGUAGCUAUGUACAGCUACAGAAAAAAAAGGGGGUAAAAGAACAUAUCGAACUAGCAUAGACCAUCUAGCAGCGUUUCUAGUUUAUUUGAUUUGAUUUGAUUGAUUUCAUGACUCUUCAAAACAGGCGGUAGUUCACGAAUUAGUUCGGUUCGUACGUUUUAACCAAAAAAUAUGAGAAAGAAAAGGCUCUCACAUUUCUAAAACCCAUCCGAAAGCUUUGUCGGUCUUAUUAUCCAUUUUCAUUUCCAGUGACAUGUUCAUCCAAGUAGGAGCAAUCUUCGUCAGCGCGGACUGCAGCAACAAGUUACAGAUAGAAUCGAAAAAAAGACAUUUUUAUAGCAGAUUUUUAUUGUAACCUAACAAGCAAAUCCAGUAAGAACCACCUUUUUGAUUAUUACAGGAGAAUUUCCGAUAGGAUCGAUGUUCGUGACAGGGCCUUUUUCUUCUGGAUAGUACUUCCUUAGUAUCUUUUCUUGUUUCGCCGGUCUUAUGUAGAAGAAUGGAUACGCGACAGGUCGAUCUUCGCGAACCAAGUUCGGCAAAGGCUUCACAAAUAUGUGAUCUGGUUCUGCCAUUAGUAUGUACCUGUAAUUGUUGUCUUGAUCAGGCAGAAAAUCAACUUCAGAAGAGAAAAAAAAACAACUGCAUGAUACCGCGACGUAAAUCAUAAUGCACUCACUCUUCCUGAAUCUCUGCUCUUUCCAGCCAUUGUACAAAGGCCCAUGGUCUAUUAAGGACAACAUAACCCUGAUAUCACAGUUCAUGAGAAAAAUAAAACUUUAAAUUGAUCAAAUGAAAUUAUAAACAAGUGCGAAUGAAAUUCAGCGAAUAAAUUCUUGUUCUUAUCUCUAGAAAACAAGCAUAAGAACAAUUGUCUAUAUAUGAAAAACAUAUUUUCAAAAAGCGUGUUGUUUGAUAUUAGAAAAUAAGAACUUAGCGCGAAAUUUCUUUUUCUAACUUUAUUGCCGGUUUCCAUUUUUUGUUGAAAAAUUAAUAUUCUAUAUAUACAUUACAUACUAAUUAAUAAUAACAAAAAUAAGACAAAAAAAAAAAAAACAAAGACAAAAGGACGGCAAUAACAUUAGACGAGUUACAAUUCUGCAACACGGGGAAAAAAAAAAAAAAAAAAAAUCAAAGAAGGAAAAUAGUGCUCACCCUAUCGGCGCCCGGAGGGAGGGGGUUGACGACGAAGGUGGGGAUCUCCCCCAUGAGAUCGUCGGCCUCGCCGGAGUGCAGCACCCGCGUAAACCCGCCCAUCUCCUCCGCCCCCGCCCCUGCUGCCUUCGCUCGCUUGUACCUGUCAGUGAAAGUUGCAGCUUUCUAACUAACUUAACUAACUUCACAUACUUACCGUCAUCAGUUUUAACGAUUUUAGGACUACGUGUAACGUGUUAGCUAUUUAUUAUUGGUUAAAAUAUAUUCAAUUUUCUCUACCAUAAUAAUAGGUCAAGAGAUUAAUACGUAGGAUUGAGCCUAAUAAAUUAAGAAUACUGCAUUCAUAUAGAUUGAGUCAGGUCGAAAUUCAUGAGCAUUAUAGUUGAAUAGAUGCACGUUUUUUUGAAUUAAUUGAUUAACACUUACGAUCGACACCACUAUGUGGGACUAAUAUGCAUCAUUUUUGAACCAUACCAGUAAUACAUAAUCCGGCACUGCCACCUGCUGUACGGAUCCGCCAUCGCAGUCAUCGCCACGUGGAACGGCCGCUUCCCGGCGGCCGCCGCCAAUUCUCUAUCGCCCGUGAACCAAUUAAUGCGGCCGUCGUCGUCGGCGACGCUGCUCCCUUCCCUCCUCGGCGGCACGAACAACGCCGCGAAGUUGAACGCUGCGAAGAACAAUCCCAGCCCCGCCGCCGCCGCCAGGAACUGAGAUGCUCUCCCGAUCUCCUUUCGUGCGUUCAUAUCUGUUCGACGAAGAUAGUGUGCUAUUUUGUGAGUGUUAUUUUUUAUUUUUUAUUUUUUAUCUGAAUUACAAGUGAAUCCAAUUAAUGAAUGUAUUAAUAAACGUAAAGAUGUUAAUGCAAGCAAAACGUUCCUCAAACUUUUAGAACAUGGAAGCAACGGUUCACUUAAUGAGGUAGAUAUAUAGGAAUGUUUUUUUUUUUUUUUUUUUUGAGAAAUAGGUAACAUGCUAUUCGCUUCGUUUAUUUUAUUUAGAAAUAAACUUAGCUGGAAAUAUGAAAAAUUAGGAUUCGAACUUGGGCCUCGGGUACCAACCAUCAAGUCCUUUGACAUUUACUCUAGGGAUGGCCGGUAGAUAUAAAGAAAUGUUAUAAAUUUAUAAUGUGGGGUAUAUAUUACACCAACUCAAAAAGGGGAUGGAAUAGGAAUUGCACAUGGAAAGUGGAGAGCCGAGUUGGAAUGUGAAGAUUUUGGAAGACAAUAGAAUCUAAAAUUGUUUGAAUAUGAUUUUCGUGCGCUGUGGGAAGUGCUGCUUUCCUAGUGUUCAAACAACAGGAAUGGAAAAAAAAAUAAAAAUAAAAAUAUUUGCAUAUGUAUCCUCACAAAGUAAUAAAAAGGGAAAACUUCAAAUACCUCUAUUGUGGUUUCACUUUUUCUCACUUUAGUACUAUGUAGUUUAAAAUGUAUUUAGUACCCUAUGGUUUUGCACUUUUUCACUUUAGUACCAUAUGGUUUGAAGUGUAUCAAGUUAGUAUCCUGUGGUUUCGCACUUUAUCACUUUAGUACCCUGUGGUUUAAAAACAAUAGAGUACUAACUUGAUACAAAAACAAAACCACAGAGUACUAACUUGAUACACUUUAAACCACAGGGUACUAAAGUGAUAAAGUGAGAAACCACAAGGGUACUAACUUGAUACACUUUAAAUCACAGAGUACUAAAGUGAUAAAGUGAGAAACCACAGGGUACUAACUUGAUACACUUUAAANAAACUUAUGAGUACAAAGGGCUUUAUACUCAUAUGAGUAUAAUAGCCCCAGCCUAUAUUAUAUAUAUAUAUAUAUAUAUAUAGAGAGAGAGAGAGAGAGAGAGAGAGAGAGAGAAAGUAGGGCUACUAUACUCUUAUGAGUAUAGAGUCUUUCGUACUGAUAAGUUAUUUUUGAUGAUGGAGAUUUCAAAUCAAUGAUUCACUCCGUUAAAUAUGAUCUAAAGUAUUUAAAAUUUAUAAAAAAUAAAUUUUUAUAAUUUUAAAGUCCAUCAAGCGGAUAUAUAUGAACGGUAAAAAUUGAACAACGUCCUAAAAAUAGAUGAUCGGAUUCUUCAAUUUAAUAUCGGAAUUAUUGAUUUUUCUUAGAUAAUGAAUAUAAUUUUCUAUCAAAAAUUCAAUAUUUUUUUAUUUUUUUAUACAAUUAAACUAGCAAGUAUUGAAUACCGGCUGUUAAAAAUUGUUAAUUUUGAAAAUUUUUAAUCAUAAGAUAAAUGAUGUCAAAAAAUUAUAAAAUUUAAUUUCUAAAAAUUUUAAAUGUUCUAGAUAAUGCUUAACGGUAUGAAUCUUCGAUUCGGAAACACGCACACACACUCUCUCUCUCUCUCUCUCUCUAUAUAUAUAUAUAUAUAUAAAUGUAUUCCUCUUGUUAGUGGAUUAGUUAAAGGUGACUUUUCUUCUACAAAAUAAUAAUUAUAUUCUUAAAAAAUAAAAAAUUAAAUGCUAAAUGUAUUUAGCAUUACAACAUUUCAAAUGAUGAAAAUUUUAAUUGUUAACUAACAAUAGUCAACUUGGAUAAAUUUGUAUAUUUUGGAUCUUUAAAGGAUAUAUUUGAUAAUCAAACGUUAGCAGAUAUAAAUUGGCAAUUUCAAAACAUUUUAGAAAAAUAUGUACAAAAUAAUCCCAAAAAAGGGUAGCUGGAAAAGAGUGGAUCAGUGCUUUCAUUGUGGUGUUCAACGUAAGUCGUUUAGUUUUAUCGAAAACUUCCAAAACCUUGUUUAGUAUACUUUAAUAUGUGAAAAAACCUUCUUUUUUUUUUUUUUUCCCGUACCGGGGCCUGGCUGCUCCAUUCCUGUAGCUUAGUUCAUCUUUCUAAUAAAUGAAGCGGGUAUCGUACUACCUUUCCCUCAAAAAAAUAUGUGAAAAAAAACCCGACUUUAUUGGUAGGGAACAAUUAACUCUGGUUUGUUUUGGUUUUUUUUUUAAAAUUUAUUUAAGGUAAAAAUCUACCUAGAAAAGAUAAACCAAAGUGCUGCAUCGUAUAAUGAUAACGAUAAAUCAUUAGAUAAUAAAUUACAAAAUUUCACCAUAAAUUAGUUUGUAAAAUAUAACUUCAACAACCUACAAAUAGUAUUUUUUUAUAAAUGAAAUACAGAUGCAAUAAAAUAUUAUUUAUGAGUCAUAAAUAAGAUAGUAAACUGCAUGUAAAUGCAUUACGUGACUUAAAAAUAGUAAACUAUUUUUCCAAACUUUACCUUGGUUUUUAACUCCAGCUGGAUCUUGCUUCCUUCUGAUAACUGGAUUGGCGAAAUUCCGCUCAGAACUUCUUCGCCAGAUACCUUCAGCAAACCGGAAAGGAAAGUAGGAGACCUGCCGAAUGAGAUGAGAUAAGUUCGACCUUUUGCUGAAGAGUUAGGAUGGAAUGGAUAAAUUCAGGUAUGGUUACGUGGGAAGAGAAUUUCUCCAGUUUUGCUUUUCACUCCUCACACUCAUUCUCCCACUUCAUUGAUUUAGUGCCUUUCCCACAAACCGGAAAAAAAAAAAUCCAAGUUUGACUGCGUAAAUUGUCUGGAUAAUCCUCCUACUAUCCCAAUAUUACAACUCGGUCUAUGUACUCUUUCAUGCGAGCGAUUUAUUUUUUUGAGAUAUAGGUAACACGCUACCCGCUUCGUCUAUUUCAUUUAGAAAAUAAACUUAGCUGGAAAUGUGAAUCAACUAGGAUUCGAACUUGGGAUCUCAGGUACCAACCACCAAGCUCUUUACCACUUGCUCUAGGGACGGUCGGUAUGAGCGAUUUAUUAAUUAGUCUCUCGAACAGACUAUGUGUUAACAAACAGAAAAAUACCGACCGUUCCUAGAGCAAGUGGCAAAGAGCUUGGUGGUUGGUACCCGAGAUCUCAAAUUCGAAUCCUAGUUAAUUCACAUUUCUAGUUAAGUUUAUUUUUAAUGAAAUAAACGAAGCGGGUAGCGUGCUACCUAUCUCUCAAAAAAACAAACAGAAAAAUUCAAACACUAUAUAUGCCCUAAUGUUAAUUAAAAUAUAUUCAUUACUUAUUUCUUUUAGAUCGAUCUAUCAGGUAACAUGAUAUUAGAACUAAUUCUAAACCAUUUCAAUUCAAGAGAUCCUAAUUAUCAUUAAUUUCCUUUUUAUAUGUAACGUAUAACGUGAAUAUUAAGUAUAAAAGUUUGAAACAGGUUUGUAGCUAUUAGUGUAAAAAAGUAGUUUUUUUUUUUUUUAAUUUAGAGUUGUAAUCAAUGCACAUAAGUUUCAAAUUUUUAUAUUCUAACUUGAACAUCGACUACUCUAAAACAUAACAUAUUUGAAAAUACUAAUUAAUGUAUGUAAUGUUGGUUUUCCUGUCUUAAAUAUGGUGACAAUGGCCAACUGUGCACUAAAAAAAUUUAAUUAGCACACAAUCACUAGCAAUAUUCUAAUGAGUCUAUAGAAUUAAUCAUCUCUAUUAGAAAUAAAUAAAUUAUUUUCACCAUCGUUUUCAAUGCAUGGCAAAAUAAAACUAAAAAUAGUACAUGAUAAUGGAUUGUGUAGAUCAUCCGAAGAACUAGUUUGAGUAUUGAGUUUUCUCAUUUUCCCAGUGUUGAGAAAAAUUUAUUGUGGAUGGUUAGUUAUAUAUUGUGCAUUAAAAAAGGUUGAUUAGUUGGAAGUAUUGAAUUUUCUUGAGAAAAAUUUAGAAUGAUUUUUUAGGAUUUUUAGUACUCUGAUUUUUCCACUCAUCGAGAUGUACAGAUGAUUCCUUUGAAAGGAUAGUAAAAUAGGGAUUUUUCCACGCAUAAAAUAAAUCUAGAAUCCUUAGAAGUAAGCAUUAAAAUCUAAUUCUAGAAUCGUUAGAAGUAAUUUUACAAUAUCAAAAUCGUUAGUGAUCAGCGACUGAGAUUGAGCCUUCAAUAAUUAAUUUCCUAAUGUCCUCGUAAUCUCAAACAGAAAACCAAAUAGUUCUUGGUAGGUGACAACAUAAUUGAGAUAUUUUAUUGAUUAAAUAUUGAGAAACACUUGAUUCCCACUUGUUCUAACCAAUCUCCAUUUACAGACUAAGUUUGCAUCCUAUAUAUAAUUUCACAAGCAUUUCGUUUCAUCCUAAAGAAUAUAAUGCUUGCUUUUUGUAGAUCUCUCUAACAAAGAUUUCUAAACAUGCAUCUUUCACCACAAACUCUUUGCUAGUUAAGGAUGAACAGCUGCGGCCGAAGGCGAAGUCCGAGAGGUGAGGGACGGCCUCAUCUUCACGAUCUGCUCCUCGUCGACCCCCAUACGCUUCGCAGACACUCCUGCUUCGAAGAAGCGCUUGACGGCGCCCCGCAUGUAGGCGAUGCCUUCGCGGACAUUCAUCUGCUUCGCUAUCCUUUCUUGCAAGCUCGUGAGGAGGUGAUCGCCGUUGAGCACCGACGCGAGCUGCAUGAGCUCCUGCUGGAACUCGCUCAGCUUGGCUUCUUCGUUGGCCUCGCCGUCCCUGAUCUUCACAGGCAUGGGGAGUUCAACUGCAUUAAUUUGACGAUCGAGAAACCAGUUAGAAUUCGUAUCAUCAACAUGAUUGAUUAUAUUGAGUAUUUGAGUAUUGACACAGAAGAGAAACAUGUUGUUCAUGAGUUCAAGUUGUUUCAAGAAACAUGUUGCUAUUAGUGACAUUGACACAAAAAGCUCAUUCUAUAUAUAUUCUGAGAAUUUGUUAGCUAUCUGAUCACCUGGGCAAUCCGUCCUAGGUUCGGUCCGCGUCUGCAAAAUUCCCUCAAACGUUCCAGCCCAUGCAUCUCUCUUCGUCAAGUAAGGCGAUGAGAGAUUGAAAAGAUUCUUUACAGUUGCAGGAAUGGACGAAUGCUCAUACUCCGAGGUUGCGGUCGGAACACCAUUCGGACCGUGAACAACUGCAACCAGUGAAUGGUACACCGUCAACAUUCAUUGCUUUUAAUACGAAAGAAGAAGAAGAAGAAGAAGAAGAAGAGAACACGUCCUCAACUCAUCGAUUCCGACAUUACUCACCGGUUCCCUUCUCAAUCCAGGGUGAAACCAUAAUCGUCGGAACCCUCACUCCCAAUCGAUCGAACGUAAAGAAGAAAGGGUCCGGGCCAACAAUGUCGUCGGGGCUGGGAACGCCCUGGACGGGCGUAGGAACAUGAUCAAAGAACCCGCCGUGCUCGUCGUAAGUAAUAAUCAAGAGAGUCUGGUUCCACUGGGGGCUGGCACGCAGGGUCUCGUAGAUCUCCUUGAUGAACAGCUGGCCUUGGUAGACGUCGUGAGACGGGUGAUCGUCGUUGGCGGGAUGAGCCUUGGAGUCCAAGUAGUGCUGCUCGAUGACGGCGUAGUUGGGGAGAGCGCCUUUGCUCGCAUGUUCCUUGAAUUUUCCGGCGUAGGAGUAGAACUUGGUGAUGUACUUGAGCUUGCGAAGGCUACGGUAGAACAAAACGGCCGGCACGUCUUGGUAGUAUACGCCGAAAGAGAGCCCCGCGUCGUGGAUGUUGUCGAAUAUCGUCCUUUGCGGGUAGCCCUUCGCCAGUAAGCUGCGAGGAAUUCUACACUGUCACACUUGCACCACGUCAUCAAUAACAAGCUAAUCACAUUUCUUAUUUUUAAAUAAAAGUAUAAUAAAAAUAUUUUUUUACAAUCAUGAUGGGACAUAUACCCCUAAAAGGAUACUUUUGAUUGGUUUGUUACACCACGUCACCAAUAUACCAGUUGUAUUCUAGAAUUUUUCGUACGCUGCAGCAUCAUUAUAAUUAUCCUUGUCAUGUCUAUUAUUAGGCGAUCGAAUUUCUACAAUUGCAAGAUCUGUUUUUCUACCGAUGCAUUGUUACAAACAUUGUUAGCAUCACAUACGUAAUGUAAUAAUAACCAAUUAAUUUGCGUAGUAAUGCUUUAUUUUACUACAAGUGAGAAGUACUAAUAGAAAAGGUACUUAUUACUGCAUAAACCAGAGUUCAGUAAACUUAGUGAAUUUGACGAACUCCUCUAUCUACAAUUUUGACCUUUUUUUUUAAUCUUUUUAUACUUUUAUUUUAGUACAACUUUAGUCCAGUUUUAUUAGGUCUCGCACCGAAGAGCUUAAUUCGUGACGCAAAUGGUCAACACUUGGUGGCGCACCGUAGACUAAAUUAAUUGGAUUGUUGCGUUAGUACCCAAUCCUAUUGAAAUUGAAGUCCCCCGCUAUAAUCACGGAUGUCGACAUAACUACUACUUUUUGAUUAUGUUGAUAACAAUUAGGUGCGCUCCAGUGCGUUAGCUCAAUCUUAUAUAACCAUGCACAAAAGGUAAAAAAAAAAUAAAGGAAAAAAAAAAAAAAAGGAAAAGUAGCUUUUUCCGUCCACAAAUUGCGCUUGCAAUAAUUUUGCUUCUUAAAGAGCUUAAUAAUGAUGAUGAUAACGACUCACAUGGGACGCAAUCUCAUGAUAAACAGUAGCUAUCUAUAUUCCUUUCAUCAUCAACAUCGAAGUCACUGCAUAAUUAAAAAUUGGGACCCACUGAGGUUGCCCUCUGAAGAUAACAAAAUAAAAAAUUGAAAGCGCAAUCUCAGACAUUGAUAAUUUGCGCAAUCUCAGACAUUGAUAAUUUUUUCAAUUAGUAGUAUCUACUCAAUUUCUCACACUAUAGAAUUUGAAUUCAAAAAUUACUACUUAGACCGACCGUUUCUAUAUCAAGUGACAAAAAAUUUGAUAGUUGGUGUCCAAGAUCUCAAGUUCGAAUUAUGGUUAAUUCAUAUUUUCAGCUAAAUUUAUUUUUAAAUGAAAUAAACAAAGCGGAUAGCGUACUAUCUCUCUCCAACAAAAAAAAAAAAAAACAACUUAGAAAUUGUACUGUUUUAUGUAAAAAUUUGUAAAUUUGUAUAAUAAUUUGAAUCUUUUGUACUGAUGAUGAUGACUAUAAUUUUAUAUUUAAAAAUAUAAAAAAAAAGUUUAAAUCGAGUUUUUAUCUCAAAUCUCCCCCCACCGACAACAGGCGCGGUGUGUGCGUAUGUCAACAUUUUUAUUUUAUUUCAGUCCUCUCCUUAAUCUAUCUAAACCAUGUACUGACCGGGCCCUACCUCUGUCAAAUGGAGUUGGCCAGCGUGACAUACUUCCGUUCUCACAUAUCGAGAUUCACUCCCACCUCAUCAAUCAUUGCAGAUACAAACAAAUAAUAAUAAAAUGAUUACAGAUGUAAAUUUUAUUUUUUUAUCUUAAAAAAAAUAAAUCAUAUAUUUUUAUUUUUUUUUAAUGUUGAAAAAAAAGAAAUAGCUCAGUUGGAUAGAGCGAGCGGAGUACCUGGCGUCGUUGCUGGUGGCGCCGUGGGAGGUGGCGGAGUGGACGAACAAGCGGUUGGGCUGCGUGGACGAGGGGACGGAGGCGAACCAGCGGUCGAAGACGGCGAACUCCUGGACGAGGGCGGCGUAGACGGGCAGCAGGUCGGGGCGGAAGCCGUUCAUGACGGCGGCGGUCAUGUUCUCCGACAUGGAGCGCGCCUGCUGCACGAACCCGUUCAUCGGGGCCGGCGCCGCCGACGUGUCGUUGGACCCGAACACCUGGUCGCGUAUGGCCUGGAACGAGUGCCCCGGGUCCGGGUCCACGAACUGGGCCCCGUCCGCGAAGUAGACCCGCGCCGCGUCCGGGUCCGACGCCGACACCGGGUUCCACUCCGACCCGUCCACGCCGUUGAUUUCCGGGUUCCGACCCUUCAUCCACCCCAGCAUGUGGUCGAACGACCGGUUCUCCAUCACCACCACCACCACCGUGCUUAUCGGGUCCGCCCCAUUUCCCAAUCCCCCCACGCCCGUUAAUACCUCCACCCAAAACAACAACCAAAGCAGCUUCAUCAUUUAUCAAUGUCUCCUCCUCCUCCUCCUCCAUUUCCCAAUCCCCCCACGCCCGUUAAUACCUCCACCCAAAACAACAACCAAAGCAGCUUCAUCAUUUAUCAAUGUCUCCUCCUCCUCCUCCUCCUCCUCCUCCCUCCUCCUUUGGUGUGUAUGUGUGUGUGUUCAAACUACAAACUAUUCAGACAUAGCUCAACAAUCGUAGCUAUCUGUGGGCGUAAUCACUUGCCAAGCUAUGCAACUNGAGGUUGGAGUGUACCAGAAACCCGAGUAAAGAGGGUUGUGCGCGUGACCGACUCAAACCUCUGUAGCUUUUUAUCGGUGGGUUCUUUUCUUUUGUCUUUGGUGAAUGUAUCUACCUAUCUAUCUAUACAUAUAUAUAUAUAUAUAUAUAUAUAUAUACACACACACACGAAAAGGAGAGGGACAGAGGGAAUAUGUAAUUGUUAUUUUGAUUAUUGUUUAAAGAUUCGCACAAAAAAUGUGCAUGUGCUUUACUUUGCCGUGGGGGUGCUAAUUAAGUGGGAUCACAUAAAAUAUUCUAAUUUUUACAUAAUAUGGAGAGCAUCUUUAUCUAUAAAUUUAAAUUUUUUAUAUUAGCUAAUUUGAACUCUUUAAUAUAGUAUCCGGAAUUGGUUCACAUUUUUUAUAGUUGUGUACUUGUGUGGCCAAUAAUUUUUUAAAUAAUAAAAUGAAUACGGACAAGAUAUUUAUAAAUUCACAUAAAACCAAAUGGGCAAAUUUUAUUACUACUUUAAUACAUUUGAUAGGGGGACAAUCUAAUUAAAAGCACAUCUAAGAGAUUCAUUAGGUUUUCAGAGAUUGGCAAUAAAGAUAAAGAUAAAGAAUAGUAGUAGUAUAAUAGGAUUACGAGUUGCAUGGGUGAAGUUUAUUUUUUGACACGUACCACGUAAAUGAUGAGGAUGUAAGUAGAGCAUUUAAAAUCUCUGGUUGCAACUAACACCUGUGCACGGCCUAGUUAGUUGGUCUUCAAUUUACUGUUGUUUUUACUUUUAUUAAAGUAUUUUUAUACCAUACAAAUAUCUAUUAUGAACCGAAUGGAAUGUCGAUGAACUAUUCUAAAUAAUGGUGAUAAAUUAUAUUUUAAUUUAUUUAUUAUGGUUGGUUAUAGAGUGGUAAAUUAGUGUCAGUAAACUUUUUUUUUUUAUAUUUGUUUUGAUAGAGAUUGGAAAGCCAAUACUGUUAGCUAUUUAUUAUUGGGUUAAAAUAGGUAUAACAUCCUGUCCUGUGACAAUAGACUUAGGAAACUAAUUACUUGAGUUGGAUAAGCCUAAUAAGUUGAGUGGAGAUGCGGUUUACAAGAGAUCUAAUGGCAAGAAGCCUAAUAAUAGACCUAACGUCUAAAUGGGUUGAGUCAGAUCGAAGCCUGCGAGCACUGUGGCUGAGCCUUUAAGUGCGAUAGAUGCGUCCUUCCUAUCAGUAUAUACUUUUGGAAUAGUUAAUUAGUUAGCGCUUACGAUUCACAAAUACGUUUCGUUUUCGUUGGGCUUUGUCGAGUGAGUUGUGUGGGGCACCGUUUGGUGGUGCGUCCACACCACACCAUAGCCAGAUAAGCAAAUGGAACAAAAGUACUUAUGGGGAGGUUCCAAACGGGACUCUUUCGUUCACCACCAGUGUGGCUUCAAAAUUCGUGCCAAUAUGGAUGGAAUAGUUUUAUAUCAAAAGUUUUUUCAUAAAAUUUUUGUUGUAAGAUGCUCUACAUGGGCAUUUCCCUUCCCAGCAAAGCUUAGAGAUCAAGAGGAUGGAUCACUGAACGGUAGUGACAUCGCCGUAGCCUAAAAUUCAGUUCCCACUUCACUAUAGUGAGCUUAAUUUAAAUUUAAUCUAAAGUGUUAUAGAUAGGAUCAACAAAAGCCUACAUAUAAUUUCCAAUGUUAAGCCGUCUUAUUAUUAAUAAAAUAUAUUAUGUUAAAUAAUAUGAAAUAAUUAUUUGUCCCCAAGAACUAAUGCUACCGGUGAUCCAGAAAGCGAUAUUUUAAAUAUUUAUAUUCAACAUAAUAAUAGUAUUAUAUCAAACAGAUUAAUAGUAUGAACGGAAAGUUCGAAUCCUAGUUUUUUUUUUUUGAGAGAUAGGUAGCACGCUACCCGCUUCGUUUAUUUCAUUUAGAAAUAAACUUAGCUAGAAAUGUGAAUCAACUAGGAUUCGAAUUUGGAUCUCGGGUACCAACCACCAAGCCCUUUGUCACUUGCUCUAGGGACGGUCGGUAGUUCGAAUCCUAGUUGAUUCGAAGUUUCCCUAGAACAAGUGACAAAGGGCUUGUGGUUGGUACCUGAGACCCAAGUUCGAAUUCUAGUUGAUUUACAUAUCCAAUUAAGUUUAUUUCUAUAUGAAAUAGACGAAAUGGGUAGCAUGCUACCUAUAUCUCAAAAAACAUAGUAUGAACGGAAAGUAGGAGUUGUGCUAUAAAUAGACGGCAAGGACGAUGCACUGCGUCACAUCAAGUGAUAUAUUUCUGUUAUUGAUAGGCGACGUGAAAGGAAUAAUAAUGUAACAGCCAUGCUUAAAUUGGCGCCGUUGCGUGUCUUCUAACAUCUUCCAUGACAAUGACUCUCAAAAUAUCACAAAUUUUGCUUGAUUCAUGUAUACUUAGGUACUCAGCAAAAAUGACAAACCGAAGAUCAAACCUUAAGCAUUUACAUUCUCACAAAUGAAUCUUUACAAAAGUUGAAAGAAGAAAAAAGAAAUCUGCAAUCAGAACUGCGCAUGAUGCACAAAGUCGGAACACGAAGUGAAUGGAAAUUGAUGACUUGGAUCGAACAUUUACAAUAGCAUGGAUAGAUACAAAUGGUGUCUUGCUAUCGCUCUCGCACUCUUUCUCAUCUUGGGCUGUUCCACGGAGGUGAUGAUUUGUACACAAACCCUUGGGAAGGGACGGCUCCGUGACUUAAAUCGAGACUAUGGAGUUGUUCGAUCAGCUGCGAGCGCCGCUCCUUGAAGAAAUCGAGUCGCGUCGUGAGCUCCACCAGAGUAGAAGAUGCCACUAACGGCUGCCUCGGAUACCCGAUACCCUAUUAAGGAAAAACAAAAGAUAGACUCAUUUUCAUUACUGAAAUAAAAGGUACAUGAUCACAAUUAUGAUAAAUUCGGUUUGCCCACCUCACUAAUUUUAGGGUUAGUAGCAGUGACAUCAGAGAUUGAUUCCACCGAUAUACUCGCCGAUGCCUCCGUCCUUGUUGAUUCACUUGAAUCCAAAGAAUAUUUCCUCGAGAGAUGCUUUGAAGUAGCGUAAGUUGGCAUUUGCUGCUUGGUGCUCUUCCAAUCUAUUCCCGACGACCCCUCCUGUAUGUUAAGAAAAAAAUGGUUUUUGCAUCGGUAAAUCGCUGAGAUAAAGGCUUAUUGUACGCCAUAGAUUUUUCACAAUAAAUUAUUCAUGUAACCAUUUUAAUGUAUACACCACAAAAUUCAUAGUAAAGUGUAUUUCUCCAUUAGUGUAAUAAAACUAUUAAAAAUUUCAGACAGAACUUGAAACAUUGUCCGGUCAGUAUGCAACAGGUUCUAAAUAAUUCAAUUAGCUUAACGUGAUCACUUGGAGCCCAGGGGAUCACAUAAAGUGAAUUGAGUUAAAGAAUGGAGAAGCUACGGAAUGUAUGUAAAGCAGCGAAGAUGAAGUAACUACCAUGCAAAUGUGACUUACUAAGAUGUCAAGUGUACAUUUAAAAGCAAAUGAAAAGUUCAAAAUUGCUAGCUCGCAAGAGAGAAAUAGGGAAAGUACCUCAUUCCUUUGCUUCUUCUCAUGGUUGCAGAAAGCAAGGCUCAUAUCGAAGUCAUGCUGAACAGUCUUCCUGCCACAUUAGAAACCCAAAAUAGUAUAUCAACAAAAUAAUAUCCGUUAAUAAGGGUCACCGCUCACCAAAAUAAUACAAUUUCUUUACAGGAUCAAACAGGCAAUCAAUAGAAGCAGCAUGCAUAAUGAUGAAAAGAACAGUACAAACCUUAGCAUUCAGCUCCAGAAAGUAUUUUAGAUAAAAUUGGAUUUGAGAUAAUCAAAUACAGCAUCUGACCCAGCAAACAGUAUCUUAUUAAUGAAAUGUUAUUUAAGAAUAAUCAUGCAUCACGACUUCCAUCUUUUGCAAGAUUGUGGCAGUUUUGUUUUUAAAUCACUUGAUUGCUCUUCCUUAAGGAUCUAGGAUCAGAGUAGAGUAUUUGGCCUCAUUGAUUGGCACUUGGAUUCUGAUGUCACUUGUGAUAUCAUGGUGGAGCAGAACAAUGAUUGGAGGAGAGAUAAAGAUUGAAUGGAAGAUGUUCUAUCAGUUCAUGCAUGAUUGAAGAAACGUAGCAGAUUCUAUAAGAAGAAAAAAGGUUUCGUGUAAAUCUGAACACAAUACAAUAAAUUAAGUUUCACCAGUCUUACUGUUGUGAGAUUGGAGCUGGAAAAUUUUGAUAGUGACCGCUAGCAUCAACAAAAGAUCCAUAGUGAUGCUGGCGUUGUUGGUUAAGUUGGAGAUGCAGUUCCGCGACCUUCUUUUUCAACCUUGCAACAUCUGCUUCAGCUAGGGCAAUCUCCUCAAGUUCUGCCCGUGUCUUUUAGAUAUAUAAAACAAGAGGUCAUGUAUGAUGUAUCCAUUACACCAGUAAUAGAAUUCAUAGGAGCCACAAGAUACAUACCUUCGAAUCCAUAGCACGUGAGUUUGAAAACUGUUCAGAAGACAUGCUCAGCCCAACCUCUAAUGCAGCUCUAAGAUCCCUCUCAGCUUGCAACUGCUCUUGCAAUCUAGAGACCUACACAAGUAGCCAAUAGAGAGUAUUAGACGUUUUUCCAGAUAGUUCAAUCCCACAAGUGCACGCUACACCUAGUAUCUCAACAUAUUUGGCAUGUGCAAAUAAAAUUAACUUCCUGAACGGAAAAUUAGAACUUCGUUGGCACAGCUGAAGCUUCUAUAACACUAGUGCUGUAUGAAUGGAGCUAUUCAAAGAAGCAUUAAUAUUUUUCCUAUCAAAUUCUCCUUUAUACUUUCUUCUCAUGGCAAGAGCAGAAAUUUCACUUUGGAGCUUUUGCUUUUGAGACCGGUAAGCUCAAUUUAUCUUCCUAUCACAACAAAAGCUCCAAAUAAUUUAUUAGCUAGAAGCUUCAGUUUUCUGGAAAAGAGAAGUGUUCCAGAACCAGGCCAGGCAUUUAAUCUAUUGUGAUUUUCACCCACAUCAUGUACAGUUCAGUCAUCUCAUCAGUUUGGUGAACCAAGAAUAGCCAAAGGCUAAUGUGGAGGGUCACUGGUCACAUAACUAAGAGUGCAAAGCACAGCAUCUCUAAAUAUAACAAUAAAUAUUAAACUUAUCUAGUUAAUGUCUAUGUUACAGAUUAAGAAAGCAUAUGAAGCUAAAAUGCUCAAUAUGCCGAGAUAAAUAAGGACAUGACCAUCAAUGUAUAGCCAGAAAGCUAAUAGCCUAUCAAUGGUGCACAAGUAAGGGGUAAAAGAAAAAUGCAUACAUCUUGUUCUAGAGCUAAACGACGCUCAUGCAAGGCCUGUUUUCUUCUUUCCAAACUAGCUUGGAGAAUAGCAUUCCCUUUGGCCUGAGAAAAGUAAUUUCCAUCUCAUGUUAAAUGUUUCAGUUAUUUUAUCACCUUAAGAAAAGAUAAUCUCGCAAAUAAAAUAUUGUUUUAUACCUCCUUAGCAAUCCUAAUCUGGAGAUCAUUCUUUGUCAUCUCGAGCCUAUGAAUAGCAAGCCUGAAAAAGAAGUACAGUCUGAGAAACGGCAUAAAUUAAACUAUUUCAACAGUAAAUCAUUAAGUUCCAAUGAGUGCUUCACCAUCCCAAGUCGUAAGAAAAUUAAAUCCAUAAUUCAACAGUCCUUUGAAGAAAUUAGGAGGAGAGUAAAUUGUUUUUUUUCCCCCUAGGAAUUAGACUACUCCCUUGUACAAUCAUAAAAUUUGCGCGAGUUAUCAGACUUUAGAGGAAGACAAAGACAGUGAAGAUCAGAAAUCCAUAAGAUUAUCCAACAGGUUGGAUAGAAUUCAAGAUAAUGAUGCAUAUUUCAGGAAAGCACACUAAAUGAAACUCGAAAAGAACUUACUCUUCUUCACCAGAUGAAUCAACUGAUUCCAUUGGCUGGUUCUUUCUGGCCUACAAUAUUUCAAAGCAGAAUCAACACCAGAAAGCUUUAAAUUAAUUCCAAAAUUGAGUAGCAGACGACUAAUAGAGCCCAUAAUCCAGGAUUAAGAAAAAUGUAACAGAAAAUGAGAGAUUUUAUAAAUAAUAUUUCCAAAUAUAAAGAGGUUCAAAGCUCAAACACAGAAACAUGUCCGUCUAAUUCCAAGAGGAACUAAAAAGAAGAAAAAUACAACUAGAUCAAAUAAAAAGUAAACAAAUAAUCAUAAAAGGACAGUUUUAAAUUAGAAUUAAAAAAUUCACAGUUCAAAUUUACAAUGCAAAGUGAUCCUAAAGUACAUGCCGAUUGACUUACAUUGUUUCGUCCCCAGAAGUUGGUUCGCUUCACUUGUUUGUGCAAUCCAUUUUGUUUACUUGGGUGUCUGUCAACAAAUUUCUCCACUUCAUAAGAUGGGAAAGAAGUUCCAGGAUCCAUAUUAGACAGGAUCUCUCCCAUCGACUGCGGAGUCUCACGGAUCGGUAACCGACUAGGUGUGCCUUUUUCAGUCACUGCCAUUUUGAUGUUAGUUGAACCAAGCUCAUCAAAACGAGCUUGUAGAUCUUGACAUAAAUCUGUCUUCGCAGCUGAAUCUUGAUUAUCUCUAGGUGAUUGGGCAUCUGAGCCAUCAUCGGCAAAAGCCUGGUUUUCAAAUUAGAAAGAUAGAAACAGGAUAAAUGAGCAGGCAGUCAGAAGAGACAAGCUUAUAUGAGGCAGAAAAGCAGCAAACAAAACAAUAUUGAAACAUGUUAUUAAAAAACCAGCAAGCUCGAGUUAGAUAUAAACUAAUAUAAGAAAAAAAAAAGGACCAAGUAACUAAGUUAUUCUACAAGGAAUGUGCAAAAACAUAAUAAAGCAGACCAGAAUCACUAAUCGAAGAAUUUUCUAGUGACAUAUACAUAAUCAACAAGUUAAUCGAAAAGUUAGAUGUCACCAGCAAGGGAAAAGAGUUGGUUCUUAGUAGCUUCAGGUAAACAAGCAUAAAAGCGUGCUGUGCACAAAAGCAAUUGGCCCAUAACUUAAUAAUGUCGCCAAAGACAAUAAAAAAUGCAGUAAGAAAGCCAUAUUUCCCUUAAAUGUACUUGUAGAAGCAUCAAUGUGAAAAUCAAACAUCUAGCACAAUUUGAACUGCAAUCAACCUUCAUCUCUAGAGUAAUGGAAGUAGAUACUACAGAAACAAAAUGAAGCAUCAAGAUAACUACAAAGACAUCACAAAGUUGAAAAGCUGUAAACAACAUGAAAAGAAAACCUUAUAGUCAUAGAGAUCACUGCCAUCAUAUCCACUGCUUUCACUUAGUUUUCCACUAAGAACACGUUCAUCAUUCACUUCCAGAUCUACAUUUUCUGCAUCAUGAUAUCCAUUUUCCUUCACAUCUGUAUUUUCAUCAUCUACGGAAUCUUCACUGCCACUCUCUUCAACUUGAGAGUCCGGAGACGUAGAGCCUCUAUGAAGAUUAUCAUCCUGGAAAGGGGAAGAUUUUUUUUUUUAAAAAAAAACAGUGGCAAUAAUAGCACAACUUGAAUAAAAGAUGCAGGAAGACUGUUAAAUAUGGCUUGGACAAUUUCAAAGAAGAACAAAUUAGGAUUCGAAAGAUUAUGUCUACUUUCACUGCAAAUGUAUAGAAAGACUACUAACUAUAUCACAUCAAAGAAAAAAGGGAUUACAACUGUGAGCCUGUAGAAUUAUAAGACAGGUUCUGUUAAAUUAUACAAUAUUUUAAAAAACAGGUUCUAUUCAGGUUCUGUCAACCUAUAUAAGACAGAGAAGCUUCUUGUGAUUUGGUACAAAAAAUUAAAAUCUCAAGCUGUUCAGUCUAAGAUAAGUCAUAUAAUCCAUUUAACCAACCAAAUAUCACUUUUGAGACUAAAAGAUAUCAACAAAUACAAAAAUAAGAUAUAAAAAAUCAACCCUCGAAGUUGGCAAGAAUCUUACGUCGAAUAUAUUCUCAUAUUCCUCCAAGAGGGUCGUGAUAAUUGCUUGCGCAUUAUUAGCAGCAGCUGCUGCAGCAAGAAGCUGAGCAGCAUUAUCACCAUUCAUAUCGAAUUCAUCCUCCAUUUCACAUUCACCAGCCAAAAGCGGCCGCAACAAAAGAGGGGCCAUGCAAGUAGCAACAGCUGACGGACCCAUUCGAUUCUCUGUAGCAUGAGAAGUAAUAAUGUGCAUCAUCUUCAAAACCCUGAGAUUCAAACACACUAAGUGGUUAAGAAAUAAUAUUAAGAUUUUAAAAAACUAAAUUGACCAACCAACCAGAAAAUGUUAAAUAACCAACAGCUAAUUCGAACUUUACUGAAAAUCGUUAGUUACUUCCUUAUAUCACCAGAUUAAAACUACCAUCUGCUUAAAUUAAACAAGCAAACCACGCAAUCUACUGAUAACAGCAUGAUAUUUAAAACUUCCAGUAAGCAAAUUUAACAGGAAUUAAUCGUGGUGGUAAACUUAAUAACAAUCACAGUGAGCUACAUGGAAAUACCACAUCCUUCAACAACUAAAUCCUUGAAAAGAAAAAAUCUUCAAUAUUUGUUCAAUUAGCAUGUCAGAGAACAGAAGCAGCAUCUUAACCAAAGACUUAAAUGCUCAUCGGCAUGGGCCGUAUCUACCGUGCCGUAUCAUGCCAAAAAGAUAUCGGCACAUACAGUCCUCAUGCCGAUGGUACAGCUCAAAACCCUCUAUUCUUCAAAUUAAUAAGUAAUUUUAUCAACAAAGUUCAAAAAAAUUGAUAAAGAUACAAAAUAAAUUGUUAAACUAUUUUGUUGCUAAAGAAUAUAAAUAUUUCAUGCCAUUAUGUGUCGGCACAUAUAUUUUUUGUGACUGGCACACAUCGGCACGCACCGUGCUUGCAAGUUUCCAGCACGACCCCGUGUCACCAAGGAUUUAAGUAUCGUGGCAUGGGAUCGUGCCGGAAACUUGCUGGCACUGUACGGCACGGUGCGUGCUAGGCCGUGCUGAUACGUGCUGUUCACAAAAAAUAUAUGUGUGCUGACAAGUAAUAGCAUGAAAUAUUUAUUUUCUUUAGCAACAAAAUAUGCAAAUUAUUUGUUAUGCAUUUUUAUCAAAUCUUUUGAACUUCAUUGAAAAAAUUACUUACUAAUUUCAAGAAUAGAGGGUUUUAAGUUGUGUCAUCGACACGGAAACAAUAUCGUGCCGAUAUCUUGCUUGCACGAUAUGGCACGGUGGAUACAACCCGUGUCUAUGGGCAUUUUAAUCCUUGCAUGUCAUGGCACUCAAAUCCAUGAUCUUAACACGAUUUCAAUGUAGCAAGUAAUGCACUAUACUAGAAUAACUAAGUUUAGGUCUAGACAGAGGAUGCAUAUGGAUAAGUGGGACUCAUCAUACAGAUGAACUAUCAAAAAUGCCGGCAUAUUGAGAGCAUUGCCACUUUUGUUUUGCACAGAGAAUGUUCAGUAAUCAAUACCAUGAAUAGUUUUAACGGCUUCUAGAUAUACAAGAAUAUAGAUAUAACAUAGAAUUGGAAAUAGUACAACAGAUAUUACUAUAACAGAAAUUUACAGAUAAAUUCUAUCAGAAAGGCAAGGUGGGAGAUAACCUCUGCAACAGCCGUCUAUUUGGUUCUGGAAAUGCCUCUGACAUUGCAGUCCGCAUAGCAUCAAUGCGAGCUUCCUUCUUUUCCAGUUCUUAACAGGAAAUUUUACAGGAAAAUAAGAUAAUUAUAAGGAAAUGAAUCAACAUGUAUCUAAUCAAAAUAUUAUGGUAAAAUAAGCUUCCUUCCGGGCCAAAUUUGGUUGGGAGAUAAAACUGGUUGUGUUUUAUAACAGGCUAAAUCUGGUUGGGACAUAUCGUAAGAUAUAUGACCUUUUGGGUUUAUUAAAGGCUUAAGAUAUAAAGCUUGUAUCAAAGAACAUGAUAGAGAGAGAAAUUCAUAAAAAAGAAGAAACGCAACCAAGAGAACUUAUAUGACCUUUCUGGAAGAGCAGAAGAGAUGUACUUACUAUAAGCUUCCAGUAAUGCAGUACAGCAGGAAGCAGGAACUGGAGAAGAUGGUAGCUCCCGAAGAACAUGCUAGACAAACAAUUUCAUAGGGUCCCAAAAUUUUAAAAAAACUCAACUAAGCUUGAAUGAAAUAAUCAGCAAACUAGGUACUCAUCAAUGCAAGGAGGGGGGGGGGGGGGGGGGGGUGGAACCUUAACACAGUCACCAACAACAUGAGCAUCUUCAUCUGCUGUGAACUCAAUCCUACCUGUUAAUUGAUUUAAAAGAAAGCAUGCCUAUAACCAAAAGGAUCACAUUUGGACAGAUUUCUCAUCCUAUAAACAUACUUUUGAGAGAUCAAAUGAGGUCACAAGCCACUGUUGUCUAUAAACUACAGUCAAAAUAAUGCAGAUAAAAGUAGAGUCCACAGAAUAGAAAGAUUUGAAACCUUGCUCAUACUCUUGCACUCUCCGAUCAACUUCCUCAACAUCAGCUGACUGACGCAAUAUUCCUUCUACCUUUGUUCCUGUAGCAGAAUGUUCACGCAACUAAUAGUUUACUUCCAUAAAUCCACCCAAAAUGGUUCGGCUAAAAAAAUAUUGCUCCAUGCACAUCUUAGGAAUUGAAUAUAUUUAAUGAAAGACAACUAGAAAGCAUAACCACUAAAUUUUUAGCAGGCAGUUCAACAAUAACUGCGAAUGAUACUACGAAAAAGAAAAUUAAAAGCAGCACACGUGAGAAGUAAAUAGUAUAAACAGGUUGUAGCACUUGUUGGCUAUGACUAAUAUGAAAAUUCAGGAGUAUCAGGAUAACAAAAACAUGCUAACUUGGAUUGCUGGGAUUGCAAAGCUGAAGAUUACUAAAUUUUUGCAUGUUUUAUGUGCACUAUAGAAACACCUUAGUCUUUAUGUCAAACUCUUCCAACCAAAGUUGGCGUACAAAGAUAAAAAAACACCUCAUUAGUAUACAGGGAAUCCUAUAGUUUGCAACAACAAUUAAUAUCAGGUAAACUAGUAGGACACCCUAGCCAAAUGAAUCAAGUAAUUAGGCCAUACCAUAUUUCUCCAGGAAACGCAAAGCUUUUUCGAGAAAAGAAGGGCCUCCAUCGAUGUCCUCGAGUGCAAGGAGAAUCGGCCUACCAACAACCAAUGAUUUGAUAGGGCGCUUGCCCCUCCCUAUAUAAGAUAGAGAAUUACCAAACACGAAACUUUUAUGACUCAAAGAUAACAACAGCUAGAAACCAGCUUUAUUCAUAUUAUAAGUUCAAUGAAGCAUGAUCUUCUUGCGGAAAGGAAUGAAGAGGAACGAACAUUCUUGAAUGGAUCCUUCAAAUGCAUCUGUAUUCUCAUUACGAAAUAUUCCAUUGUGUCCCAUGACAAGAGCAGCAUUUGGAGCUUGCACAAGAGCAUUUUCUAGUGCAGUUUUCCAUUCAAACAAGUCUUCAGAUGAUUCUGCCUGCAAAGGAAAUGAAGAAGAAAAUGUAUGGUCGAAGUACAUUAUGCACAUGACACAUACAUAUAAAUAAAGCAAUCAACUUUUCUGUCCAUCUGCAAUUGACCAAAAACUGUAUAGUAUAACUAAAAGAAACACCUUAAGAGUGAAUGCUCGCCCAUCACGACCAUCUGGAAAUAACACAGUCAACAACUUCUUAUCUUCCCUAACCACCACACUGCAAACAAAGGACAUAUAAACACCCUUCAGAAUAGUAUACAACAUAACCCUUACAGAAUGACAUUCAUGCAGAAACUUGAACAAGUAUAAUGAGAGAUAUACCUUCCUGAAUUAUUCAAGUCAAUGCCCCCCAAAGUAAGAUUCACUUCACCACCUCUCUGGGGCAGUGCACUCUAAAAUAUGAAAAGGUAUUUGUAAGAAGUUUCUAAUUUCUCAUGUGAAGAAAAUCAUGCACUCUAAAAGUAUAGAGAGACUAUAUAGAAUUGGAUCUCAAUUAACCAAAUAUAGCGAAUACUUGAUUUAAAUUCAAAAAAAAGAAAAAAACAAGAGGGCCAAACAAUUUCUUUCGAAGCAGGAAAGAAGAAUAAUAUGAGCUUAUUUCAGCUGUGACUCCAAAACAGAAGAUUUAAAGAGAAUCAACAGAAGAAACAAACAAGAAAAGGAAAAGAGAAGAAAGUAAUAAGUUGAAUUCCCUCUGUAUAACUUUUUAAUUCUCAAAAUAGAUCAAGAAAACAUUCAAUUCUCCAUUUCUCACUACCCAUAUAUAGAAAAUGAUAAAAAAAGUCUAAUUAGCCAAGAUUAAGACAUCUAAACAAUACAAAGACUUCUACCAUCACAAUUAUAUUGUUUUUACACAGCAUAAGUAAAUCAAAGAAAAUUACAGUCCGUUUUUCAUGUUUGAGUUCCCACACUAGAAAAUUAUUAAUUAUCAUACACACAUUAUUUGGCGAAUACUAUAAAAAGUAAAUCAUUUACAAAGUUUUAAUGAGCAUAAAAUAAGAACUGGAUUUGUGAAAUAUAGCAUUGACUUUACGAACACUAACAGGAUCACUCUUGAAGAAGACUAAGGAUGUACGCGUGAGGAUGAACCAGCGCUUCUUCCAUGAUUUCCAACCAAUUCCUGCAAAAUAUAUGAACAAAGGCUGAUUGAAGUUAAAAACAAAGAGGAAGUCUUGUAUAGGGAUUAGAUUAUAGAAACAUGUAAAAGAAUGAAAGGUAAUAUAUUAUGAGGAGACAAUAUUGAUAACAUGCACAAGAAUAGAGUUGGAUUUCCCAUACUCGAAGUUUCUAUAAAUGAGUUCCAAUUUUGUAUUGACUCCACCUUCUUUGGGUUUUGGUUUUGACAUUUCCAGUAGUGUUGGCCAUUUCAAGUUUUAAUUUCAGAUAUAGUUCAAAAGUGUCCAAAGUACUCAAAGAUCAAUAAGCAUAUUAUCUUUGAAAUAAUUAAAUCUGAUAUGACAACUGACAGCAUUGCAGAGUGCAGUGAUGUUUCAUGUUAUUUCUACGAAAAGGGUAGCCAAAUUGUGUGUUAUCAUCUAUGAUAGAAACAAGUACAACUAAAACAAAUAGUAUGAACUGUGCAGGGAUCAACCAAAUUUGGCACAAUUAAACUUGAACAUAUUAAAUCUUGCUAGGCUCCACAUGGUACACAGCUCUCUAUGGAAAGUUGGAAAAUUUGUCAGCAGACUUACAUAAUGUAAAUCUCUAACUUGGACUUUCACUUAUUCACAAUAGAAUGACAUGAAUGAGUCGCAUAUGUAAAAAAGUAAAACUCUCAUAUUUUCAUGAAAGUAUAGAACCACUAAACCAAAAAAAAACUGAAAAUAAGUUGUGAACUUAGCAGAUAAAAGGUAAGAUUCAAGAAAAAAAUUUGAGAUCUCCGCUAAUCUAAACUCAGGAAAUAAACAUAUCAACAGGCGCUACAGUAUUUUAAACUAGCAUUGCCAAAUUCUGUUUCUUUACAGCAGUUUUUCAUAACUGUAUAAUUGAGAAGUGUUGAAGAAUUCAAAAGUUUACAAUGGCUUCUUUUAGCACCUCAAAAUUCUUGAAAAACAUCACAGAGACAUAAACAAGUGUUCUAUUGCCUAUCUGAUUGGUAAAACCUAGCUUAACAAUGAAAGCUCUUUUGUGUUUCAGUUAAACAUCAUGCUUAAAUGCACAAACAUGCAUCUUGAAAUAGUGAAUGCAUCUGUUCUUUCCGUAAAGAAAAGCAAGUAACAAACCUUUCGAUGAUAUGAAAAGGGGUCCACUCUUGAACACCUGUAGAAGAAGUUCAAAGAUGGAAAAACCAGAAACAAAAUAAAUAUGCAGUUGUCAAAAAAGGCAAACAUGCAAGAACAUGCAAAACUAGCAUAGUUUUCCUCUUAAAUAAAGCAUACCCCCUCUAUUCUCUAGCUUUUUGUUUCAUAAACCAACAAAAGAAUCCCCUCAACAAUAUGAGUCGUCGUUGCCUAAGCUUACAUUCAAAAUGAAUUUUGUAGGAAAAUAGACCAUCAAGGAAGCAUUAGUUUGUAAUUUUAUACAUCGGAAUGGUGCUCCGGAUUACUUUGAGGUGUACCAUCGUGAAGUCUAUAAGAUUACGUAAUUUAAUUAAAAAAAAAAGAGAUAAACAAAAUAAAGAGUUACCAACAUACAUGUGUAAGUGCUAUAUAAAUGGCAAUUCACAGAAAUUAAUGAGCUAGAUCUGGUAGAUCUUAUAGGCGAAUAAGACAAAUCCUGAACACGUAAACAUACUACACGAUGCACUAGCACACUGCAGCGCACACUAGAAUGAACAGUGUGAUGGUGAAUCGCCCUUUAGAAUAUGUUGGCAAUUCGGUGCCAUUGUGUGCAUAUUGCAGUACAAAUGCGUUCCUUACAUUAAAAUAACAGCUGGAGUAGAAAAAACCCAGCUGCAUUACUCAAUCUAUAGCUCCACAUUUUGCAAUUUCAUUUUCUGCUCGCAUUGAAUUGCAAUUCUCAACCUCCCUCACGAAAAAUUCCGCAUUUCGCAAAAAAAUCCCUCUUUUGCAAGCAAAAUAUACUGAAUCGCCCCAAAAGAAGGCUCUUUUAAAAGCAAAAUCACCACCUCCACAACCUCGAACACUAGAAUAUACACUCCUUCAAUACCCCAAAAAUGCAGUAGACGCGAAUUCUCUCAGUCACAGAACCACAACAGAUAACAAACAAAAUGCUAAAGACCAAAAAUGCUAGAGACCACAUCUUUAUAACCUUCCAAAAUUGAACAAAUUUCAAAUCAGGUGAAACAAAGCAUACAUACGUACCGCAUUCGACGCCGCAGCGGCGCCCAGAGCCGGAGCCGAAGACAUUUCUCGAUCACCGCCGAUCGAAUCAGCUACAUUCCCACCGUCCCCUUCAAAACCCACGAGAGCGUUGGCCGAAGCCGAGGAAUGAAGCAACCCCAAGCUCGAAAGGGACGGAUCGGGUCGCCCCCCCCCCAACCGAUGUCGCGUGCGAUGGGGAUUUGGGUGUUGGGAAUUAGGUUUGGGGUUUUGAAAGCGCCACAGUGAGGAAGGAGAGGAGGAGAGAGAGAGAGCGAGGGAGAGGGUAAUAAAGCAAAGGAUUGGGACGUGGUCUCUCUCUCUCUCUCUCUACACUCCACAGCUGCUUAAAUGGUCCCUCGUUUUGUAAGCUUCUUCAAAAAGCCUCUCCUCUCCCCCCUGUUUACAGCGUGAGUUUUAGAGAGAGAAAACAGUCAUGGAGAUAGAUAGUAGAGAGAGAGAGAGAGAAGACGAAGAAGAAAUCGCCUGCACCCUGUACGUGCGCCGUGAACUAUAUCAAAUUAAUCGCAAUUUGAUUGGUUGAUUUAUUUAUUCAUCAUUCUAUAGGAUUCGAUUUUUUGAAUUCAAAUGCGCGCAAUGUUCGGAUACACCGGGCGUAGGGAAAAUUUCUCUCCCGAGCCGGAGAAUUAGGUGGGUUGGUGAAAGAGAGGCGGUAANUUUUUUUUUUUUUUUUUUUUUUUUUUUGGGAUCUGCUUUUGUUGGUGGAAGCUCAACUGCUACAGUGUGAUUGCAGAUAGUGGGAGAAGCUCAAACAAAAAACGACUGCUUUUAUUUCCCUUUCGAUUCGAAUCUUUCCCUUUCUUAAGAAAAGAUGAAAAUUGGAUAGAAAUUUUUAGCUGAGAUCUACUUUGGUUGGCACCUCAGAAAUUUUUAAACUCUCAACAUUAUGCGCCACGUCAGCGGAGCAUCGCUAUGCUUACCCAGAGUCUCCCCAGCAAUUCUUCUUGUAAAUUUUUCUCUACCGUCAAAUUUUUACAGACUCUACUCUCCGAAGCAUCUCCAUAAUUUUCUCAACGGUUUCAUUUAAAAUAUUUUAUCGAAAGUUUUAAAAUAUACUUUUGUUGUUUUAGCAUCCGAAGUGUCAUUUUAACUUUUUUACUUUACAUUAUAAAUGUUUUUGAAAGUUCCCAAGUCGAUUAAAUUAGAAAUAAAAAGCGAACAAAACAAACCUUUAGUCCCAAUGCCUAACGCGGUUGACUUAAUUAGAAAGUAGAUUAGAUGGCCUGUCAAUAACUUUCGCAAAAAUUUCCUCAAUCUUAAUGAAAAAGAUAAUAUUGAGAAAUAUUAAUUAGGUCAGGAGUUGUUAAGGGAGCUUGUCAAGCUAAUCAAUUAAUCCUUUAUCUUAAUUAGCUUGUUUGUUGUUAAUUAAGAAACUUUUAGGCAAAAGAGAGUAGAAUAUAGAAAGUAAUCCUUUCUACUUUUUUAUGGAAAAGGUGGAGAUGCUUGGUACUUCAUUUUCUCACUUUGGUUGCUGUUUUUGUAUCCUUUAAUAUGCGCCUUGGUUUAAAAUUUUAUUAUCAAGACUUUUAAAUUUAAACGUACCAAUUUUAGUUCAUUAAAUGUGUUUUCGCGACACUAAAUAUGUCUAUUUUGAAAACCAGUAAUUUUUCGACAUCUUAUCAUAUCUAAGUAUUCAUUAGAAAUUCAGCAGUAUUUUUCCUCAAAUACUUAAUGCUUGGAUCGUAAUUAAGUUUUCAAAACUUAUAAUUUUGUUUUUAAAAAGCUUAAGUUAUUAGAAAGAUAUCAUUAAUUUAAUUAAAGCGUACAAAAAUAUUGUCCAUGAUUCUCGAUUGUGAUUCAAUCCAAUUCAGUCUCCUGUCAUUUCGGAUCCAAUCUUCUGUUGUUUUGAACAUAAUUCGAUUCAAAUUGACUUCUCAUCACGAGGCAGAAUGCUGCUCCUUUUAAGUCGACAAUAUACGCUUUAAUAUUGUGGAUUAUAUUUAUUAUUAUAACACCAUAUAUAAUAAUCAAAUAUUGAAAAAGCUGCAAUUAAUAUAUAUCGGACAAGAACUUUAUAUUAUAUCAAUCUUAUUUAGUUACGUAAAAUGACGAAGAAUCUAGUGAAAAGUAAAAUAUCAACUUCAUAUUAAAUGAUAUAAAACAAAAAAUGCGGCUCUUUGUUUUGUGCCAUAUGAAAACAUUCGAUAGAAUGUUAAUAUUUUACUUUUCACUAGAUUCUUCGUCAUUUUANUUUGUUAGGAUUCAAGACAGGGCUGUGCACGGAAACAAAAUUAAAAAAAAAAGGGACAAACAUAGAAAAUGCAGUAUUCUAUAUUCCGAAAAAAAAAAAAAAACUACUAUUAAAGAAAGUUGCAUAUUUUUAUGUUAAUUUAGAACUAUAUUUAGGUGCAAUGUAUAUGCGUAGAAAAAGUAAAAAGUACAGGGAUGAACUUGUAAUAAGGAAAAAUUAUAGGGACUAUCCAUAUAUUUACUCAGCUUCGUACUUUUGUUGUCGAUGAACCAUUUGGUCGGCUCAUUUGGCGUUAUUAACUGUCCAAGUUUAGUUUUUUGUCCAAUUGUGCAAGACCCCGGCCAUUAUAGAUGAGGGAAGGGGCACUUGGAGAUCACGUGACAAAGAUGGGGCCCACGUGUGUUUGUUGUGUGAUUAAGACCCUAAACCCUAAAUCCUGAACGUGACGUCCCCGAUCAAUAAAAUUAUUUUUUUUAAAUUCAUUGAUGCAAUUAUAAUUAAUAAAAAAAUAUUUUAAUUAUAUUAUUUUUUUCUUAAGAGAAAAUAUAUGAUCGACUUAUUGUUACCUAAGUGUGAUAUUAUAGACAUUCUCUGAUUGCAGAGAGUGUACAUGUGACCUACGGAUUUAACUGCAGAAGAUGCUUCACAACUAUGCGAGUGAAACUGCUCGCACCCAGAUUUUUUUUUUUUAAAAAAAAAACCUUCUCCCUGAGCCCUCAUUGAUUUAAUUUAUCGUACGAAGAUAUAUACGCUCAUUACUGACUCAGUUGUCACACCUUUGUCCAGGUACCUAGCUAAUAAUUGAAUAACAAUGGCUUUAAGAUGAUUUAAUAGUUUAAUCAAGUAGCAGUCACAUCACUAAUUCACUUAAAACAAGUAAUUAGAGCUUGAAGAGUCACUUGAUUGAAACAGAAAUUAAAGAUUAAUGCCUUUAUUAAUUGUUAGCGCUUAAUAUGUAAAGCAAUUCAGAUAAAAUGAAUUGGUCUUUUUCUUAAUUUUUUGGAUCAGAAGUUUUUAUCUCGAAACUAAGUGGAUUCCACUUAUUAUAGUAACAAGCUUAUCAUACAUGCACUACGAACCAUGCAUGUUGGUUUUUUUGGCUAUGCUUUUAUUUGUGUUACAUUUAGUUAGUUCCAGAAGAGCAUAUAACUGGUAAUCAAAUAUUACCACAAUUCUUAGCAAAGAGUCUAGCAAUUUGCAGCUGGGUACUGGCAAUGAUCUCAGUUCUCUUCAAAUCCAUCUCUCCUCGCUUCGCCUCCGCCUCGGCCCUGAUCAUCUCUACUUCCCUCAUCGCCUCCAUUCUCGCAUGCUCCACCUUCAGCACGACCUCCGCGAAGUACUGUAUGCUCCGUAUCACCUCCGACAUCACGUCUUUUUGCUCUUUUCUCCUCUUCCUCUUUCUAUUGUUUUUCGCCGUUUCGCGCUUUUCGCGUGAUCCAUCAUCAUUCGAUUGUGUACUAUUGCCCUGCACCUCCUUGUUGUUAGUGGCCUCAUUUCCGUUUUCCUUGGCCGGUGUGUCUCCACAUUCACCCUGCUGUUAAGGGGAAAGUUACGUACUAAAUUACACACAUCCAAAUAUUUUGAUGUAACUUUUGCAAUCGGGGCAUGCUAAGAAACUAGAACUAAAUCUUUGUGUGCAAAAAUUUUCUAUGAAACUAACGGCUCCAGUAUAUCAUAUCCUACUUUUGAUGAACAAGGAGAUCAUUUUGAUUGCAAAAAAAUUACAUUAUACUCUCAUCUAUUGGCUGGAUCCUACAAUUUAACACAAUGAUAUAAUUAUAAAACAUUUGCAAAUCAAUGAAAGUACAUAUAGAAUACAGCUAACUAUCAGUAAAUACGUACAAAUAUGAAAAAUUAUGCAAAACUUCGAAUCUUCUCGCCACAGUGAUAUCAAAAUUCGUGAUUUUUUUAAUUCACUAAAGUAUUAUAUGAAAAAUAAUUGUAGCUAAAAGUAAAAGCAGCAUUAAAAUAGAUUGCGAAACUCAGCAGGGUCUUGUAUUAACCCGACAUGGCUCGGCCCUUAUCUGAAUUUGUAACUGUAUCGCGCCGUGCUGUACCGUACUGUAUGAUUAAAUUCACACGAGAACGCGAUGUUGAACAACGCACCUCUACUAUUACGGCGUCCCCGUCGGCCUUCGGCAGUGACACCUCACCAGCUGGCGCUACUGCCGCCGCAGCCGACUGCUCAUGUUGCUCCUCAGACUCGAGGCCGAUCAUCGCCUCCGCCGCAGCGCCGACCCCCCGACACCGGACCAAACCGUCCAGCCGGUGAAACAAGGGCCACUUGGACCCCCCGACCACCGCGGGUCUCACCGCCGCCUCCGAGCGAUACCGCUUCUUCAUCGACUCCACCUUGUUCUUGCACUGCGUGGCCGUCUUCGGCCCCUUGCAACUCCGAUCCCCGGCGCGGCACGACACGGCGCGCGCCACGUCCUCCCAGUCGUGGCCCUUCAGCUUGGCCCGGUUCCGGAGCGCCCAUUUCGCCUCGUACGCGUCCAGCAGCGCCGCCACCGCCGCGUCGCUCCACUCGUCCCUCUUCCCCGGCCGUGCCGCCAACUCCUCUUUAUUAUUAUUAUUAUUAUUAUUACUACUACUACUAAUCCACAACAACUCUUUUUCCUCCUUUGCUCUACUCCCCUUCUCUUCCAUUAUUAUUCAAUUCUCUCCAUUAGUUAUUUACAUUUACAUUUUAUUUUUUUCUUUUUGUUGGAGGUCGUAGUAGUAGUGGUGGUGGUGGUGGUGACCGGUUCAUCAAUAACAUUAUUAUUAUUAUUAUUAUUAUUAUUAUUAUUAUUAUUAUUAUUGGCAUGCGUCGUCACGGGCAUCAUCGAGCUUUUAGUUUGGUAACUUUUUUGAGGGUGUUGUUUUAGCCGUGAAAUAUGCGGUUAGUUGUGACUUGUGAGUGGGCUCGUGGUGGGUGCGGUGUCAGGCGUGCCCAUUUGGCCGUUAGCGUGGAAACAAUGAGAAAGUAUAUAUUCCCCGUUCUAUCGAGUAAUAGUGUUUUUUUUUUUUUUUUUUUUUUUGAAAAAAGAUAACUCACCAUCCGCUUUAUUUAUUACAAUAAUAAAUUAGACUACAUGAGUGAGACAACGUGAGUAUCGAGAGUAUAAAACAUAAAACUUAGGGAAAAUAAAAAUCGUCAACGGCUUAGUUGAGAGUUGCUUUCAAAACUUCGUAAACUACUUCACCUGCACGGCUGCAUAUAUGAUCUGCGCAUAUAAUAGCACAAUUGGAUAAGAAUUUAAUAGUUAGUAUAUCAAAUUUUAAAUUUUAAAUUUAAUUAUUUUAUAUUUUUGUUUAAAUUUAUUUUACAAAUGACGGAAUUUUCUUUAGGAAAAAAAGAUUGUAGAGAUUUAAAUAAAAAAAUUAUCUGAUAAUUUUAGAUUAAACAAGCAUUUAAACAUUUUUGUUCAAUAUUUAAAGAAUACUAAUUUUAUAUAGUUUAUUACAUCGGCCCAAAAAUUCCCUUUUCACUUGUCAAAAUUGAUUAGUUUGCAAUGUAGAAUUUUUCAAUCGAAAUCUUAGAAGCAGAAAAUGUUUAAAUUUUUAUUUUUCUUGUUACCAAAUUUUUUUUAAAAAAAAACAUUAUAAGCGGUCGACGUUUCCUUUCUUAACUGUUUUAUUUAUAAAUCUAUCUAAAAAUAAUUAAAAAAUAGCAAUAAUGACAAAGGAUGCUUAAUUUAUUACCAAAUUCCUAUAGCUCAAGAGUGUUAUAUAACUAUUUGCCAAUAGAUCAACUGCGUAUAAAAAUCAUUUUUAAAAAUUUUGAAAAAAUGGAUACAUUUUAAAAAUUGUUUAGAAAAUAUUGUAAGGAUUAUUUGCUCUAAUACAGCUUGCUAUGCACCCUAGAAUCUAAAAUACUAUAAUCGAAAGAAAAAAAAAAUAACUAAAUUAAUAUUUUAUUAAUCAAAACACCUAAUACAACCCGUCUAUUAUUGAAGAAGCUCCCUAAUUAACCCCAGCUUCAUUAAUUCUGCUUGGCUAUAUAUAUAUGACUACACAUAUGGCCGUAAUCUACUCAAAAUUUUAAAAAUUAAUACAAGUUUAUAAACCAACUAAUCGUAUCAUUGUAUAAUUCAACUUCAAAUGAAGUCAUUUCUAUAUAAAAUAUAGAAUCCAGCUACUAUUCUUUUAGGAGGAGCGUAGGCCUUCGUCCUUUUAAGUUGUUUUAGAUAAUAGGGAUUCCGAUUCGAUGAUUGGAAUCAUUAAAGUUAUUUUAGAGUAUUUAAAGUAUUUAGAAACCAAAUUUUAUAGGUUUUAAAAAUUAUUUACAUAGUGAUCAAAUGAUUAAAAAAUUGACAGCUUUUGAUAGUCUGUUUGAGCAGUUUGUUUGUUUAACGGUGUAGAGCAAUCCAAACCGCUCCGCUUAAAUUUUUGAUAAAAUUUUUUUUAUACUACUUAUAUAAAGUUUGAUAAUUCUCAUUAUGAAUUGAGAAAAUCUAAUAUCUAUUUUCACAAGGUUAUUUAUUUUUUAUCGUUCAUUUUUUGGCUCUUUGAUGGAUUUGACAGUAACUUUUAAAAUUUAUGAAUUUAGUUUCUAAACACUUUAAAUACUUUAGAUCAACUUUAAUGGUUUCAAUUAUCGAUUCGAAAUUUUUACCAUCUAAAACGACUUUGGAGGACCUCCGUUCUCUUAAAAGUAUAAUAACUAAACUCAUAAAAUAUAUAUCUCUAAUCAAAUAUUGAAUUAAGGCUUAGUUUGGUAUUGAGGUCUAUCUAAUGCUAUUAGAUAAAGGCUUAGUUUGGUAUUGAGACCUAUCUAACGCUAUUAGAUAAAAUAGAGUUGUGGAAAAAGCAUAUUGGAAUAUGCUUCUGCGUUCUCCGGUGAGACCGCAGAAAAUAUAUCGUAACUGAUUCAUCGCGAUAUGCGGAACGUAAUAUUACGUACGGAAACUCUAACUAAGUUUGGAUUACUACUUGUAAUAGAAAAACCUGAGAAGAAGAAGCCAUAGAUGGACUUUCUCACCGCACGUAACGCAAUCUCCCUACAAUUUCAAAUAAAGACUAAUUCUAACUAAGUUUGGAUUACUACUUGUAAUAGAAAAACCUGAGAAGAAGAAGCCAUGGAUGGAUUGAGUAGGAAAGUGGGGCGACGGUGGGGUGGCCAGGAAUCAAUAUCUGUGGGUGGGCUAACCACUAGAGGUAGAUGGUGGGAUGGAAGUCAGUGGUGGUUUGAUGUUCAUUUUUCUUUUCCUUUUUCCUUUUUUUCUUUUUUUUUUUUCAGUUGGUUGCCGAAAGUGCGCACCAGAGGAGAGCAUCUAAAUUUGGUCCCCCACAGUCUGUCUUUUCGUUAGAAACUCUCGAGUGGUAAAAAAUUUGAUGGUUGGUAUCCGAAGUUAUUAGUUCGAAUCCUAACUGAUUCAUAUUUUUAAUUAAAUUUAUUUAUAAAUGAAAUAAACGAAGCGAACAGCAUGCUAGUUGGGCUGUCAACGGAUCGAACACGAGCGAGAUUGGCUCAAGAGGUCUCCUCGUGGUUCGGCUUGAGCUCGUGGCGAGUUGGAAAAGCCUAGCUCGUGAUCAAUUAUGAUCGCAUUGUUAAUUUAAUAAGCUAGCUCGUGUUCAGCUCGUUAGUUCGAUUAGUUUACUGAAUCGAGCUAGCUUAUAUAUGGCUCGAAUUAUUUACAAUUUGAAAUUUAAAUCUCAAGUUGAUUAUUUUGAAAAAUAUAUAUUAUUUUUUUUGCACGAAAAAUUUAAAUGAAAAUUUUGUUUUUUGUAUGUGUAAUUGCAUAUAUAAAUAUAAUACAUGUAAAACUUGUAGAUAUACAAUAUAUGAAUUUUAGUUAUAUCGAAUUGAACAUAAUUGAGCAAAUUUCAGCGCGUGUUUAGCUCGUUAAGAUAGCAACCUGAAAAAUUCAACUUAUGUUCAGCUUAUCUAUUAAACGAGCAAUUCAAUUUUGAGCUUACUUCGAACCAAAAUUGACGUGCGAACAGCAAGGUGAAUUGGCAGUCUAUGUAUUAGAAAAGCAGUACUGAUUUGACUUUAAGUAAAGAGCACAAAAAAAAAAAAAUGAAAUAACCUUUUAAUGUUUUGUUGAGCUAUUUAUGUAUUGAACAUGGAAGGUAGUAUUACUCAUGCGCUGAGUCAAAUUUGUUAUGAUAAAAUGAUAGUGUGCUACUAGUUUUUUUAAAAAAAUAAAUUUAAUUGAAGAUAUGAAAUAAUUAAAUUUUGAAUUUAAAAUUUCGAAUACCAAUCCAUCAAGUUUAGAAUAUUGAAGAUGGUAGGAAGUUGUUUAAGUUUAUCAGAAUAUUGAUAAUAAAAUGCAAUAAAUAACUACGUUUCUAACUUAGAAUUUCGAAUACCGAUCAUUAAAUUUUUUACAAUUUGCGUUAGGAAUAUGCCUUUUUUUUUUAUGUGCUCAUAAGAUGCAGAUAAGCAUUUUUGCGUUCCAUCAGUAAUACAACUUGUAGGUUCUGCACAACCCAUCUCCAUGGGAUUGUUGAUUUGUUAACAAACCACUAUAAUACAUGUGGGGAAAAAAAAAAAAAAGAAAAAAAGGAAGCCUCUCUAAAAAGCAACAGUUAAAUUAAUGGGUAAAUUUCAAAUACCAUUUAUAUGAUUUCGCAUUUUCUCACUUUAGUAUUCUGUGAUUUAAAAUAUAUCAAUUUAGUAUCUUGUGGUUUUAUUUUUCUCUUUUCGUCAGUUCUUUCGUUAACAUUUUGUUAAAUUAUAUAUAAAAAACUUUAGAUACCUCACUUAGGUUUAUCGAAUAUUCACUUUACUAAUUUAACAAAAAAAAUGGUAGAUGGAAUAAUAAAAAGAGAAAAAAAAACCACGGGAGUACUAAAUUAAUACACUUUUAACUAUAGAAUAUUAAAAUAAAAAAGUACGAAGGAGUGGUAUUUGAAGUUUUCUCUAAAUUAAUUGCAGGGAGGCUUUAUAAAUUUUGUUCCAAUUAAUGAAUAGGAAAAAUGAUGACGGGCUUUUUUGGGGCCGGGUCUUCGGAUCUAGCCUCCAAAACCCAAAAGUCCAAGAAUUCACUAUUGUAGCCAUUGAUAUGAUUACUUUAAGUUAAUUUCUGACUAUUAUUUUUAGGGUAACAACCCUAACCCCCCAAAAAAAAAGAAAAACUGGAAAAAAAAUCUUUUAAGGUUCCUAGGGUUCGUAGGUUUAACAGGAUGAUUUCAUUGUUGAUGAGAGGCAGGAUCGUUCCAUACACAAAAAUUCUAUAUGCGCAUACCUACCGGAAACUUUUUCGUGCACAAUCUCUAUAAUAGGAGAAGAAGAGAACGUAAAAUUAUGAAAUUAUGAACCGAUUGUUUCAAAGUAGAUGAUGGGAGAGCACACAAAUCAAUCCAACGUUUUCAGCAAAAAUUGUGUUUCUAAGGCACAUUAAAUUUUCCGUCUAGCUAUAAAAUUACCAAAAACCAAGAUAUAUAUAAAUUUUUAAAAAAAGUUCACAUAACUCAAAAGGAGGAUAAAUUCAAAACAAAAAAAUGGGAGUUUGCAGCCAGCACUAGCUCUUGAUAGUACUGACUGUCUUUUGAUCUCAGCGAGCGAGAAAAGACCUUCUUCAUCAUCUUUGAUGUCCAAUGUUGCAUUGUCUGAAACAAGAAGCUAAUUGCUUGGGUGAAAGCAGACUAGGGUAAAAACCUCCAAAUAAGUCCCCGUGAUUAAGAAUGAUCGGAAGUUCUGAUUCAUCGAGAUUGUAGUGAAGCGGCGUUAAGAGUGAUUUCGAAGAAUCCUUGCUAGUAUCAUAGCAGAUCCACUUACUGAGCUUAAAAAUUUUAGGCCGGUGGUUUAGUCCAACGAGUUAUUACAUCAACUGAAAAGAUCGUAGACUCGUUACGACCACCAUUCGUCCGUUGAGAUACAAUGGCCUUCCGGAUGGGGUCAUGUCCAGAUUCUUAGAAACCAUUCGCCCUCGCUCGCUGCGACCUGCUAUGUCACGCACCUCAAGUACACCUGCAGCAGUUUAUUACAUCAACUGAAAAGAUCGUAGACUCAUUACAACCACCAUUCGUCCAUCGAGAUACAAUGGCCUGCCGGAUGGGGUCGUGUCCAGAUUCUUAGAAACCAUUCGCCCUGGCUCGCUGCGACCUGCUAUGUCACGCACCUCAAGUACACCUGCAGCAGCCCACCAGGGACCUACAUGGCUUUGAGAAAAAGAGAGCCUGAAGUGCUUGUAUCUUUUGCUCGAGGGACAAAAGCCUGAAGCGACAAAGUGACUGCACUUUCCAAAGGGAGGAGGAGUGCUUAGAAGUAUUAUCAGAGUCGAUUCACCAGCCGAAAGCAUGUGAUAAGUUUUGGCUGAGCCAGAGUCGAUGAAUGAUAGGGUAAGUCAAAAUGAGAAUGACAAAGGCUAGUGAGAUAAAUCUCACAUCGUCUAGUGAUAAAGGUUAGCAAGAUAAGUUUCACAUCGUCUAGUAAUUUUGAGUUGGACUGUAUAUGUUUAGGACUGACGAAAACGUUAGAACCUAAACAGGAGGGGCCGGUGGUUUGAGCCUAACAAAUUAUUAUUGUUAGUGGGUCGGAUGGUUACAAUGCUAAUUACGUUAUUCUCCUUAUUCUUGCUGUACCCGAGUAGCAGAAUCCCAAGUUUUAGGUCAGCUCCCAUCCGACGAUAAUGAAGAUUACGAUUACGAGAAAGUAUACAUCGCUCACCGCUCUGAACCACAGCUUGGAUACACAGCUGAACCUACCGGCGGCCUUCGUCGACAGCUAUGAAGAAUCUCUUGAAUGAUUUCAUAAGGCAGUUCAUUCCUCUUACUUCUCAUAAAAACUAUUUUCUUAUCCGUGUAGGGGUGAGCUUGUAUUAUAUAUGUUUUUUUUUUUUUGAGAGAGAGAUAGGUAGCACACUACCCGCUUCGUUUAUUUCAUUUAUAAAUAAAUUUAGCUAGAAAUGUAAAUCAACUAGAAUUCGAAUUUGGGACCUCGGAUACCAAUCAUCACGCCCUUUUCACUUGCACUCGGGACGGUCGGUUUGUAAUUUAUAUGUUCGCCUUUGUUUCUAGUUCUGUUUCAAAAAAAAUGUACCAUUUUUUUUUUUUGAAUCCUAUCUUUCUUUUGCUGGGAAACAAAGACAUAAUAUAAUAGGUAAAGGUGUAACCACGUAAUAUUUUUCUUGCAAAAUUUUCGCAGAGCCCCUGAAACAUAUAUGCAUGUGAAUUUAAAAAGAUUUGUUUCGUUUUUUGUUUUUUUUUUUUUUUUUUUCCGGGUGAAUAUGAACUUGGCUAUUGGGAAGUAGAAGGAAAAAAAGAUCCUAAAUUAAUUGAAUCAGAUCUUUCUCCUACCGUGAAAAAAAAAAGACAUAAUAUAGGUAAAGGAUGAGCCAUCAAAAUCAGUAAAUGAGAUCGUACAAAUAAAAAAUAAAAAAUCUUGAUCUUUUCUCUUUGUCAAAAAAUAAUCAAAAGCAGAAUGCUUGAUGUCCGCAAGUAACCACUCAAUUUUUUUUUUCUCUCUUUUUGUAAAGGCCCUAAAACAUACAUGCACGUGAAUAUAAAUAAGAGAGUCGUGAACUCGUGAUCACUAAAAAAUUAUAUAAAUAUAGAGAGUAGGGCUACUAUACUUUUAUGAGUAUUGGAGCCUUCGUACUCAUAAAUUAUUUUCGAUGAUGGAGCUUUCGAAUCGACGAUCCACUCUAUUAAAUAUGCUCUACAGUAUUUGAAACUUUUAGAAAAUAAAUUUCAUGAAUUUUCAAAAUCAUAAUAAAGUCCAUCAAGCGAGCAUAAAAUGAAAGGUCAAAUUUGAAUGACGCCCUAAAAAUGAAUGAUGGGAUCCUUCAAUUUAAGAUCGAAGUUAUUGAUCUUUAUCUAGAUAGUGAAUAGAAUUUUCUAUCAAAAAUUCAACAAAUUUUAAUUUUUUUACACCGUUAAACUAGCAAGUAUUCCAUAUCGACUGUUAAAAAUUGUUAAUUUUGUGACUUUUUGAUCGUAAGGUAAAUGAUAUCGAAAAAUUAUAAAAUUUAAUUUCUAGAAGUUUUAAAUGCUGUAAAUAACGUUUAACGGUAUGGAUCAUCGAUUCGAAAGCUCUAUCAUCGAAAACGACUUAUCGUACUCAUAAGAGUAUAGUAGCCGAACUCUCUCUCUCUCUCUCUCUCUCUCUCUCUCUCUCUCUCUAUAUAUAUAUAGGAUAUAUAUAUAUAUAUAUAUAUAUAUAUAUAAAAUUGUCAUGUCAUGCAUGUAUCCUCAAACUUUAAAUUAAUUUCAUAGUUUGGCAUGCAAAGAUGUGUUAAAUGGUUGGGAUUUCAAUUUUUAUAUUAGGACUUACAAUUAAUAUGGGUAUAAACAUAACUAAUUCUACUAUAAACAGAUCAAAAUUUACUAAAUCUAGUCAAAAUCUUCGUCAAUAAAUAACUCUGAGUUUGUGUGUCAAUAUCAAAAUGAGCUCUACUUAAAAUAUUAUUUACGAGUUAACAAUGAAAUGAUUUUUAAAUAUAUUAAUAAACUUAGUCCAUCAAAAAGGACAUAAAAGCCAGAUUUGAUUUGAGGAUGAAGGCGACAAUUUCUCAUGAGGUUCAAUGUAUCCUUAUAUGAAAAGAACCAAAAUUAUAUGAGAUUAAAAAAAAGCAACUUAACUCAAAAAGAAAUUAUAUUCCAUUAUGAUUUUAAAAUUAAUUGUGCUACUUAAAAUUAACAAAGGGUUACUUAAUUACUUGCUCUGUCCUUCUCAAGGUGAAUAAAUUUUUGGAUUAUAUUCUCACACCUUGAAUGCACCACCAAUUGGAAGGAUAUAUAUAUNUCUCCUAUAAAACAUAGUGAUAUUUUAUGUAACUUUCCAUCAUGUUAAUAGUUUUAUUUGCAGGCUGAUCGAUUGGCCUAUACUUAUCUACUACAUACUACUGCUACGUACUACGCACAUAGAUACAAUAUGUAAAAGAGAGAGAAAAUAAAGGAAGGAUAUAUAUAUAUAUAUAUAUAUAUAUAUAUAUAUAUAUAUAUAUAUAUAUAUAGUUCGGCUAUUAUACUCUUAUGAGUACUAUCGCCUUCGUAUUCAUAAGUUGCUUUCGAUGAUAGAGCUUUCAAAUUGACGAUCCAUACUAUUAAACAUUAUUUAAAAAUUUUUAGAAAUCAAAUUUUAUAAUUUUUCAAUAUCAUUUACCCUACGAUAAACAAAUUAAUAAUUUUUAACGGCCGAUAUGAGAUAUUUGAUAAUUUAACGGUAAAAAAGAAUCAGAAUAGGUUGAAUUUUUUGAUAGAAAAUUCUAUUCACUACCUAAAUAAAGAUCAAAAAUUCCGAUCUUAAACUGAAGGGUCGAUAAUCCGUUUUUAAGAUGUCAUUCAAUUUUAACCGUUCAUUUUAUACCCGCUUGAUGGACUUUAUAAGGAUUUUGAAAAAUUACGAAAUUUAUUUUCUAGAAGCUUCAAAUACUCUAGAUUAUUUGUAACGGUGUGGAUCGUCGAUUCGAAAAGCGCAACAUUGAAAACAACUUAUGAGUACAAAGGGCUCUAUACUCAUAAAAAUAUAGUAACCCUACUCUAUAUAUUUAUAUACUACAUAUUGAUUUGAUAAAAAACGACUCACGAUUAUACUUAACAUCUUAGUCUACAUUUACGACAAAUAUGAAAGAUCGAUAUUGUGUAAACGUUUACGAUAAACACGAAAGAUCGAAAUGAAAGACAUAUAUAUAAUUUCAAUUAAUAUGCAAGAUAAUUAGAGAUGAGGAGGUAAUCUUUAGCGUAAUUUAUUAAAUAAAUGUUGCAAGUGGGGAUCGAACCCACGGUCCUCUGGAACAAGGAGAUCUAAGAAGUAACUACAUAUGGUUUGUAUCAUGUUAUCUAAAGAAUUAAUUUGAUAAAAACGAUGCAAACAUACAUUCAACAUCUCUCUCUAUGUGGAUGAUAGAUUAAAAAGUGCGUAGAGUGCUUUUAUAUAUGAAGUAGGAGUUGAGAUUUAAUUAUUUACAUCCUUCUUUAUUUGUUAGCGGCCAAUGAUUAGCCCUACAUACUUAACCCUACAAGAAUAUAUAGGUGUGAAUUUUGUAAAGAAAAUAUAUAGGAUCUUUUAGAAAAGCUUUCUUAUAAACUAUUGAUAUGUUGACUAAUCUGUAUCAUAUUUUACAUUGCGUGCACAAAUUAAUUAAAAAUUUUCAUCUAUCAAUCGUCUACAAGAAUAAUUUAUUGAGUAAUCAGUUUCAGUGUUAUUGCGUGUGGUUCAGCUUUUCAAAUAAAGCUUGCAUAAGAUGGUUGAUAGAGAUGUAAGUGCAUUGAACCUUCGAAAUGAGACACACAAAGGGAAGAGUACGUGCCAAGUGUUAACGUUAAUUUUCGUGCUGGAUUUGACAUUAAUGUUUUUGCAUGCUUGGAACUUGUAUAUUUUAAGUAAAUCUCAGAUAUAUACUAAGCUAGACGUAACGCCUGCUUUCUUGGUCAAUAAUGAAAAUAGCAAACCCACGAGCACUUUUAUAGAGAAUUAAAAAAAAAAAAAUUUGCAAAGAGAAUGGGGCCAUACCUUUUUGACUUUGUUUAAAUUAUUCCUAAUUUUAACAACCCUUCACCUUUGAAGGUAAAAUGCUCGUAAUUAAAUAAAAAAAAUAUAUUGAAAAUGGAAAAUAUACAGAAUCUUUUAGAAAAGCUUUUUUAUAAACUAUUGAUAUAUUGACUUAUCUGUUUGAUAUUUUACAUUGCAUGCACGAAUCAAUUCAAAGUUUUUACUUAUAAGUCGUCUAUAAAAAUAAUUUAUUGAGUAAUUAGUUUCAGCAUUUUUGUGUGUGGUUCGGCUUUUCAAAUAAAGCUUACAUAAGAUAGUUGAUGGAGAUAGCAAGUGCAUUGAACCUACGAAAAUGAGACGCACAAAGGGAAGAGGACGUGCUAAGUGUUAAUGUUAAUUUUUGUGAUGGAUUUGACAUUAAUGUUGUUGCAUGCUUCGAACUUAUAUAUUUUAAGUAAACUAAUCUCAGAUAUAUACUAAGCUAGACGUAACGCCUGCUUACUUGGUCAAUAACGAAAAUAGUAAACCCACGAGCACUUUUAUAGAGAAUAAAAAAAAGAGAAAUUGCAAAGAGAUUUAGGGCCAAACCUUUUUGAAUUGUUUAAAUUAUUCCUAAUUUUAACAACUUUUUAUUUGACUAUAGACGAAUUCGGGACGUAAGCAAGGAAUUGGCCGAGUUUUGCCGCUUUUAGUGACUUGAUUUUCAGUGAGUACUAUAACAGAAUUAGAUUAUAGGAACACAUGUUUGGAACACUUUUGUGUAUGCCAAAACUUUAAAAAAAAUCUAUUAAUGUCUAAAUACUGAACACGGUGUUAUCUCAACCCCUGUAGCUAAAUUCAUUUGCUAAAUAAAUAAAGCGAGUGGCAUGCGAUCUUUUUGUCAAAAAAAAAAAAAAAAAACCCAUCACCUUUGUCCAUAAAACGCUCAUAAUUAAGCAGAAAAAAAAUACUGAAAACGGAAAAUAUUUUAAAUUUUUUAGAAUGUUAUCGUUAUAUAUUAUUAUAUAUUAUUAAUUAAUGCGUCAGUAAUUUUAUAUAAUAUUUUUUUAACUAUGUAUAGUAAUGUAUAAAAAUAAAAAUAAUAAUAUGAGAAACUCGUUACAUAUAUUAUACUCUAUUAAACCGCAACCUCAUGGGUUCGAAAAAUCUCAAUUCAUCUCUCAAAAUAAAAAUAAAAAAAAGUUCAGUUGGCUUGUUGCUUAUUUUCAGUUCGAAUAUUAUCUAGAUUGUGUUAUGCUUGUAAUUAUUCGGGGCUUAUAUUUUUUGAAACUCAAAUUUAAAUUGAAAAAUUGUUUGAUUGUGGGGUCUGUUAGUUUUUUAUUAGAUUUAUAGUAGAAUACUAGUUAAAUUAUAAUAAAUAUUUAAAUUUAUUAGAGCAAAUUAAUUUGAAUUUAGAUAUUAAUUAGAAUAUAAUUUGUAAUUUAUAUUAGGAUUAGGGCAUAUUGCAUCCUAUGCAUUGUAUAAUCAUGGAUGACGGAUUAACUACGUGUGAGUUUAGCCCUUUGAGUGGUGAGAGAAACUUGGUUUUUAAUUUGGCACCUGGUGUACGGGUGCUAGAGCUCGGAUUCAAGUUACUCUUGUAUAUAUAAUUUUUUUUAAUUAAUAAAUUUUAUUUUAUCUGUAUUUUUUAUUCAGUUUUUUUUUUUUUUAUGAUUGUGUCAAUAAUAGUUUCGCCUAAGAAAACGUAUUUCUGGUAAAAAUCAAAUUAACGCUUCCGUUGUAAAAUCCCAACAAUUAGUACCAGAACGAACAGAUAAACAAUAGUCGAUAUCAGAACAGAUUAUGAAUUCUCAAAAUCUGUUAUCAGGACGAGUACAGCAUUCCCAACUGACCCUAUAUAUGGAUAACUUACUAUAAUAAAAAAUAAAUAGCUAAAUUGCACUUCUAGUCCUCAAACUUUAUAAUGCAUGAUAUUUUAGUUUCUUAUUAUAUUUUUUAUCUCAAAUUUUUUAAAUUAUUGUAAUUAAUUUUAUCCUAUAAUCUAAUUUAAUUGACUGAAUAUUGAUAUUUCGCCGGUGUAGUAAUAUGUGGCAUCUUACAAUCUAAUUUAAUUGACAGUGGCAAAAGAUUUGGUUGUUGGUAUCCGAGGUCCCAUGAUCAAAUCCUACUUGAUUCACAUUUUCAGCUAAGUUUAUUUCUAAAUGAAAUAAAAGAAGCGGGUAGCGUGCUAUUUAUCUCUCUAAAAAAAAAAAGUAAUUAGCACGUUAUCAAAUAUAAUACUGUCAUAUCAGUACUAGAUUAACAACACAUCAUUUUUUAAUCAACCAAAUAUAAACAGUAAAAUUUAAUUAUAAUAAUUUAAAUAGUCUGAGAUAAAAAUUAUAAUAAACUAAAAUUUCGGGACCAAAGCAUAGCUUGCUUCAAAGUUUGGAAAAUAAAAAUGUAAUCUAACCUAAAUAGAUAAGCUCAAAAUAUAAUAUUAUAACAUAGACUCGUGUCUAACAUAACUAAUUACCCAAUGCGUUGUUUUAUUUUGGUGCUUUAAUUUCCUACACAACCAUUAUUAUUAUUUUUUUUUCCUUUUUGGUGUUUUUUAUCCAAUUUACUUAAUACGUUUUCCCAAAUUCUAGUUAAUUAAUAAAUUUCACCCUUUUUUGAAGCUUUUUUUUUUGAGAGAUAGAUAGCACACUACCCGCUUCAUUUAUUUCAUUUAGAAAUAAACUUAGCUAGAAAUGUGAAUCAACUAGGAUUCGAACUUAGGUCUCGGGUAUCAGCUACCAAGCUCUUUGCCACUUGCUCUAGGGACGGUCGGUCUUUUUUGAAGCUUUUUAGCAAUGCUAUUUGUAUACCUAAGUGUAGAGAUUACACCUCACUCAUUACUCUUAUUUUUCACUAAUCUUAUUUUUGGUUUAAACUAAAAAACUAUUUGGGUUUAAGUAAUGCUUCAUGAACACUCCUUAAAUUAGGUAUGAAUAUUUAAUCUUACACUCUAUUCAUUCAAAAAUUCAUUCUCCUCUCCAGUCUAAUUACUCUUUCUUUUAUUUA
rnacentral:lncRNA from 1 species